CAACUCGAGGUGAAAAGUCCCAAAAUCUCCAUUUUUACACAGUGAGUUAAGCAUGGCUAUCCAAAGCUUUAAGAAACUUCUUUUUCCAUCUUUUAACCUAUUUUCAUGUUAGUUUAGUUUACAACACCUUCAUCUUUUUAUGUUUUCAUCUUAACCUAAUUUUUAUUAAGAAAAGUUCACUCCAUCCUCCGAACUUCACCAGUUAAAGUAAAAACCCUUCCCAGUGUUCGAUCCUAGAGCCACUAUGCUAUAGUAGCUUUGCUACUUUAGUGUAAGGACCUUAGGUAUAAAUUUUGUUGAUACCCUUACAUGCCAAGCUACCAAGAGUCGGGUUAUCAUUAACCUAACCAUUGGCCUGUGUAAAUUGAUUUCACAUGCACAAUGUUGUAGUAGAAGUCCAUAUUUUGAAUUUUAUUUUUGUAAAGGUAAGGAAAAUGAAGCAUUGUGUAAUUAUAAAAAUAACUUCAUUGGAAUUCACAAGGUUCACCCAAAAUGGAGCUACAUCUGUAUUCUAUCCUACAGUAGACUAUAUAGAUUGUACAAUAGUAAAUUGCAAAUACAAUUAAUAAGUCUUGUGCUUCCUUACUAAUAAUCCUUUGACAUGAACAUUGCAGCACUAAGGUCCUCUUGGGAAGACACCUUGCACCCAUGAGAGCACUAAGAGGAAGCAAGGCAGAGUCAUGGGUGCAAUGUCAUGACUUGUUGUUGCACCAAGAGAGGCUUGGUGAUGCCAUGGUGUUGCAGUAGCAAGAAUGUUGCCUUGGCAGGGACACGAUCUAGGGAUAGAUGCCAAGAAAGGCUUAGCACUCACAUGAGUUGCACAAAGAUGAAUGUAAUAGAGCAUCAGAGAGACGUCUUGGCAAGUAAAUGAAUGGAUCCAAGAGACAACAACAUGAGGAGUUUCAAAUGGAUAAGGAAUGACUCAAAGACAUUUGAAAGCUACAAGUUGGAUUCUAAUUACGAUUGCAAUUUGAGUUUGAGUAGGAGUUUAGAUUUUGAUUGUAAUUGUAGUAUGAGUUGGACUAGGAUUGCUUAUCCUUAGUCAAUAUAGGAGCGGUUCGUGUCACCCUAUGAAAAGAGUUUGAGUAGGGACUAGGAUUGCUUACUCCUAGUCAAAUAUGGAGUAGGUGGUGCCACACCUAUAAAAAAAAGGGACAACAUGAGAGAGAGAGAGAGAGAGAAAGAGAGAGUGAAUUCACUAAAGAUAUUGUGGGAGUUUUGCUUUGUUACGUCUUGUAUUAUUACUUAGAAUAGGAAUAAAAUACAAGUUGGGGCUAGAGCCCCAUAAUUAAUCUCGUGUGCCUUUGUGGUUAUUCUUUAUUUGUCAUCUCGUGUGGAUUGGAUUAGGUUGACUUAGAGGGCUUCUAAGCACCACCUUUGUGGGUUAUUAUUUAUUUUCCAUCUCUUGUGGAUUAGAUUAGGUUGACUUAGAGGGCUUCUGAGCACCACCUUUGUGGGUUAUUAUUUAUUUUCCAUCUAUUGUGGAUUAGAUUAGGUUGACUUAGAGGGCUUUUAAGCACCACAUUUGUGGGUUAUUCUUUAUUUUCCAUAUCGUGUGGGUUGGAUUAGGUUGACAAGGAGAAAAAUUAUGUGGGAAAUUUGUGUUGGGACACUUACCAUAACCAAGUAAAAUCUACCAAGUCCUUUGUAAUAUCUUCAACAAAUAUUUUAGACUAGUUCUUUCAGUUAGUGUAAAGGAGGAAGAAGUGGUAUUGAUUCUAGAAAUAGGGUGUGUGUAUUUGAACUACAAUCCUUAUGAUCCUUAGGUCUCUAAACCUUCGUGAUGGGCUCCCUGACAUUUCAUAGGUUGUGCUACACAUGCGUUUGAAAUUUAGAGUGCGUUUGACAGUGAUUCCGGGAAGUGUUUUUGGCCUUUCUUACACUUGAAAAUUUUUAUUUUUCAAGUAUUAGAAAUGCUACAAACACUUUUGAAAAUUACUGUCAAACACACUCUUAGGAGCGCACAUAUAUAGUAGAAAACUAGAAAUUGUGGUUUUUUUAGGAUUUACUGUAAUGUCAUUAGGAGGGUAGUAAGUUGAAAUUGAGUAUGAACAAAUAUUUCUUUCUUUGGGAUGUUCUUCUAGUAGGUGCUGAUGAAACUGUUCUUUCUACUGCCAAUGUCACAUAUCAGCCAGAAAUUGAAAAUUUCAGUCAAGGUGUCCUCUGUUUUAGUGGUGAGGAAAGCUAGAAAUUUUAAGGUGAAGUUUUGUUAAAAACCUUAAGUAGCUGGGAUAUCAGGCCUGUUUUGCUUGAAAAAAAAAGUUGCAAGAUAACUCAUAUGCCAAACAGGUUCUGAUAUUGUGAAUCUAUCGGCAGACAUCAGUAAUCUCAUCUUCUGAGAUGGAUGUUGGGGGUGCAUGUGGUGGUGGAGGGGCAAGGUUUCAUUUGGUUUAUUUUGUUGAUGGAUAUUGUCUAGCCACCUGCGCCAAGUUUGAGGGGUGGUGGGUUGUGAUGACCCUACAAUUACUAUUAAUUUCUUCAUCUUUUACCGAUUAAAGUGUCCGAACAGUCGAAGUUACCCUUAUGCAUGUCAACUUGAUCACUUACCUCUUCAAUGGAGUUUAUGCUGGUUCAUUUAGGAACUGAUUUUUAUUGUUAUGUAUUAUAUGCUGAUGUUUAGGUCUCUCCAUCAUCACUAUAUACAAAAAUUCUAGGUUGAUACUAUAGGUUGAGAUUUAUUUUUUAAAUAAAAAAUAAUAAAAAUAAAAAUUAUGGUGAUGUUUAGUUGUUUUAUGGAAAAUUUUAACAAGUAAAAGUUAUUUUUGGGCAAGUUUUCAAACAAAAAGAAAAGUAAAAGUUGUUUUGACAAAAACAUAUAGAAAAAAAAAUCAUAGAAAAUAAAUAAUUUCCCCAUAUUCUAACUUUUUUGAAUUUUUCUCAAUGGGCAAAGGAAUAUCAAAUCAAGUUUGAGUAGGAUUUCUUAAUUUUUAAAAUAACUUACAAUUAAAAAAUUUUGGUGUUUUCAUUUUUGGACAAUUUUUUAUUAAGCAAAUGGACUCUGAGUCAUGCAAGAGAUAUGGUUCAUUAACCGGUCGAACAAUUUUUUUAAAUUAAUUUAAAAGUCAAAUACAUAAUCAAUUUCACAAAAUUUAUAAACAAAAAUAGGUUUAGAGAAGAUCUACACAUAAUUUUACUUUUCUAAUUUUAUUUUAUUUUAUUUUUUGUUGGAAAAUAGUCUUCAAAUCAUGUAAGAUUUAAUAGGUUAAAUUUGUUAACAAUAAAUUUUAAAUUAUAAAAUAUAAUCUGGAACUCAAAAAUCAAUUCAAGUAAUGCUAAAAAAAAAUCAAAUUUGGUAUAGAAUGACUUUGUAAAUUUUUUUACAAAACAAAUGAAUUUUAAAUCAAGUGAGAUUUAAUGCAUUAGAUUUUUAUCAAAUAUAGUAAUUUUAAAAAUAAAUUUGGAACUCAACAAUAGACACAAUAAAUACCAAAAAAUAAUGAACCAAAAUUGGUUUGGAAUAACUCCACAACCUUUUUUUUUUUUUUUUGGUGCACACGAAUUUUCUUACUAGGUAUAUUGCUUUCAAAUUGAGAAAGAUUUACCAUUUAGAUUUUUUUUUAAUGAGUUUAAUGGUAUUUUAAAAUAAUUCAAAAUUUAAAAAAUUGACUAAUUAAUAUUAUAAAUUGAUAAACCAAGACUAUUUCAAAAUGCAUUGGGGGCUAAGGGGGUUGAAAAUAGGGACAAUGGGAUGGGUUUGGGACAUGACACUCAUAUCUCAUUUCCAUUCCAAUUACACAGUUAUCUCCCAUCCUUAUCCCAAACUUGUGUUGGAGCAAGUUGAUUUGUUCCCAUCUUUGUUGACGAAAUGACUAAUAACCUCAUCCCCUCCUUAUCUUAGAUGUACAUUUUGUCAAAUUUGAUCAGGUAUGAUUGAUCCAAGCCCUAACCCUAAUUGGUAAUGAGUGAAUACUACACCUAAUUGCAUUCUUCUUUCAUUGCAAAAUAAUGAGAUUAUAAUAAUCUAGCAAAUAAGAAAAAAUAGUAUGGAAGUUCAAAUUAACACCAUAACUAUCAAUAAUUUUAAGCUUAUAGAUGACUUAAAUGAUUAAAAACUAAUGCAAAAUCCUAAAAAAAAUAAAAAUCAUAUAAAGAAUUCACAAGAGAACAGAAUGAACAAAAACCAAAUAUGAACAUGGGUCAACAUUAGUUAUGGAUUUGGAUUCCUUUCAAGGCCAAUCUUUGAACCAAGACUUCAUCAAAUCAACUACUUCAAAGGCUUUUGUGUUCUUCUUGGGUUGUGCUCUCAAACAAAGACUUCGAGGUGAUGUUCUAGAUGAUUGAAUUACACAUAUUUAGGGUGGAGAGAUUGGAGAAGCUUGAAGAUGCCAACGAUGGGUACAAUUGAGUGGUCAAUAAGAACAAUGUAGCCUAUGACUAGUUUGAUGUCAUGGUACAAGAGUUUUAGGCAUUGAGGUUAAAGCAAGAGCAACAUGGAAUUGAUUUCGGAGUCUUUCAGUUAGUGUAAAGGAGGAAGAAGUGGUGUUGAUUCUAGAAAUAGGGUUUUAAGUGGUGCGUGAUUACUACUCAAAAAGUGCUAUUUGAUAGCCUUUAAUUAAUCCUUUUUAACACUUUUGAGUAGUAGUUUAGGCCUUUUAACUCAAUUGGCAUGUUAAGGAUCCUUUAAAGCAAUUUUGAUCACUUUGUGCAAGUUUUGGUGUUUUUGUUAGUAUUUUGAUCACCAAAGCAAGUCAAGAAUGAGGAGAACUAUGAGGAAUCAUGGGCAAAGCUUAGAAUUCAAUUGCCAAGAGUGAAUCCGGAUUGCAAGGAGAAAAAGCAAAGAGAAUCUGUCAUGAAGCCUAUUCUUGAUGACAGUCGUAGCAGCCACUUUUGGAGCACUUUCUGAAGUCCAAAUGAUGCAAGCUAUAUACCAUUUCAAAGAUCAGGAAGUCAACAAUCCAAUGCUUCAAACGGUGCGCGAUUCGGAGUUGAAACGAAGAAGUUGCAGCCAUUACAAGCCAGUCACUCUAAAGUGUUGCGGAAUCAGCCUUUUGUUGCGAGAAUUUCGCAGCACUUUUGUACAGUAAGGUGUUUCUCCUUCUGACGAUGCACGAACCAUGCCGCGAGAGGGAAGCUAGGAACUUCAAGAUGGAAGCCAACUUUGCAGCCUGGUGAAGAUAGCUUGGUCUUGCGAAAUAAUUUCGCAGCCCUCUUGGGUGUCUGCGAAAUUUCGCAGGCACCACUUUUUUCCUGCGAAAUGGCUCCGGAAGCCUCCCGAAGCUUGCUACCGACAUUGGGAGAUAUUUUCCAUUAGAUUUUUGUUGUCUAAAUUCCAAAAUACUCCUUGUAAACCACCAAUUACAUGAUUCCUUAGUUUUUAAGUUAGUAAAAAGACCAAAUAUCUAUGUAAUAAUUAGUUUUAUAUUAGUUUGCUAUAAAUACCUCUCGGGAGCAUGUUCUCAGAGAGGAGUUCCUUCUGUAACCAUUUUGGUAAGCAAGUAAAGUCUUUUCUUUCUACUGCCUUACCUUCUCACUUUGUAUUUUCAUUUUAUUUCUAAGUUAUGAAUUCUCUGAGGAGCUUUCCCCAGAGAAUGAGUAACUAAACCUCCAAUUCCUUGGAGCUAAGGUUGCCGGGGAAGGUUCCAAGUGCAAGAAUGCAAAGCUCUGUGGUUUUAGCUAGUAAUGAAGAGGAAGUGAAAUCCUUUAGUGAUUUCAAUGUUUUUAGUUAACUUAAAACACCUUGGAGUCACCUGGGCCAACACUUGGUAAGGCAAGUGAUUUCCAACCGUGGAAAUGCACUAGUUUACCCCUUGCGAGCCUCUGGUAGGUGACUUCAAGGUAGGAUUUUCUGGAAUUACCAACACUUGGUAAGCUUUUGGACUCCUAGGAGACAUCCAUUAGUUAUCUCUUGCGAGUUUGUGAAGGGGAAUCCAAGGUUAAAGAUCACCUUGAAUGGUAAGUGCUCGUGAGAGGCAUGAACCAUUGCAAGUUGUAUCAGUGAGAGAAUUAAAGUGAAAUCUAAUUGAAGGAGUCUCUGUACAUCACCGGUUAGAGAAUUGACUAUAAGUUGAAUCUCUAAUGCGAGGAAAUGAACCAUCUGACCGGAGCUAUGUCUUUUGCAUGAGGAACCACCCCAGUGAACCUAAAUCUCCAAGGAAUGCUUUUCUUCCUAAAUUAUUCCAAACUUCUGUUAAGUUAGUUAGUUUAAGUCUAAACCUUUACCAAUCAAACUUUGUGUUUUAUUUCUUAAGCUAACCGUGAAAUGAAACAAAACCAAUUCACUUGGAAUUGGUAUCCUUGAUUGCUUGCAAAUCAUUCCCAGUGAACGAUCCUUAGAGCCACUAUACUAUAGUAGCUUUGUAUUUGCUACCCUAGUGUAUGGUGUUAUAGGUAUAAAUUUUGUUGAUCACUUCCUCAAUCAAGGAACACCAGCUGAACACAAAUCAGCUGAGACACCAAUUGGGCAUGAGUCAAAUGGCGCCGUUGCCGGGGAAUGAGUGUCAAGAUCAUUGUGAUACCAUUUUUGAGCACUUGUGAUUUUCAUCACAAGUUGGUAAAGUUUCUUUCACUUUACUAAUUUUCAUUCUCUCUUUGUUUAUUUACAAUCUAAGUUUAUCUUUUUAAAAUUUAGUCUAGUUUAAUUUUGCUAUUGUAGCCUUGUUUCUCUUGUUGUCCUCUGUUCUUGUUGUCCUCUGUUUUCAUUUUAGUUGCAGCUGAAUACUAGUUGUGUAUGCCAAAGUGGAUACGAGACAUUGGAGGUAGGCUUAUUAAGUGUGAUACACCUCAGAGAGGAGAAUUGGAAGUAAUCUUGAAUAUCAUGGAGGCUGCACCUGAAGAUCAGCAUAGUCACCAAGGUCGUCAAGACAAUCUCAAUGAAUUCAGAUCAAUGAGGGACCGUAUGCAUCCACCUCGUAUGAGUGCACCAUCAUGUAUAGUGCCCCCUACAGAGCAACUAGUGAUCAGACCAUAUCUUGUUCCACUUCUACCAACUUUCCAUGGGAUGGAAAGUGAGAAUCCGUAUGCACACAUCAAGGAAUUUGAAGAUGUUUGUAAUACAUUCCAAGAGGGAGGAGCUUCAAUUGAUUUGAUGAGGCUUAAGUUAUUUCCUUUUAAUUUAAAGGAUAAGGCCAAAAUUUGGCUUAAUUCUUUAAGGCCAAGGAGUAUCCGCUCUUGGACUGAUUUACAAGCUGAAUUCCUCAAGAAAUUUUUUCCUACUCAUAGAACAAAUGGCUUGAAAAGGCAAAUUUCAAACUUCUCAGCUAAAGAGAAUGAGAAAUUCUAUGAGUGUUGGGAAAGAUACAUGGAAGCUAUAAAUGCUUGUCCUCACCAUGGCUUUGAUACUUGGCUACUGGUGAGUUAUUUUUAUGAUGGUAUGUCCUCCUCAAUGAAGCAACUCCUCGAGAAAAUGUGUGGAGAAGAUUUCAUGAGCAAAAAUCCAGAGGAAGCUAUGGAUUUCUUGAGCUAUGUAGCUGAUGUUUCAAGGGGAUGGGAUGAACCAACUAAAGGAGAAGUGGGAAAGAUGAAGUCUCAGUUGAAUGCUUACAAUGCAAAGGCUGGGAUGUAUACUUUAAAAGAGGAUGAUGACAUGAAAGCAAAGUUGGCAGCUAUGACAAGAAGAUUGGAGGAGCUGGAGCUGAAAAGAAUGCAUGAAGUGCAAGCUGUUGCUGAAGCACCAGUGCAAGUGAAGUUGUGUCCCAAUUGUCAAUCGUUUGAACAUUUGGUAGAGGAAUGCCCUGCAAUUUCAGCUGAAAGGGAAAUGUAUAGAGAUCAAGCAAAUGUUGUUGGACAAUUCAGGCCCAAUAACAAUGCUCCUUAUGGAAAUACCUACAAUUCAAGUUGGAGGAAUCAUCCAAAUUUUUCAUGGAAGGCCAGAGCAACUCAAUACCAACAGCCGGAUCCACCAUCUCAACAAUCUUCAAGUAUUGAACAAAUAAUAGCUAAUCUCAGCAAGGUAGUGGGAGAUUUUGUGGGAAAGCAAGAAGCCACCAAUGCUCGAGUGGAUCAAAGAAUGGACAGAGUGGAUCAAAGAAUGGACAGAAUGGAGAGUAUGUUGAACAAAAGAAUGGAUGGAAUGCAAAAUGAUAUGAAUCAAAAAUUUGAUAACAUCCAAUAUUCAAUUUCAAGGCUUACAAAUUUGAAUACACUGCAAGAAAAGGGAAGAUUUCCUUCUCAACCUAACCAAAAUCCCAAAGGUGUCCAUGAAGUGGAAAGCCAUGAGGGAGAAUCAUCACAGGUGAAAGAUGUGAAAGCUUUGAUCACUCUAAGGAGUGGUAAGAAAAUUGAGCAGCCAACACCCAAGCCACAUGUUGAGAAAGAAGAAGAGAUGAAGAAAGGGAAGGAAAUGGAAGAUAAAGGCAGUGAGAUCAGUGAAGAAAAGAAGGACUCUGAUGCAACAAUGAAAGUAAUUCCAGAGAAGGAGCUUCUGAAGGAAGAAAUGCUGAAGAAAUCAACUUUUCCACCUUUUCCUCAAGCAUUACAGGGGAAAAAGGGGGUUAGAAAUGCAGCUGAAAUCCUAGAAGUAUUGAGGCAAGUGAAAGUUAAUAUUCCACUGCUGGAUAUGAUCAAACAAGUUCCAACGUAUGCAAAAUUCCUAAAGGACUUGUGUACUAUCAAAAGAGGGUUGACUGUAAACAAGAAAGCCUUCUUGACUGAGCAAGUAAGUGCAAUCUUACAGUGUAAGUCUCCUUUGAAGUACAAAGACCCUGGAAGUCCUACCAUUUCAGUCAUGAUUGGAGGAAAGGUAGUGGAGAAAGCCUUGCUAGACUUGGGAGCAAGUGUGAAUUUGCUUCCAUAUUCUGUCUACAAGCAACUGGGACUUGGAGAGUUGAAGCCAACAGCAAUCACUUUGUCUCUGGCAGAUAGAUCAGUGAAAAUUCCAAGAGGGGUAAUUGAGGAUGUAUUGGUUCAAGUAGAUAAUUUCUACUAUCCUGUAGAUUUUGUUGUUCUUGAUACAGAUCCUACUGUAAAGGAAGCUAAUUUAGUUCCUAUCAUCCUUGGAAGGCCAUUUCUUGCAACUUCAAAUGCAAUCAUCAACUGUAGAAAUGGGCUUAUGCAACUCACUUUUGGUAACAUGACACUGGAUCUAAAUAUUUUCUAUAUGUCUAAAAAGCAAAUCACUCCAGAAGAAGAAGAGGGUCCAGAAGAGCUAUGUAUUAUUGAUACUUUGGUGGAGGAGCACUGCAAUCAACAUAUGCAAGAUAAGUUGAAUGAAAGUUUUGUGGAUAUUGAGGAAGGUUUUUCUGAAUCUCCUAAUGGGCUUGCUACUCUACAAAGUUGGAGAAAGAUAGAAGGAAUUCUACCUUUGUUCAAUGAAGAAGAGGAGGCAGCUGUUGAAAAAGAAAUUCCAAAACUCAAUCUGAAGCCUUUACCUAUGGAGCUGAAAUAUACAUAUCUUGAAGAAAAUAAUCAAUGUCCUGUCGUAAUAUCUUCAUCUCAAACCAAGUCUCAAGUGAAGGAUGCAAGCUUCAAAUGGGAUCCGGGCAAACUGAAUCAGGAAGGGCAAAAAGUUUUGAUGUAUGACACAAGACUCCAUAUCUUUCCUGGGAAGCUCAAGUCAAGGUGGAUUGGUCCAUUUGUUAUUCACCGAGUAUAUUCCAAUGGAGUGGUGGACUUAUUGAAUUCCAAUGGCAAGGACAGCUUUAGAGUCAAUGGAUAUCGUCUUAAGCCGUUCAUGGAGUCAUUCAAAUCAGAAAAGGAGGCAAUCAACCUCCUUGAACCUCAAAAAGCCUAAGUGAAAUGGGUUUGCUGGACGUGGUUUUACCACAGUCCAAAAAUUUUUGUAAAUUUUGUAAAUUUUCAAGUUGUUUCCAUGCUUUUAAUCUUAGUUUUUGAUUUUAAAUCAUGUUUUUAGGUGUGUUUUAAUCGUUUUAUAUGAUCCCAGGCGGAAGAAAUUUCAAGGGGAUUGAAAAGAAAAAAAUCGGGUCGAAAUUGGAGCCGAAACAGAGCAAAAACAGGGGAAAAACAGAGCUCUGCGAAAUUUCGCAGGGUGAAGGAAACUUCUGCGAAAUUGGCAUUUUGCUGCCAAACCAUUCCGCAGCACUGUAGAAGCCUCUGCGAGUGUAUUUCGCAAUUGCGAAAGUGGAUUUGGCACACGAGUGCCACUUCGCAGCACAGUGACAUCAAUUUCGCAGCUGCGAAACUCACUGCGAAGUUGCUGCGAAAAUGGCAAGUUGCUGCGAAAUUGGCGUUUUGUUGCGAAACGUAAUCUGACCCCUGGGCUUCCGUUUUUCCUAUUUAUACCUGUCAAAAGUGCUGCGAAAAAGGUUUCAAAAAUUAGAGCACCAUUCUCGCAGCCCUUUCAUCUUCUUCGCCAAGCCACGCCGUCCGUUUCUCCGGUCGUCUUCUCCGUUUAGCAGCGCCGGCCAAAGAUCGAUAGCCCAAAAAUGGCACGAACGCGAGGGGCAAAGUCUUCAUCCCCUUCGAACCGCAAAAGGAGUCUGCGAAAGGAGCCAAGUUCAGGCUCUGUUCCAGAACCUGCUCCAAAGCCUUCGCCGUCGAGACCACAACCUUCUCCAGUGAAGCCGGCGCCACCAAAGCCGCCGGCAAGGCGAUAUUUAACCAGGUCAGGUGGUCAGCCAUUGAAGAAGAAAGCCAGAGUUGAGAGCUCUGAACCAAUCGAUUUGACUGAGCAAUCCCCUGAGAAAUCACCAAAUCCUUCACCGGUACAAAUUCCAGUGCCAUCACCGGUUCCCUCGCCAAUUCCCUCACCAGAAGCAACUCCAAUUCCAUCGCCGGUACCAUCUCCGGCACCCCAAGAAAAAGCUCAGGAGCCUCAAGCGCCAAUUCCAGAGCCCCAAAUUGCAGCUGAAGCACCUCUGGAAGAAGUGAUCCGAAGGCCAAUGCUGCCUCAGCCCCCAAUCGAAGGAAACCUGGAUUGCCGAACUCGGGCAUUCCAUUCUGAGCUUUGCUUCGAUUUAACAGCAUUCAGAGUGAGGCCAGAGCUUGCCCAAUCCUUCCAACUGCUGAGGAGAUAUCAUAUGGAGCAUCUGCUAGCUCCAAGGGAUUUUUUCUAUCCCCGGGUAGUCACGGAUUUCUACCAAACCAUGACAACCAAAGAAGUAAGAAAUCCAACUCUGAUUCAUUUCAUAAUUGAUGGAAGGCAUGGUAUUUUGGGAGCAAGACAUAUUGCUGAAGCCCUGCAAAUUCCUUUUGAGCCAACUCAAUUCGACAAUUUUAAAGCUUGGACAAAUCCUACUGAGUUAGAGAUGGUUAGCACACUAACCAGAGGAGCUGCAAAUCGAUCGCAUUUGUUGAGGGGGGAGCUACCUCCAGUUAUGUUUUUGAUUGAUGCCUUUUUGAGGCAUAAUAUCUAUCCCCUGCAGCAUUGGACCCAAAGAAGGGGAAUUCUCCUAGAAGCCUUGUACAAAAUGUCUGAAGGAUUCUUCUUUGGGCCUCAUCAUCUGAUCAUGGCAGCCCUUCUAUACUUUGAGGAGAAGGUUCACAAGAAGAAGCUUCAAAGAGCAGAUUGCAUUCCACUCCUCUUCCCAAGGCUGCUAUGCCAAGUUUUGGAGCAUCUCGGAUACCCCUCUGAGCCUCAGCAGGAAAGAAAGAGAAUAUGCCGUGAGCCUUUUACCCUUGAUAAAUGGAAUAAUAUGACGGCCUACAAAAUUGAUCAGCCUGGGCAGCCUCAGCCAGCAGCAAGGAGAGUCUCCCCAAGACAUAUACCUGAAGGUAUAACACUUGCUACUCCUGCCAUCCCUCGAGCUCCACCAGCUGCACCUGCUCCAUCACAGCCAUCCACAUCAGCUGAGCCGAGGAUGGCCAUCCCUAUAUCCGAAUAUCGAGAGCUGUGCCGUGCAUUGGAGACUCUUACAGCUUCUCAGAGCAAUCUUGCUCAGGAGUUGGCAGCCAUUAAAGCAUGCCAGGAGCAGAUGUUAGCCUCUCAGACUCAACAAGCUGCCAUCCUAAGGCAGCUUCAAGUCCAUUUCGAUCUGCCACAAGCUGUAGAGCCCUCUAUUCCUACUCCACCAGAGCCACACUCUCAGCCUUCAGAGUCUCAUCCUCCAGAACCCGAAGCACCAGCUGAUCCACCUACUGAGGAGGCAGAUCCUUCUGCCUAGCACCAUCACCCCCCUCAUCAGACAUUAUAUAUAUAUUUGCUGUUUAUGUUUUUAUGCAUGUUUGUUUUGUUUUAGUUGAAAAGAAAUCCCAGUAUUUUGGUACUAUAUAUGGGAUUCCUUGUGUUACUUGUCUUUAGUAUUGUAAUCACAUGAACUCAAAGUAAUACAAGUUGACUAUUUCUUGUUAAAAGUUAGCAUUAAAGUUUCCUUAUUUCCUUUUCUCACAUAUUCUAUUCUUUUUGAAACAUGUGGUUUUCCCCAAUCAAUAUUCGAAUUUGAUAUCAGCAUGGAGGUACCACUUCCUCCCUUUUAUUACAGUCACUCAAAUCACAUUGAGGACAAUGCUCAGUUCGGUUGGGGGGUAUGAGGAAGGAAGUAUUCUAAACCUUUUUGGUAUUGCAAUUAUAUUGGUUAAUUAGUUGUAGAUUUUACUUUUUACUAGUGUUACUCUAUUCUCCAUGAAUUUUGAGGAAAAAUUUUCAAAUUAAACCAAGAGAAAUUGAACUGUUGUUUUUCACUUGACUUAGAGUAUGGAUUAUGCUUACUAAAGUGGUUCAAUUGUUGAAACUUCUACUGAAAUUGAAUUGAGUUCUUCCACUUUAAGCUAUCCACACACUGUGCACAUUAGUUUCCGAUUAUAAGAUGAAAAGCUAUUUCCCUCUUGACUUAGUAUAUUUUUGGGACUUGGUAUAUUUGACCUCAUUUGAUAAAAAUUGAAACACCCUGCAAAAGGCCAAUGAGCCUUUGAAAUAAAGAAAGUUGUUUGCUUGCCUUGAAACCCGAGCAAGGUCUGAGGGGUAUAUGGUGAAAAUCUUUAAAGCCUGGUGCCCUAAGCCUUAAUUGGUUGGGAGUCACCGACCUCAAUGCUCGUUACAAGGGUGAAUAGGUAGAGUUAGCAUAUGGUAGAUGCUUGGGUAUUAGAAAUUCAUUCUUAAAAGUCCGGGGAAAAAUCCGAGGAGUUAGUGGUUGAAAGAUCCUUAAAACUUGGUGCCCUAAACCUUAAUUGGUUGGGAGUCAUCGAUGGACCCCCAUUACAUGGACAAGUCAGAAAGAGUACCCCAUAAAGCUACCUUAAAAAAAAAAAAAAAAAAAAAAAAAAAAAAAAAGAUGAAAGUGUGUUCUUUUCUUAUUGAUUUUGGUCAGUUUGCUAAAGUGUUGAAAAGAGAUAGGUUGGGGGGUGAGAUUAGUAGCAUAUUAUUCUCGGAACCUAAGGAACCAAUACACAUAGAUUUUUGUGGAAGAUUGAAGUUUAGUUCUUAGAAAAUGAAAUGAUUUUAAAACUUCAGUUUGCAUAAUGCACUCCCUUGAUUGACAGUGUUUAGCAUAGGUGUUAUGACUCUUGUUGAGAUUUGGGUUUGUAUUUCUUUAAUGAUUCAUGUGAGAAAUAGAUCAUCAUGCCACUUGAGAAUUAUUUUCCUUUUAGCAUGAUGUUGUAAAUUUUAGAUUAGUUUGCUAUUUAUUUUUUAUUUUCUCUCCUAUAUUGCUAAGGGACUAGCAAUAUGUCGGUUGGGGGGAGUGAUUACUACUCAAAAAGUGCUAUUUGAUAGCCUUUAAUUAAUCCUUUUUAACACUUUUGAGUAGUAGUUUAGGCCUUUUAACUCAAUUGGCAUGUUAAGGAUCCUUUAAAGCAAUUUUGAUCACUUUGUGCAAGUUUUGGUGUUUUUGUUAGUAUUUUGAUCACCAAAGCAAGUCAAGAAUGAGGAGAACUAUGAGGAAUCAUGGGCAAAGCUUAGAAUUCAAUUGCCAAGAGUGAAUCCGGAUUGCAAGGAGAAAAAGCAAAGAGAAUCUGUCAUGAAGCCUAUUCUUGAUGACAGUCGUAGCAGCCACUUUUGGAGCACUUUCUGAAGUCCAAAUGAUGCAAGCUAUAUACCAUUUCAAAGCUCAGGAAGUCAACAAUCCAAUGCUUCAAACGGUGCGCGAUUCGGAGUUGAAACGAAGAAGUUGCAGCCAUUACAAGCCAGUCACUCUAAAGUGUUGCGGAAUCAGCCUUUUGUUGCGAGAAUUUCGCAGCACUUUUGUACAGUAAGGUGUUUCUCCUUCUGACGAUGCACGAACCAUGCCGCGAGAGGGAAGCUAGGAACUUCAAGAUGGAAGCCAACUUUGCAGCCUGGUGAAGAUAGCUUGGUCUUGCGAAAUAAUUUCGCAGCCCUCUUGGGUGUCUGCGAAAUUUCGCAGGCACCACUUUUUUCCUGCGAAAUGGCUCCGGAAGCCUCCCGAAGCUUGCUACCGACAUUGGGAGAUAUUUUCCAUUAGAUUUUUGUUGUCUAAAUUCCAAAAUACUCCUUGUAAACCACCAAUUACAUGAUUCCUUAGUUUUUAAGUUAGUAAAAAGACCAAAUAUCUAUGUAAUAAUUAGUUUUAUAUUAGUUUGCUAUAAAUACCUCUCGGGAGCAUGUUCUCAGAGAGGAGUUCCUUCUGUAACCAUUUUGGUAAGCAAGUAAAGUCUUUUCUUUCUACUGCCUUACCUUCUCACUUUGUAUUUUCAUUUUAUUUCUAAGUUAUGAAUUCUCUGAGGAGCUUUCCCCAGAGAAUGAGUAACUAAACCUCCAAUUCCUUGGAGCUAAGGUUGCCGGGGAAGGUUCCAAGUGCAAGAAUGCAAAGCUCUGUGGUUUUAGCUAGUAAUGAAGAGGAAGUGAAAUCCUUUAGUGAUUUCAAUGUUUUUAGUUAACUUAAAACACCUUGGAGUCACCUGGGCCAACACUUGGUAAGGCAAGUGAUUUCCAACCGUGGAAAUGCACUAGUUUACCCCUUGCGAGCCUCUGGUAGGUGACUUCAAGGUAGGAUUUUCUGGAAUUACCAACACUUGGUAAGCUUUUGGACUCCUAGGAGACAUCCAUUAGUUAUCUCUUGCGAGUUUGUGAAGGGGAAUCCAAGGUUAAAGAUCACCUUGAAUGGUAAGUGCUCGUGAGAGGCAUGAACCAUUGCAAGUUGUAUCAGUGAGAGAAUUAAAGUGAAAUCUAAUUGAAGGAGUCUCUGUACAUCACCGGUUAGAGAAUUGACUAUAAGUUGAAUCUCUAAUGCGAGGAAAUGAACCAUCUGACCGGAGCUAUGUCUUUUGCAUGAGGAACCACCCCAGUGAACCUAAAUCUCCAAGGAAUGCUUUUCUUCCUAAAUUAUUCCAAACUUCUGUUAAGUUAGUUAGUUUAAGUCUAAACCUUUACCAAUCAAACUUUGUGUUUUAUUCCUUAAGCUAACCGUGAAAUGAAACAAAACCAAUUCACUUGGAAUUGGUAUCCUUGAUUGCUUGCAAAUCAUUCCCAGUGAACGAUCCUUAGAGCCACUAUACUAUAGUAGCUUUGUAUUUGCUACCCUAGUGUAUGGUGUUAUAGGUAUAAAUUUUGUUGAUCACUUCCUCAAUCAAGGAACACCAGCUGAACACAAAUCAGCUGAGACACCAAUUGGGCAUGAGUCAGUGCGUUAGAGGAUCAAGAAGAAGAAAAAGAAGGAACUGUUGGAAUUAGUAUGAGUGUGAAGAGAAAAGUAUAUAAAUAAGGGGAAGUAAAAGCAAAGUUCAAAAAGCUAUAUUUUUUUAUUGUUGGUGUAUGGUUGCAUGAUUAUCCCUAUAAAUAAUAGGAGUUUUUUGGUAUUCUACUAGUAGUUGAAGCAUAAUUUCAUAAAUUAAUAUUUAGAGCGGGGUGGGGUGAGUUGUGACAAAAUUCAUACCCGUCCCAAACCUUGGUUCAGAUUUUUAAAAUAUUCUCAAACUUAUCAUAUACCCAACUUUUAUAUUUCAUACUUGUCCUAAUAGAGGCACGUUAGGCCGGGUUACUUGAGUAACCUACAUAAUUGUCAUCCCUAGUUGAAAUACACUUUUUGGCAGUGGCCACCAACUGAGCUAGAAGCUUGAUUGAUUGACCUACAAGAUUAGUUCUCAUCAUUUUAAAAAAAGUUCUGGCUUUGGUUGUGAGUGCAAUUGAAUCUAAACUGGCAUUUGCUUAAUGCAUCUACUUCAAUCCUAAACUUCUUACUUCUUAAGCCUCAAUUGUUGUUAGGAUUUUGGAAAACCCAUUUCCUUAAAUUGUAAAUUUAAGAUAAAAUAAAAUAAAAGUGAGACAUUUCUUGAUUGAAUAUUGUUAAAGGUCCCUUGGCAUUAAGACUUGGUUGAAGCCUUGGAAGAUUAGUGGAACUCUCAACAUGUGUUUGAAUCUUGAGGAGAGUGGAUGUAAGCCAAAAUUUUGUCAAACCAUUAUACAAAUUGAGUUUGAAUCCUCAUUUCUUGAUUUCUUAUUUAUUUGCUUUUUCUUAUUAUUACUUGAAUUGUCAUUUGCAUUCAUUAAUGUUAAAAUUGGUUAUAAUUAACCAACACUAAUUCUCUUUCCCCUUCCCUUUCUUGGGUGUAAACCUAGGUUGGAUUAACUAGAUAAAUCUAUUAAGAUGGUAAAAGAAUAAUUAUUCUUAACAUACAUAAGAUCAUCUUCAAUCAAAUGACUCAUUGGCUAAUAUGUUGAAUUUGCUUAUUACUUGCAACUCAAAAUUGUGUUCUAGUUGUGUCAAGUCCCCAGUGUAUGGACAUUAAAUUUGUAGUACGUGAUGAGUAAUUAGAUGGUCCAACUCCAAGAAAGUGAUUGAAAAGUAGUUCAAGAAAGGUGCAAAAGGGAAUUGUUUUGGUAUUUUCGUUUUUAUUCUUGAAGGUGGCAGAGCUAAAAUUUGAGAAAUCAAGCAAAACAUACUGAAAUUACAUUGAAAGAAAGAAGAUGGGAGUUAAUGUCUUGCAGUACAUGAUAAGGACUUCAUGCAUGUAGUGUGACCCAUGUCUUGGACUGAUGCCAACUCACGGUUACACUUAUACCCUUGGUUCUCUCUUUACUACCUUGGCUAACCUAGAUCAGGCUAUGAGAUAGGCUCCUCACCACACCAUUACUUGCCCAUUAAUUAGAGACAUUUUCAAGCAAUGAGGUAACAUGGUGACACCAAGAGGGUCUAUUCCUCGCCCGGAACAAGUCUAGACUUGGUCUCAAAAAAAUGGAGAAAAAUGAGGUGUCGUUAUGUAGAAAUACAACAACCAUGCCUUCCUCAUUACUUAGAUUCAGAAUGUGAAGGUGAAAUUGAGAAACAGAAACUCUUGAAACCAAAAUGAAAAUUGAUACUUUUACGAAGAAUUACAACAACAUUAGAGGAAGACUACAUUCUUCCUCUUUAUUCCUACAUUUCUACACUACUUCUACUCCACUCCAUAUUUCUACAUACAUCUUUAAUCAGUCUUCCCUCCUUUAUAUAGAGCCAUCUUCACACAAAUUUCGCAAGGUAGAAAAGAGGAAUGAAACUUGGAGCAAGGUUCGACUACUGGUUGUAGCUUGUCAAGGCUGGAAGUGAACUUUUCUUGGCUUUCUGGGCAUGGGUAGUAACUUGUGGGUUCCUGUUUGGCAUAAAAAUGGCUAGAACAUGUGGCACUAUCUUGUUGGAUGAUGUGUCAAGCAUGUGGCAGCCAUCUAGUGGCGAUUAUGUCAAUUUUGGGAUGGAGAGUUGGCAUCCAAUUGCAAAGAAAUAUGACGUCUACCAACAUGCAAUGUAAACCUAUGUAGAUCAUAUGAAGAUAGAGAGGAAAAAUAUAGAAAUGGAUAUAUACCUAGAACUAGCUUUUUAUUAAAUGAAACGGAGAGACAACAAUGAAGGAAAAUAAAAUUUUUUGGCUUAUAUCAAAGAGUUCACAUUGUGUUACCCUAGGUUUUCUUAAAACUUACUUUUAUGAUAACAAAAAAGAAAAAACCAUUAUUGUUUAAUCCUUUGUUUUAAACGCAUGUAAGGUGUAAUUAAGUUAGUUCAAUGCAUUAAUUUAAGAAACUUGACCUAUCAAAAGUACAAAAUUAGAUGAAAUCCAUUUCAAUGGUUAAAAUGAUCAAAAUCAAACUUUUUCUAAGUAUUUUUUAAAAGCAUCAAUAGUGAAAGACAAUUUUAUAUUUAGUCGGAGUUUGGACAAAACUGAAAAACACACAAAAUCCAAGCGACCAUCUCUAGCUUGGAUGGUCGCUUGAUCCCACCUAGAGAUGUGCAUGAGUAAAAGGAUUUGAAAAUGGAAAUUGACUAUGUAGUCGAUCAAUUAACUUUGCAACAUCAUAUGCAAUCCUAAUUGCUAGUCAUCUAAUCAAUUAGGUAGUCAAUCAACAGGCCAAAAAUAUGUUUAUAAUGACUAUUUUGUACAAAAACCACCUGUAUAGUUAAAUAUAAUGCAUUUCAUUUAUAAAUCUUCUAAUUCUUGAAUAACGAUCCUAUCAUCCUUUGAAAGUUUUUAUUACACUUUUUUUACUUUUGUUCUAAAACUUACACAUCACCCUUAAUUGUACCAUGAGAACCUAGCUAUUUUUUAUUUUUUUUUUUGUAAUUCAUCAAAGUUAGCUUUUGUAUUCAUUGUUGUAUUAUUUUUAGUAUAACUUAGAAAGCUAGUGUUUUCAAGUGAGUAAAAUUAACUUGUAAAUAUUGUAAAGAUUCAUCGACAUGUAUCUUAAACUAAGUGUACAAGUUAAAACAUUUGCUAGUAGAUUUUCUCAAAAUUUAGAAUAGAGCUUGAGACUAUUGAAAUAGGUGGGGUUGCACCAAACCACAUCACAUCGUUGUUUGCACCUUUUUUCACUCUCUUUUACUUAGUUGCUCUAUAUUUGUUGUCUAGUAAUAUCCUAUAGGCUUGAUGGGUUAGGGAGCAUCCCUUUGUGAAAAAAUUUUAUUCAAUCCUUAGUUGUAUCACGCAUAUAUAAAAUGCCUCAUUGUUUUAAUGGUAUUCAGUCGUGGCAUCACAGAUAUGGGCAUCUAAAUUUUAAAAGUUUGAAACUUUUAUCUAAAGAAAAUAUGGUGCUUUGCCUUUUUGUAAAGCAUGUUGAUGAAAUCCAUGAGAAUUGUGUACUUGGGAAGCAACACCGAGAUGACUUUUUUUUUUUUUUUAUAAUAUUGUUUGUCCAAAUUCCCUACAAAUUAGGCCACCAGAUGUUCAUAAUUCUCCCUUCUUGAAUUUGAAAACUCGGACAAUUGGACAAUGCGACACCUAAGUCCGGUUUCUAAAUGCUAAAGUGAAAGGGUAGGUAUGGACCAUUGAAAUGUGAUCACAACUUUUCUCUGUAGCCAUGUUGUCUCUUUUUUCUUUUGCAUGAUUUUCUUACCUUAACAGAAUCAUAGACUUGUUUAGUCUCUAAAUGGGAUUAAUUUCAUCCAGCUUUAAGCUACUAUAUUAUAUCUAGGUGGAGGACUUUUAAGAGUGCAACCGACAUAGAGCACAUGGAAGUGGGUAUAUGGGACAUGAAAUUUCUUCUUAUAAAGAUUGCAUGAUUUUUAUAUUAGAGUUGUUGAGGCGCUAUGUAUUUAGCUUGUUUUGCAGUUAAAUUAAUUGGAUAAGUAGACAUUGGCGUUUCUAAAUCUACUGUGAAGUGCUUCAUGUACGUGUGAAGUAUUAGAAAUUUCUUUCUUGGCAACUUGUUUUUCUUUGCGGUCUACUGAUAGGUUUGACUAAAAUUAUAUUCCCUGUCAUGCUAAUUAAUUUUCACGUGCAUGCUCAAAAGAAAAGUAUGACCUUAGUGCACCAAAAUCACUUUGAUUAAUUUGUGAUAGGUUUUUGUGCAUCAUGACAUUAGCCUUAUUCAUUUAGAUAAUGUUUAGUUUUUAGAAAGUAUUAAGAAAAGGAAAAUAAAUAUUAAGAAAAAUAUUCUUAUAUUUGAUUGUAUUAUGAAAAAUAUCAUAAAAAAAUCAAAUAUAAUUUAAAUUAAUUAAUAAUUUAUACAUUUUCAAAUUAUUUAAUCUUUAUAUUGAAGAUAUAAUAUAAAUGAAAUGAGUUUUAAGUAUUAUAUAAAAGUGAUUUAUUGAUCUUACAUAUAUAUAUUUCUUUUUUUUUUCCUUCUAUUUUUUCUCUUUAUUUUAUUUUCCUUAUGUUUUCCUCAACAUUUUCCGGAACCAAACAUAGCCUUAGGAAAUCCACAAUUACCUUCAACUGAGUAGAUUCUGUUGUUUUAGCAAUGUUAGGCUGCUAACUUGUGUUGGUACGAACCUAUUAAGCCUAAAGAUGUAAUUAGUUAGGAUAUUCUUUUCCCUCUAGUCUUGUAGCUCCACGUGUACAGUUGGUUAGGACCUCAUUGUAUAUAAUGCUUGCCCUGUUAUUGUAGAAGACAACAAAGAUAAAUAAUAUUAACAUUUUUCCUCUCAUCUCUCUCUGUUUCCCUCUGUUUUCAUCUCCUCUCUCAUCUUGGUAUCAGAGCCUCCAUGGCUUCUUUCAAAGAAACCUCCGAAUCACCUUCUGCUAGCAUUGUUAAUGUGCAAAACCCAUUAUCUCAAUCAAACAACCUUCCUUCACCAGUAGCCACACCCUCUUUUUCUUUCUCGUCUAUGAAUCAACCUCUCACAGUGAAGCUGGAUAAUGGGAACUACCUCAUAUGGAAGAAUUAGCUUCUAAAUGUCAUCAUUGCUAACGGACUCGAUGAUUUCAUUGACGGAUCUCGACCCUGCCCUCCUCGAUUUCUCGAUCUGCAACAACAAACCCUCAAUCCAGAGUACUCAGCUUGGCAGAGAUACAAUCGACUUCUGAUGAGUUGGCUGUACGCAUCCUUGUCCAAAGAUAUAAUGGCUCAGAUUGUUGGGUAUUCAACAGCUAUGGAGAUUUGGAAUGCCCUUAAUCAGAUUUACUCUGCCUCUUCUAUGGCGCGGUUUACUGAGCUUCGCACCAAGCUUCAAACGCUCAAGAAAGAUGGACUCUCAGUUGGUGAAUAUAUUCAAAGGCUCAAAUCCAUUUGCAAUAGUCUUGCAGCAAUAGGAGAACCAGUUUCUGAGAAAGACCAUCUUAUCUAUUUGUUCAAUGGAUUAGAUUGUGAGUAUUAUUCUUUUGUUACCUCCAUUCAAAAUCGAUCUGACCAACCAACUAUUGACAAAAUCCAUAGCCUAUUGCUUAGCUAUGACUUCCGGCUUGAACAACAAAACUCUGUUUCUCUCCAUUCUGCCCAAGUCCAUAUGGCUCAUCUGAACAAGAAACCUUAUAAAUCAACUCCUCAACCUACAUUCAAUCAUAUUCACAUUCAACCUAGAUACUCUUCUCCACCUUUUAAGCCAACCACUAGUCAAUAUCAACCCAACAUUUUGGGCAAACCACAACCACAACCAUGACAGCCUCAACCUCAAUGGAAACCACAUUUUUCAAUCUAAAAUCAAAAGCCUCAGCGCCAAAUUUGUGGUAAAUUUGGACACACUGCUCUUAUUUGCUUCCAUCACACAAAUUUGAACUAUUCACCCCAACCUUCUCCUAAAUCUUUCAAUACUGUUCUCACCACAAAUUCCCAGCUCCCUAAUCCUCCAAAAUUUUCUUACCCUACAAUGGCUCAUCCUGCUGCUACGCAUAACACGGUUCCCGAUACAAAUUGGUACAUGGACUCAGGUGCUACACAUCACUUUACUCUGGACAUCAACGUGCUUGACACUGUGACACCAUUUAGUGGUUCAGAACAGGUGACAGUUGGGAAUGGUAAGCAACUCUGUAUCUCACAUCUUGGUACUGCAAAACUACCAUCUUCGUAUUCUCCUCCUGUUCUACAUCAGGUAUAUCACACUCCAAAAAUUUCAAAUAAUCUUAUUAGUGUUAAAAAAUUGUGUUCUGAUAAUAAAGUUUUUGUUGAAUUUUAUGCCACUCAUUUUCUUGUCAAGGAUCAGGUUUCGAAGAGAGUUCUCCUUUAGGGUCAACUUGAUAAUGGCUUAUACAAAGUUCAGUCGUCAUGCUCUCCUUCUGCUGUUUCCUUUCCUCCUCAAGUUUUCAUAGCCAACAUCAAGUAUCCAAAUCUGUGGCACAAGAGACUAGGCCACCCAGCUUUAUCUGUUGUUAAUCAAAUCUUGGAUUCUUGUAACAUUGCUCGAACACAGAAAAUUUGUUUUAAUUUUUUAAAUUCUUGUCAAUUAGCAAAGAGCCACAGGCUUCCUUUUUCUCUGUCUCCAUCCAUUGCAGAAAAACCUUUUGAGUUAAUUCAUACAGACCUAUGGGGUCUUUCGCUCGUUCGCUCUAUUUCUGGUGCUCUUUAUUUUUUACUUUUCAUUGAUGAUCAUACUCGUUUUACUUGGUUUUAUUUGCUCAAAACAAAAGAUGAAGCAUAUCCUACUUUUCUCAAGUUUCAAGCUCUCAUUGAAAAUCAAUUUAAUACCAAGAUUAAGGCUGUCCAAUCUGAUUGGGGAGGUGAGUUUCGAUCUCUCUCCAUACCGUUUUCAAAUAUGGGCAUUGUCUAUUGUUUAUCGUGUCCAUACACCUCACAACAGAAUGGGCGAGUUGAGCGAAAAAAUCGCCAUGCGAUUGUCCUUUCUUGCUUGCUCUAUGCCCUUAUCUUAUUGGCCUUAUGCCUUUCAAACUGCCACUUACCUUAUUAAUCGUCUCUCUACCCCUGUGCUGCAUCAUCAAUCCUCUUACUUCGCACUCUAUCACAAACUCCCAACUUAUACUCAUCUUAAGGUCUUUGGUUCCUCUUGUUUUCCGUAUUUGCACCCUUAUAAUACCCAUAAACUCCAAUACAGGUCACUAGAGUGUGCUUUUCUUGGUUACAGUUCACACCACAAAGGUUAUCUAUGUCUUGACAUUCAUUCUAGCAGGGUGUAUAUUUCUCGCCAUGUGAUUUUUAAUGAAGAUUCUUUUCCAUUCAAGAAUUUGAAAUCUUCUCUCUCUCAGUCUAUUUCUUCUUCCUCUUCUUUAUAAGUUCCUCUGUUCAUUCUCUUGCCUCCCCUUUCCCCAUCUCCUCUUAUUUCUUCAUCUAUACCUCAUUCUUUUCCCUCUUCUUCUUCUACCUCUAGUACUUGUUCCCCUCUCGUUGCUCCUACCUCUCUUCCUUCCUCUUCACACUCUGUGUCUCCAUCUAUUCCACCUCCUUCUCCACCUUCUCCGAGUGUGGACCUGCUUGCACCUUGUGUGAAUACAAAUUUACAUACUUCUUCUCGCACUCACAAUAUUCAUCCUAUGGUGACUAGAUCUAAGGUUUGUAUCUAUAAACCUAAGUUGUUGUUGAGUGUCUCCAUAGGUUCUCUCACUAAGCCUACUUCCUUUCUUCAAGCUAUUAAAGAUCCUUCAUGGAAGCAAUCCAUGGAAUUCGAGUUUGCUACCCUUCAACACAACAAGACCUGGCAUUUGGUUCCUUCACCUUCCUCAGGCGAAGUAAUCGGUUGUAAAUGGGUCUAUAAGCUAAAGCUUCAGCCUGAUGGCUAAAUUGAGAGAUACAGCCUGCUUAGUAGCUAAGGGUAUCAUCAAAUUGAAGUAUGGACUACUUCGAAACAUUCAGCCUGAUNNNNNNNNNNNNNNNNNNNNNNNNNNNNNNNNNNNNNNNNNNNNNNNNNNNNNNNNNNNNNNNNNNNNNNNNNNNNNNNNNNNNNNNNNNNNNNNNNNNNAGCUUCAGCCUGAUGGCUAAAUUGAGAGAUACAAGGCCUGCUUAGUAGCUAAGGGUUAUCAUCAAAUUGAAGGUAUUGACUACUUCGAAACAUUCAGCCUGAUUGUCAAGCUUUCUACUAUCUGUAUUGUGCUCAGUCUUACUUUUUCCCAGAAUUGGUGUAUUAGACAGCUGGAUGUUCAUAAUGCCUUCUUACAUGGUGACUUAGCUAAAGACGUUUUCAUGGAACAACUGCCUGGAUUUGUUGAUCCUCUCUAUCCUACUCAUGUCUGCAAGUUGGAUAAGUCUCUCUACUGUCUUAAAUAGUCACCUCGGGCUUGGUAUACUAAGCUGAGUACUUCUCGCUACACUUGGGAUUUGUUACUUCUAAGAAUGACUCUUCCUUAUUUAUUUGUCAUUCGUCUCAUGGGUUACUUCUUGUUCUUGUCUAUGUGGAUGAUAUAAUCGUCAUUGGGAGCCACUCUCCUCAGGUUACUCACCUUAUCCAACAGUUGCAUCAUUAGCUUUCUUUAAAGGAUCUUGGUCCUUUACAUUAUUUUCUGGGCUUGGAGGUUCAUCACACCCCUACUGGUAUUCACCUCAGCCAAGCAAAGUAUAUCACUGAUCUCCUUACCCGGGCGGCUAUGUUGGAUGCCAAGCCAUGUCCCACUCCUAUGUCCUCCAACACAUAUCUCUCUUUUCAUGAUGGAGUGGCUCUUGAAAAUGGUUCAGAUUAUCGAAGUUUUGUUGGUGCCCUUUAGUAUUGUACCAUGACACGCCCAGAUAUAGCUUUUGCAAUAAAUAAAGUGUGUCAAUUCAUGCACCAUCCCUCUAAUGUUCACUGGCAGGCUAUAAAACGUAUUCUCCGGUACUUAAAGGGCACAUCUCAUUUUGGUCUCUUCCUACAGCCUUCCUAUGACUUCAACAUCACUUGCUAUACAAAUGCCGACUGGGCUUCCUGUCCUGAUGACAAGUGUAGCACCAGUGGCUACUGCCUCUUUCUUGCCUCUAAUCUGGUUUCUUGGUCAUCUUCCAAACAAAAAGUGGUCUCCCGCUCCAGCGCCGAAUCAGAGUACCGAGGGGUAGCAAAUGGGGCUGCUGAAAUUGCUUGGACUGAAUCUCUUCUUUGUGAACUUUCCAUUACUCCCCCUCCCCUCAUUCUCUGUGACAAUAUCAGUGCCACGUACUUAGCUGCCAAUCCUAUUUUGCAUGCCCGCACCAAACAUGUGGAAAUCGACUAUCACUUUGUCACGGAACGUGUUCUUCAAUGCUCUCUUUUUGUCCAGUUUACACCUUCUGAUGAUCAACUUGCUGAUUGCAUGACCAAGCCUCUCUCCACCCAACGUUUCAUCACUCUACGCUCCAAGCUCACUGUUCUCACUAGACCAAUGAGCUUGAGGGGGGAUGUUAAGCCUAAAGAUGUAAUUAGUUAGGAUAUUCUUUUCCCUCUAGUCUUGUAGCUCCACGUGUACAGUUGGUUAGGACCUCAUUGUAUAUAAUGCCUGCCCUGUUAUUGUAGAAGACAACAGAGAUAAAUAAUAUUAACAUUUUUCCUCUCAUCUCUCUCUCUGUUUCCCUCUGUUUUCAUCUCCUCUCUCAUCUGAACCAAAUGAUCCAUGUUAACCUUGGCUUGGUUUGAUUUGGCUCUAUCUUAGAGAGCUCAAGGAUCACGUCAACUCUGGUUUCUACUAUUCAGGUCCAUUCCCAUAUGAACUGGUUCAAAUUUGAGAAAAUGGUAACAGACCUUUAGUGAUGUUGGUUUGGAGCCAGUUGCCAAACCCGCCCUGAGCUUUACCACUAAUGUCAAGGGAGAAAGCCAUUUGAACAAAAACAAUAGCUUCAAGGGACUGAAUCGUGGAUGAAAUCUGAUCCACAUUUCUUCUCAUUUUGGAAACAAAUGAGAACUUAACUAAGAAGAUUCUACGGCCUCAUAGUGCUUUUCCUGAUCUAAGGUUGGUUCGUUUCCCAAACUGUGAGAUGCACGUGCCAGACUUCAGAACUCUCACGCUCAGGAGUGUAUCCACGUGGUGGACAUAAGAUGGUGGCUUAAGAUCUGGUGUCGGUGGCUUUACUUUACUAGGAGAGUAGUGUGUCUUCAUCUCAUUCACUGCCGGAGGGUGGCGUAAGCAGUGACGCUAAGGUGGGGCACAGUCAAUAUCAUUUGCAUUUGACCAUUAUAGUUUUCUCCCGGCUUUAAAGUAACCUUAUCGUGAUAAAGGAUUACUAGCACUAGUUCAGAUGAUAGUCAUGUUAAAUUCGGACCAUGUUUGUGUCACAUUAUCAGCAACCAUGUGUUUAUGGUUCAUGCUUUCUGCAACUAAAAUUGAUAUAUAACCAGGUGAACUUCAAUCUAAAUUCUGAAAGUACUCAUGUGAUAGAUGGUGCCCGUCUGCAGAGUCCAUCAAUUGAAAAAUGGAGUGAGUGUAUCUAUAAGAGGGAAGGCUUGGAAAAUGUUCAGUUUUCUGGGAAUUCAACAAGGAUCUAAAAUAGAUUGUUUUCUUUGCUGAUUUCAAUGGUUGAAAUUUGAGAAGAUUGUGUCCACAUAACACAACUAUUACUGGUCCUUCUGUUGCAAUUUAUCCUCUAAAGCUCUAGCAUGUCUUCCAAUUCCCACUUCCCUGUUACUCCAGGAAAGCUAUUUCUGUCAUUGUGAAGAAGAAAAGAGAAUGUACAUAUCGAUGCUUUUAAGUGACUGGAGCAUUUAUAUCAGGUGGUCUGCAGCCAUAUAUGCCACUUUGUGAAGAUUGGAACAGUCAAUCACUAGGCUAUAUAUUAGUGUGGCCCAGCCACUUUAAUCAAGGACAAGUCUUCAUACUUAAAGUCAAAUUCUGCCUUUAGUCUCAUUAUAAAUUUCUGUUUAAAUAUUAAGCAAACAUUUGUUUAAUGCGAUUAAGACAGUACUAACUCAAUACCUGUUCUAUUUUUGGAUGCAAAUGCUUGAUGGUUUCAUCAUUGGAUGGGAUAAAGGUGCAUUCAUGAUUAGGAAUACUAGUAGUUAUAUUUUAAUUCUCUUUUUUCUCAAUGAGACUUGUUGGCACAAUUUUGCUGUUGAGAAACCUACCUCUCCAUGGAAAAUAAGUUGUGAUUGAUAGUACUGGAUAUAUUCAAGAAAUCUAAAUAUAGAUAGCACAAAAUAUUAUCGACAUAAAUAGCAUUAACAGCGUACGUAUGUCUCAGUGCUCAUCAGCUAUAAGCAUGGGGCAAACACUUACUAUGAGCAACUUACGUCAAAAUUCCAGAAUAGGACAUAGAAGUGACAGAUAUAGAACAUUGCAUAUGAGUCACAAGAAAGGAAAUUACGGGUGCAUAGCAGCUCUUAUUUUACAUACUACUACUCAUACUGAUCAAAGUCACUCAGUUGGGAUGGGUGGGAGUAGGAGGUUUGUGGGGUGGCUUGUGCGGAGGAGUUGGCAGCUUCUUUCCAGGACCUGGUUGCUUCUCUGCUGGAGUUGAAGGAGGCUUAAUCUUCCGAGGUGGCUUGUAUGAGUCUUCAGCAUUCUCAGCUGGAGGGUGACCAGGGUUGUGACCAUAAUGUGGUGGCUUCUCUCCCUUAGGUGGUUUGCCAACUGGGGUUGGUGGCUUGUAUGAGUCUUCAGCAUUCUCAGCAGGAGGGUGACCAGGGUUGUGACCAUAAUGUGGUGGCUUCUCUCCCUUAGGUGGUUUGCCAACUGGGGUUGGUGGCUUGUGUUCUGGGAGUGGCUUCUCCCCCUUGGGAGGUUUUUCCAAUGGGGUUGGUUUGUGUUCAGGAGGUGGCUUCUCCACUGGAGGCUUGUGUUCAGGAGGUGGCUUCUCCACCGGAGGCUUGUGUUCAGGUGGUGGCUUCUCCACCGGAGGCUUAUGCUCUGGUGGUGGCUUCUCGAAUGGGGGAUGCUUAGGAUAAUCAGCAAGUGAGGGGGCGGUGAGAACCACCAGGCCAAGCAACACCACUAGCAAAUAUGUAGGAGACAUCUUUGGGUUUGGGCUCAGAUGGUGCAAAACUAGGAGAAUUGGCUAGCCUUUUAUAGCGGAUCGUACCCAAUAAUGAAAUGACACGUGUCAUUAUGACCCAUGUGUAAUGGGGUCGAUUUGGGUCCUACAGUGUUGAAAACUUCGACAUCCACUUUUGGCCUUUUGCUUUCUCUACAGCCGCCUUGCUUUUUCCCUCUUUCCUUUUGUUUUCCUCCUGCCCCAUUCUAUCAACUAAACACAAUUAUGUAGUUGUUUAAUUCUUAAAUGAGAUAUUAUCCGUCAAUCGUAUUAUAUUUUAUCAAGAGAGAACGGAGUGCAAUGUGGCUGUAAUUUUAUCGUUUAGUUUUAUCUCUUGGACCACUGCAUUUUUGUUAAGAGGUGCAAUAAUACACGUCUUUAUCUGCCAUUCAAUAUUUACAGUAAAGAGAGGGCACAAAACUCUUCACUUCGCACCAUAAUUAUUUUGUUUUCUGGACACCCCGGGGCCCUUUGGUUGGUUUGGGGGUCAGAAAGUGAACAUCAUAGGGGGUUUUUCCCUUAUGUGCAUUUGUAUCUGAUGGCUUUAACUCGCCUUGUUACUACAAAGAAACUGUCACAGAUAGGAACUUAUUCCAGGCUGAGUAUCUCCUCAUAGACCCUAUAAAAGAAGACAAGUCAUAAUGAACAUCUAACCUUUGUUCAAUUUGAUUCAAUGCCCCCAUUGUGUCCAUCUCACAAAUCUGAAUUAUUAUAUCCAUUGAAUACAUAAAUUAAUGAAGAAAAUAUGAAACCCAAGAUACAUCUCUGCACAACCUCAACCCUGGUUGCUAUGUUUCCCUUCUAUUCACAUGAUUUGAUGCUAAUUGCCAAACUUGCAACAAGCCCUGAGUUUGACACCUAGUAUCGAUGGGCGAAUUUAAAGUCUCCUCCAAACAUAUAUUCCACAGCUUGAAGCUCACAGAAGAUGUUACAGGCAGGGAAAAACCUUCAGAGUUCGCUACCAAAGAUAAUUAUUAAGGAGAUAUCACAAAGAGAAUUCCAAGGGGUCUGAAUCAAAGACAAAUUGGUCGUUCGUGGGGGUUCUUACUUUCUUUUGGGUAUAACUCACUGAGGGCACUGUCUUUGUUAUUUGCAUUUCACAUUUAGAGUUCUGUUCUGGAAACAUAUAAAAGGAGCAUCAUUUUGUUCUUGGGUAACCCAUAGUCGUGAGUGGGUCCAUUUGCAUGCUACUUAGUUGAAAAGUUGGACCAUUUGCUCCGACGCCUACCUCCCGGAUUCCAUGCUCGGAUAAAACAAGAAUAAAAAAAAUAUUUAUAAUUUACAAAUGGGGGAAAGAAAAAAAUGUCAACAACAAACCAGGAAAAAAGAGUAGUAAAAUUCAUGUCACAUGCUAGUGAGAGAAGGGGUUGUUACACUCACUCGAAGUUCUUUCCAAAAUAUCGCAUGGUAUUUUAUUUUAUGUGUCAGCGCAGUUGUGAAUGGAACGUGCAAAAGUCCAAAUUGGCGUUUUUCCUUUUCCCGUGUAGGAUGGCGACCUUUAAUAAAUAUUUAAAACAAAAAACGAAAAAAAGGAGGGAAAAGGGAUCAGAAAAGAUAAAACAAUGUGUACAAGAGCUCAAUUAGUUUGCAAAUUACUGUUUGGAUUUUGAUAGUAUUUUAUUUGUCCAUCUAUAUUUGAUGGAAAAGAGAAUUUAAGAUAUUUCUGAAACAAAAGCAUUAGUGUAAAACUAAAUUAAGGUAUAAUUAAGUUAGUUCAAUGCAUUAAUUUAAGAAACUUGAUCUAUCCAAAGUACAAAAUUAGAUGAAAUCCAUUUCAAUGGUUAAAAUGAUCAAAAUCAAACUUUUUCUAAGUAUUUUUUAAAAGCAUCAAUAUUAAAAGACAAUUUUAUAUUUAGUCGGAGUUUGGACAAAACCAAAAAGCACACAAAAUCCAAGCGACCAUCUCUAGCUUGGAUAGUCACUUGAUCCCACCUAGAGAUGUGCAUGAGUAAAAGGAUUUGAAAAUGGAAAUUGACUAAAUAUUUAGUUGAUCAAUUAAAUUUGCAAUGUCAUAUGCAAUCCUAAUAGCUAGUCAUCUAAUCAAUUAGGUAGUCAAUCAAGUGUUUGUAAUGACUAUUUUGUACAAAAAACCACAUGUAUAGUUAAAUAUAAUGCAUUUCAUUUAUAAAUCUUCUAAUUCUUGAAUAACGAUCCUAUCAUCCUUUGAAAAUUUUUAUUACACCUUUUUUACUUUUGUUCUAAAACUUACAUAUCACCCUUAAUUGUACCAUGAGAACCUAGCUAUUUUUUUUUUUUUUGUAAUUCAUCAAAGUUAGCUUUUGUAUUCAUUGUUGUAUUAUUUUUAGUAUAACUUAGAAAGCUAGUGUUUUCAAGUGAGUAAAAUUAACUUGUAAAUAUUGUAAAGAUUCAUUGAUAUGUAUCUUAAACUAAGUGUACAAAUUAAAACAUUUGCUAGUAGAUUUUCUCAAAAUUUAGAAUAGAGCUUGAGGCUAUUGAAAUAGGUGGGGUUACACCAAACCACAUCACAUCGUUGUUUGCACCUUUUUUCACUCUCUUUUACUUAGUUUCUCUAUAUUUGUUGUCUAGUAAUAUCCUAUAGGCUUGAUGGGUUAGGGAGCAUCCCUUUGUGAAAAAAUUUCAUUCAAUUCUUAGUUGUAUUACGCAUAUAUAAAAUGCCUCAUUGUUUUAAUGGUAUUCAGUCGUGGCAUCACAGAUAUGGGCAUCUAAAUUUUAAAAGUUUGAAACUUUUGUAAAGCAUGUUGAUAAAAUCCAUGAGAGUUGUGUACUUGGGAAGCAACAUCGAGGUGACUUUAUUUUUUUUUCCUUUUAUAAUGCCACACCUAAGUCCGGUUUCUAAAUGCUAAAGUGAAAGGGUAGGUAUGGACCAUUGAAAUGUGAUCACAACUUUUGGCCUUUUCCUUUCUCUGCAGCCAUGUUGUCUCUUUUUUCUUUUGCAUGAUUUUCUUACCAAAACAGAAUCAUAGACUUGUUUAGUCUCUAAGCUACUAUAUUAUAUCUCGGUGGACUUUUAAGAGUGCAACCGACAUAGAGCACAUGCAAGUGGGCAUAUGGGACAUGAAAUUUCUUCUUACAAAGAUUGCAUGAUUUUUAUAUUAGAGUUGUUCACGUGCAAUGUAUUUAGCUUGUUUUGCAGUUAAAUUAAUUGGAUAAGUAAACAUUGGCAUUUCUAAAUCGACUGUGAAGUGCUUCAUGUACGUGUAAAGUAUUAGAAAUUUCUUUCUUGGCAACUUGUUUUUUCCUUGCCAUCUACUGGUAGGUUUGACUAAAAUUAUAUUCCCUGUCAUGCUAAUUAAUUUUCAUGUGCAUGCUCAAAAGAAGAGUAUGACCUUAGUGCACCAAAAUCACUUUGAUUAAUUUGUGAUAGGUUUUUUUGCAUCAUUUAGAUAAUGUUUAGUUCUAAGAAAAAUUUAUAUAAAAAUGGUUUAUUUAUCUUACAUAUAUAUAUAUAUAUAUAUAUUUUUUUUUUUUUCAUUUUUUUUUCUUCUAUUUUAUUUAUUUAUUUUAUUUUCCUUAUGUUUUCCUCACAUUUUCCGGAACUAAACAUAGUCUUACGAAAUCAACAAUUGCCUUCAACUGAGUAGAUUCUGUUGUUUUAGCAAUGUUAGGCUGCUAACUUGUGGUGGUACGAACCAAAUGACCCAUGUUAAUCUUGGCUUGGUUUGAUUUGGCUCUAUCUCAGAGAGCUAAAGGAUCACGUCAACUCUGGUUUCUACUAUUCAGGUCCAUUCCCAGAUGAACUGGUUCAAAUUUGAGAAAAUGGUAACAGACCUUUAGUGAUGUUGGUUUGGAGCCAGUUGCCAAACCCGCCCUGAGCUUUACCACUAAUGUCAAGGGAGAAAGCCAUUUGAACAAAAACAAUAGCUUCAAGAGACUGAAUCGUGGAUGAAAUCUGAUCCACAUUUCUUCUCAUUUUGGGAAAAAAUGAGAACUUAACUACAAAGAUUCUACUGCCUCAUUCAUAGUGCUUUUCCUGAUCCAAGGUUGGUUCGUUUCCCAAAUUGUGAGGUGCACGUGCCACUCUCACGCUCAGGAGUGUAUCCACGUGGUGGACAUCAGAUGGUGGCUUAAUAUCUGGUGUCGGUGGCUUUACUUUACUAGGAGAGUAGUGUGUCUUCAUCUCAUUCACUGCCGGAGGGUGGCGUAAGCAGUGACGCUAAGGUGGGGCACAGUCAAUAUCAUUUGCAUUUGACCAUUAUAGUUUUCUCCCGGCUUGAAAGUAACCUUAUCGUGAUAAAGGAUUACUAGCACUAGUUCAGAUGACCGUCAUGUUAAUUCGGACCAUGUUUGUGUCACAUUAUCAGCAACCAUGUGUUUAUGGUUCAUGCUAUCUGCAACUAAACUUGAUAUAUAACCAGGUGAACUUCAAUCAAAAUUCUGGAAGUACUCUUGUGAUAGAUGGUGCCUGUCUGCAGAGUCCAUCAAUUGAAAAAUGGAGUGAGUGUAUCUAUAAGAGGGAAGGCUUGGCAAAUGUUCAGUUUUCUGGGAAUUCAACAAGGAUCUAAAAUAGAUUGUUUUCUUUGCCGACUUCAAUGGUUGAAAUUUGAGAAGAUUGUGUCCACAUAUCACAACUAUUACUGGUCCUUCUGUUGCAAUUUAUCCUGUAAGGCUCUAACAUGUCUUCCAAUUCCCACUUCCCUGUUACUCCAGGAAAGCUAUUUCUGUCAUUGUGAAGAAGAAAAGAGAAUGUACAUAUCGAUGCUUUUAAGUGACUGGAGCAUUCAUAUCAGGUGGUCUGCAGCCAUAUAUGCCACUUUGUGAAGGUUGGAACAGUCAAUCACUAGGCUAUAUAUUGGUGUGGCCCAGCCACUUCAAUCAAGGACAAGUCUUCAUACUUAAAGUCAAAUUCUGCCUUUAGUCUCAUUAUAAAUUGCUGUUUAAAUAUUAAGCAAACUUUUGUUUAAUGCGAUUAAGACAGUACUAACUCAAUACUUGUUCUAUUUUUGGAUGCAAAUGCUUGAUGGUUUCAUCAUUGGAUGGGAUAAAGGUGCAUUCAUGAUUAUGAAUACUUGUAGUUAUAUUUUCAUUCUCUUUUUUCUCAAUGAGACUUGUUGGCACAAUGUUGCUGUUCAGAAACCUACCUCUCCAUGGAAAAUAAGUUGCGAUUGAUAGUACUGGAUAUGUUCAAGAAAGCUAAAUAUAGAUAGCACAAAAUAUUAUCGAUAUAAAUAGCAUUAACAGCGUACGUAUGUCUCAAUGCUCAUCAGCUAUAAGCAUGGGACAAACACUUACUAUGAGCAACUUACGUCAAAAUUCCAGAAUAGGACAUAGAAGUGACAGAUCUAUAUAUAUAGAACACUGCAUAUGAGUCACAAGAAAGGAAAUUACGGGUGCAUAGCAGCUCUUAUUUUACAUACUACUACUCAUACUGAUCAAAGUCACUCAGUUGGGAUGGGUGGGAGUAGGAGGUUUGUGGGGUGGCUUGUGCGGAGGAGUUGGCAGCUUCUUUCCAGGACCUGGUUGCUUCUCUGCUGGAGUUGAAGGAGGCUUAAUCUUCCGAGGUGGCUUGUAUGAGUCUUCAGCAUUCUCAGCUGGAGGGUGACCAGGGUUGUGACCAUAAUGUGGUGGCUUCUCUCCCUUAGGUGGUUUGCCAACUGGGGUUGGUGGCUUGUAUGAGUCUUCAGCAUUCUCAGCAGGAGGGUGACCAGGGUUGUGACCAUAAUGUGGUGGCUUCUCUCCCUUAGGUGGUUUGCCAACUGGGGUUGGUGGCUUGUGUUCUGGGAGUGGCUUCUCCCCCUUGGGAGGUUUUUCCAAUGGGGUUGGUUUGUGUUCAGGAGGUGGCUUCUCCACUGGAGGCUUGUGUUCAGGAGGUGGCUUCUCCACCGGUGGCUUGUGUUCAGGAGGUGGCUUCUCCACCGGAGGCUUAUGCUCUGGUGGUGGCUUCUCCACCGGAGGCUUAUGCUCUGGUGGUGGCUUCUUGAAUGGGGGAUGCUGAGGGUAAUCAGCAAGUGAGGGGGCGGUGAGAACCACCAGGCCAAGCAACACCACUAGCAAAUAUGUAGGAGACAUCUUUGGGUUUGGGCUCAGAUGGUGCAAAACUAGGAGAAUUGGCUAGCCUUUUAUAGCGGAUCGUACUCAAUAAUGAAAUGACACGUGUCAUUAUGACCCAUGUGUAAUGGGGUCGAUUUGGGUCCUACAGUGUUGAAAACUUCGACAUCCAGUUUUGGCCUUUUGCUUUCUCUACAGCCGCCUUGCUUUUUCCCUCUUUCCUUUUGUUUUCCUCCUGCCCCAUUCUAUCAACUAAACACAAUUAUGUAGUUGUUUAAUUCUUAAAUGAGAUAUUAUCGGUCAAUCGUAUUAUAUUUUAUCAAGAGAGAACGGAGUGCAAUGCAGCUGUAAUUUUAUCGUUUACUUUUAUCUCUUGGACCACUGCAUUUUUGUUAAGAGGUGCAAUAAUACACGUCUUUAUCUGCCAUUCAAUGUUUACAGUAAAGAGAGGGCACAAAACUCUUCACUGCUCUGCAUGUGUCCCAAAAAUGCGAUUGGACAAAUUAUGAUUUGCAUGCUAAAAAGAGGCAAAUGAGGUUAAUUCGCACCAUAAUUAUUUGGUUUUCUGGACACCAUAAAAAGAUGUUAUACAGGCAGGGAAAAACCUUCAGAGUUAGCUACCAAAGAUAAUUAUCAAGCAGAUAUCACCAAGAGAAUUCCAUAGAGUCUGAAUCAAAGACAGAUUGCUCGCUCGUGGGGGUUCUUACUUUCUUUUGGGUAUAACUCACUGAGGUCACUGUCUUUUUUAUUUGCAUUUCACAGUUAGAGUUCUGCUCUGGAAGGUUUGUUCUGGAAACAUAUAAAAGGAGCAUCAUUUUGUUCUUGGGUAACCCAUAGUCGUGAGUGGGUCCAUUUGCAUGCUACUUAGUUGAAAAGUUGGACAAUUUGCUCCGACGCCUACCUCCUGGAUUCCAUGCUCGGUAAAACAAGAAUAAAAAAAAAUAUAUAAUUUACAAAUGGGGGAAAGAAAAAAUGUCGGAAAAAAUAGUAAAAUUCAUGUCACAUGCUAGUGAGAGAAGGGGUUGUUACACUCACUCGAAGUUCUUUUCAAAAUAUCGAAUGGUAUUUUACUUUAUGUGUCAGCGCAGUUGUGAAUGGAACGUGCAAAAGUCCAAAUUGGCGUUUUUAUUUUUCCCAUGUAGGAUGGUGACCUUUAAUAAAUAUUUAAAACAAAAGACGAAAAAAAAAAGGAGGGAAAAGGGAUCACAAAAGAUAAAAUAAUGUUUACAAAAGCUCAAUUAGUUUGCAAAUUACUGUUUGGAUUUUGAUAGUAUUUUAUUUGUCGUUCUAUAUUUGAUGUAAAAGAGAAUUUAAGAUAUUUCCGAAGCAAAAGCAUUAGUUUGCUCUGUGAUGUCCCACAUCGAAUAGGGGAGAAAGUUUCUGGCGCUAUAUAUGUAGAGGCUCCUCUUAACCAAGUAGAUGCGUUUUAAAACCAUGAGGGCCCCCUUAGGUCCAAAGCGGACAAUAUCUACAUGAUUGGGUGUAAGUCAUUACAAAUGGUAUCAGAGCCGAUCCCCGACCCCGGUGUGGGGGUUUGUUUGGCCCUGUAAGGGGUGUUUGUCUGUUUGACCCCACAAUCCCAUGGGACACAACGAGGACGUUGUGUCUGCAUGGGGGGGCGUUUGUGAUGUCCCACAUCGGAUAGGGGAGAAAGUUCCUAGUGCUAUAUAUGUAGAUGUUUCUCUUAACCAAGUAGAUGCAUUUUAAAAUUGUGAGGGCCUCUUUGGGCCCAAAGCGGACAAUAUCUACAUGGUUGAGUGUAAGUCAUUACAUGCUCCAUGUCAAUUUCAGCAUUUCUCAUAUGUUUCACACAUACACAGAAGAGCAUCGUUUUUUAAAGCAUGCAUUUAUGUUGGAUUAAUUUGGAUUUUGUGGGAACUGGGGCAAGGAUCACAUGGAAGAGAGGUUGACUUUUUUCAGUACUUCAAUGGUUGAAAUAUGUGAAGGCUUGAUUGAUACUAAAGCUUGAAAUUGCGACUCUGUCAUUUGUAAAAAAAUAUGACAGCUUCCAUGCUCUCGUUUGGUUGCAUUGUCCGGUCGAGAGGUGCAAAAAGCAUUCUCUCUCUUCUAAUAGUCUUUUCGUUUAAAUCAAGGGAUUUGCCUUCCCGGUCGAGGUCCAAUAGAGGGUAACGGUCACCUACUAAACAUUAAAUGCUCCAACAACUAGUGAACUGAUCGACCCCAGCUCGACUAGUUGAGGUUACUUUUUGGUUUUCUUGUCUCCCGAGGUUAGAAACCUAUAAAUAGAGAGCUUCACUUCAUUUAUGAGUAAGAGAACACCUAAAUUUAUUUGUUUACCUACUUGUUUUUGCCAUAAAAGCUCUCAUUUCUUUUCUUGGUGUAUUAAAUCUCCAUUUGCAUAUCCUUUAGUGCACCUUUGUGAUUCAUUCUAGCCUUGAGUUGUAUUUAAGCCUUUGUUGAGCUAGGUUGAGAGUUUCAUACUUGUUUAUUGAGUGUUAAAGCCUUCAAGUGAGUUAAAACUUGAAGAGAUUGUGUAAGAGCCCAUUGGAGUCGGAAUCCAAGUGUAAAGGUGAUUAAAAGCUUGGUUGAAGCUUCAAGUUAGUGGAACUCUCACUCGGUUAUGAGCUUGAGAAGAGUGGACAUAGACAAGGCAGUGUCGAACCACUAUAAAAUCUGAGUUUGAUUUCUCUAACCUUAUCUCUUUAUAUUUGCUUCUCUUGUGCUUAAAUUUUUUGUGUUUAAAAAGAAUUUUUAAAAACUCAAUUCACCCCCUUCUUGGGAGUUUUUCUCUUUUAAGAUCAGCUUUUAUUUUCUCAAUUGGUAUCAGAACUAUGCCUCUUGUUUAAGACUUAAUCGUCUAAGAGGAAAUGGCUAAUCCAUCAAGUUCAUCUCACAUUGAAAGUUUUGCAACCAAUAGACUUCUUUUUUUUUUUUUGCGGGAACUGAUUAUCCCUAUUGGAAAACUAAAAUGACUUGGUUUUUACAAUCAAUUGAUUUAGAUGUAUGAGAUGCCAUUGAAGAUGACCUAACUUUUCCUUCAAAACUAGUUGAUGGAGUCAUGGUUCCAAAACCUAAGCAAGAAUGGGAUGAGCGUGAUUGAAGAAAUUUUCAAUUAAAUGCUAAAGUCGUUUAUACUUUGCAAUGCUCUAUGGACAGAAAUGAAUAUAAUAGAAUAUGUCAAUGCAAAUCGGUUAAAGAAAUUUGGAGAUUGCUUGAAAUAACUCAUAAAGGAACAAAUCAAGUUAAAGAGUCAAAAAUCAAUUUACUUGUUCAUAGAUAUGAAUUGUUUUUUAUGAAAGAUAAUGAAACUAUUGUUAAGAUGAUCACUAGGUUCACCAACAUUGUUAAUGGUCUUAAAGCCUUGGGAAAGACCUACAAGGAAUCCGAAAACGUGAUGAAGAUCUUGAGGUCACUUCCAUCAAAGUGGCAUACCAAGGUCACCGCAAUUUAAGAAGCAAAAGACUUGAUCAAGCUACCUUUGGAGGAGUUCAUAGGGUCAUUGAUGACAUAUGAAAUCAAUUUGGCAAAGAAGUAACAAAAAGGUGAAGACAAAAAGAAGAAGAACAUAACUCUCAAAGCUACAACUAAGGAAGAAGAAGUUGAAGAAGAAAAACAAAUUGAAGAAGAUGAAGAUUUAGCCCUCAUCACAAGAAAGUUCAACAAAUUCAUGAGGGGUGAAAGGUUUAGAAGAAGAAGGUUCACUUCUAGAAGAGACUUUUCUAAAAAGGAAUCUUCAUCUAAUGGUGACAAAAAGAGAUGGGAAGAGAAAAGAGACUUGGUGUGUUUCAAGUGCAAGAAACCGGGACACAUUAAAUAUGAUUGUCCUCUCUACAAAAGUGAAGUCAAGAGGAAAAAGAAUAAGGCAAUGAUGGCCACUUAGAGUGAAAGUGAAGAUGAAUCAUCCGAAGAAGAAAAUGAGAAAGAAGUGGCAAACAUGUGUUUCAUGGCAAUAGAUGAACUUGAUGAGGUAAAAUCUAACCUUAGUGAUUAAGAUAUACAUGAUGCAUUUGAAGAAUUGUAUGAGGAUUUUUAAAAACUUAGUUUGAAAAAUAUUUCUCUUAAAAAGAAAGUUCAACAACUUGACAAAGAACUUAGAGAAGUAAAAGAAAAAUUUUCAAAUGUUAAAGUUUCUAAAACUCAUCUUGAAAAAGAAAAUGAGAUUCUAAGAAAGAAAAAUGAAUAGUUGAACUCCUCUCUUUCAAUCUUUUCUUCUAGACAAAAAUCUUUUGAAAUGAUUCUAACUAGCUAAAAAUGUGUUUUUGACAAACAAGGGUUAAGAUUUAAAUCUUCAAAAAAUCAAAAGUAUUUUAAAAACUAUUUUGUAAAGGAAUCCACAAGUGCAAGUCCUUCCACUACUUGCAACUUUUGUGGAAGAGAAUGGCACAUUAGUAGUACGCCCUUUAAGAAAUGGUUCUCAAAAGAAUUUAAAUGCAAAAACUAAAAAAGAUUUGGAUUGAGAAAUCCAAGGUCACUAACCCUCAAGGACCCAAAAAGAUAUAGGUACCUAAAUCAACUUGAGUUUUAUGUUGUAAGGUUCAAAGAAUGAUAAGUGGUUCUUAGAUAAUGGUUGCUCAAGACACAUGACCGGAGAUGAAUCCAAGUUUGCUUUUCUUAAAAAGAAAAAUGGAGGAUAUGUUACCUUUGGAGACAAUGCAAAAGAAAGGAUGAUUGGUCAAGGCAACAUUGGUAAUGGCACAUCCUCUCUCAUUGAAAGUGUUUUAUUAGUAGAUGGUUUCAAACAUAACCUUUUAAGCAUUAGUCAAUUUUGCGACAAAGGUUUUUAAGUGAUUUUUUAAGCAUCUCAUUGCAUCAUCAAGGAUAUUCAAAAUGAUAAAACCAUUUUCAUGGGCCAUAGAUGUGAUAAUGUUUAUGCUAUAAAUAUUUCAAAAUAUGAUGGCCAUGAUAGAUGUUUUUCAAGCAUGCAUGAUCAAAGUUGGUUGUGCCAUAGGAGAUUGAGACAUGCUAACAUAGACCUCAUUUCCCAACUCAACAAAGAUGAACUUGUUAGAGGCCUUCCCAAAAUAAUUUUUUAAAAAGAUAAAGUUUGUGAAGCUUGUCAAGUGGGAAAGUAAAUCAAAAACUCUUUUAAAAACAAAAACUUCAUUUCCACAUCUAGGCCACUUGAGUUGUUGCAUAUGGAUUUAUUUGGUCCCUCUAGGACACCAAGUCUUAGAGGAAAUUCUUAUGCAUAUGCUAUUGUGGACGACUUCUCUAGAUACACAUGAGUCUUGUUUUUUAGUCAAAAGAAUAAAGUUUUUUAUGAGUUUUCAAAGUUUUGCAAUAAGAUUCAAAAUGAAAAAGGUUUUUCAAUUACUUAUAUAAGAAGUGAUCAUGGGAGAGAAUUCGAAAAUAUUGAUUUUGAAGAGUAUUGCAAUGAGCAUGGAAUUGACCACAAUUUUUUGGCUCUUAGAACUCCUCAACAAAAUGGGGUAGUUGAAAGGAAAAAUAGAACUCUUCAAAAAAUGACAAGAACCAUACUAAAUGAAAACAACUUACCAAAAUAUUUUUAGGCCAAAACGGUUAACACUUCUUGUUAUGUUUUAAAUAGAGUAUUAUUGAGGCUCAUACUUAAGAAAACUCCCUAUGAGCUUUGGAAAAACAAAAAACCCAACAUUAGUUAUUCCAAAGUCUUUGGAUGCAAUAUUUUAUAAUAAACACCAAAGACAAUCUUGGAAAAUUUGAUGCAAAAUUGGAUGUUGGAAUUUUCCUUGGUUACUCAACUUCAAGUAAAGCUUUUCGAGUUUUAACAAAAGAACCAUGGUUGUAGAGGAGUCCAUCCAUGUUAUUUUUUAUGAAUCUCCAAGAAAGAGAGAGGAUUGAUGAUGAUUUAGGUUUGAAGACCUCUAUAGGAAGAUUGCAAAUCGAAGAUAGAAGACAACAAGAAGAAAAUGGAGAGAAUCCAAAGAAAGAAGGAUCACCAUUGGCACUACCCCCUCAUCAACAAGCGCAAGGUGAAUCAAGUCAAGAGCUUCCUAAAGAAUGGAAGUUUGUCAUCAAUCACCCACAAGAUCAAAUUAUAGGCAAUCCAUCUAGUGGGGUAAGAACUAGAUCCUCUCUUAGAAAUAUUUGCAAUAAUCUAGCUUUUAUCUCUCAAAUUGAGCCUAAAAAUAUAAAUGAUGUUUUAGAUGAUGAAAAUUGGAUAAUUGCAAUGCAAGAAGAGUUAAAUCCAUUUGAAAGAAGUGGAGUAUGGGAAUUAGUACCAAGACCUUCAAAUCAAAGUGUUAUUGGAACUAGAUGGAUCUUUAGAAAUAAAAUGGAUGAAAAUAGCAUAAUUGUUAGAAAUAAAGCAAGAUUGGUAGCCCAAGGUUUUAAUCAAGAAGAAAUGAUAGAUUAUGAAGAAACCUUUGCCCCCGUAGCUAGGUUGGAAGCCAUUAGGAUGCUACUUGCCUUUGCAUGUUUUAAAGACUUUGUUUUAUAUCAAAUGGAUGUGAAAAGUGCUUUUUUAAAUGGUUUUAUAAAUGAAGAAGUAUAUGUUGAACAACCACCCGGUUUUCAAAGUUUCAACUUUCCUAACCAUGUUUUUAAACUUAAAAAGACACUUUAUGGUUUGAAACAAGCACCUAGAUCAUGGUAUGAAAAAUUGAGUAAAUUUCUUUUGAAAAAAAUGUUUUAAAAUGGGAAAAAUUGACACAACUCUUUUUAUAAAAACCAAAGAAAAUGAUAUGCUCUUAGUUCAAAUAUAUAUUGAUGAUAUCAUUUUUGGUGCUACUAAUGUCUCUCUUUAUGAAGAAUUUUCUAAGUGCAUGCAUAGUGAGUUUGAAAUGAGCAUGAUAGGAGAACUCAACUUCUUCCUUGGACUUCAAAUCAAGCAACUAAAGGAAUGAACCUUCAUCAAUCAAGCAAAGUAUAUAAGAGAUCUUCUCAAAAGGUUCAACAUGGAAGAAGCCAAAACAAUGAAGACUCUAAUGAGCUCAUCCAUUAAGCUUGAUAAGGAUGAGAAAGGUAAAUCCAUUGACUCUAUUAUGUAUAGAGGCAUGAUAGGUUCUUUGCUCUAUUUGACCACUAGUAGACCUUACAUUAUGUAUAGUGUGUGUUUGUGUACUAGAUUUCAAUCUUGUCUUAAAAAAUCUCACUUAAGUGUCGUGAAAAGAAUCCUCAAAUAUUUGAAAGGGACAAUGGACAUAGGCUUAUGGUAUCCUAAGAGUGAUAACUUUGAAUUAAUUGGUUUUUUGGAUGCUGAUUUUGUCAGUUGUAGGGUUGAAAAAUAAAACACUAGUGGCACUUUUCAUUUCUUAAGACACUUACUUGUCUCAUGGCAUAAUAAGAAGCAAAAUUUGGUAGCUUUGUCAACAGCAGAAGCUAAAUACAUAGCAACUGGUUUAUGUUGUGCACAAAUCCUUUGGAUGAAAUAAACACUUAGUGAUUUUGAUUUAUCUUUUGAGCAUAUUCCUAUUAAAUGUGAUAAUAGUAGUGCCAUAAGUAUAUCAAAAAAUCUCGUGCAACACUCUAGGACUAAGCAUAUAGAGAUUAGACAUAAUUUUCUUAGAUAUCAUACACAAAAGGAUGAUAUAACACUUGAAUUUGUAAGCAUAAAAGACCAACUUGCCGAUAUCUUUACAAAACCUCUAAGAACAUUUUGUUGAUAUUAGAGGACAAUUAGGAGUGAUUUCUUUAUGAUCUAAUGUGAUGAAUUCUUGAUGAAUAUACUUUUUGAUUGCAUGAAUUUCAUGUCAUAUAUGCAUCAUAUAGAAAUAUACUUAGAUAAUGGUCAAAUUUCGACCAAAAAUCAAAAUUCCCAUGGCAUUAGGCAUAAAAAUUUUGGAAUUUCAACUGAAAAUGGUAGGAGGAGGAUCACAAAAUGAGAAAGUAUGCAAAAAUUGAAAAAUCAAAACGUUGACCAAGCGGUCAAUCGGACUAGACCGAUCGACUAGUUUGUCGAGAUUUAGGAUUUUUAAGAGACUCCAACGCUUCAAUUUUUGCACCGUUCUCCUCUAUUUCUUCACGGUUUCUCUGAUUUUGUCUUUUAGAGACUAAUUUGAGUGCGUUUUGGAUCAAUUGAAGCAUUUUGGAUUGGAUUUUAGGAAGAUUGAAAGUUAAGGUUUCGGAUUUGGGUCGCCUUCUCUUCCUCUCGCGUGUCACAAUCAGCUUUAGCAUUGUUCUCUUUCCAUUUUCACACACCUAGGGUUUCAGUUGUGAGCAUCUCUCUCUCUUUACCAACCACUACUCCCUUGCUUCUUCCAUAUGGCUCCUAGGCGAGAGUCCGCUACUUCUAGGGCACAAGGCAAGCACCCAACUGAGUCGUCUCAGUCAAAGGCACGUCGAAAAGUGAGAUUUGACAUUGCCUUGUUCAGUUCCAUGGAGGACUACCAACUAUACAAGCAACACUUUGCUUAGAGACGAGUAGUUCCCAAGAGAAAUAUUAAUUUUCCUCAACUUCAGCAUUUCGAAUUUAAGGGUCUAUUUACUAGGAUGGUUGGUUGUCUAUUGUCACAAUUUCGGAGCCGGUUUUCCUGACCUUAGUGCGAGUUUUUUACUCGAGGGCGACUUAUGGCAUGGGUGGCAUGAUCAUUUCUACUGUUGGAGGAGUUGAGAUCUGUCUGGACCCAGAGAGCAUCUGCCAUAUUUUCGAUAUUGCUCUGGUUGGACUCAAAGUAUACAAGUCCAAAAUGUGGCCCAUUGUGCCAGGAUUUGAGCUUAGAGAGGUCAUUCAGAGGAUUUGUGAACUUCCAGACGCCCAGGAGAUGGGCAAACCAUUGCCACACAGUUUGACGGUCAUCAACAGGGUGCUACACCAUAUAUUGUGCUCUAUCUUUCUACCACGAAGUGGACAUUGAGAUGAGGUCUCUUAUUAUGAGGCAUUCCUUAUUGACUCCAUUCUAACGGAGAGACGAAUUCAUCUACUAUGUCAUCAUUCACUAAGCCUCCUCACAGUGACAUACCACCUCAUCAGGCACCUCUUGCUCCUGACCAUGCUCCAUUGAUGGAUUUAUUUACUCAUAUUAGCUCUCUAGGCACUCGCAUGAAGGAGUUUGUUGUAGUUAGUGAUACAUGGUUCUACUCCAUAGAGGAUCGCAUGGAUCAGUAUCAGACUGGCUUCACGUCACAGUUUGAGUAUCUCCAAUAGAGGAUUGAGCAUAUUGAGGAUCACUUGAGCAUGAGAAGAUGAUGGCUUUUCUAUGCUCUGUGUUUCCACCUCCACCUCGUCAACCUUGAUUUCUUAGAGACCCAUUGUUUUCAUUUUGUAAUGUUGCCAAAAGGGGGAGAUAUUUAGGAUCUAGGACUCUAUAGGAGACUUACAUGCAUAUCAUUUUCAUAUCAUUGUUUGGAUCGUACAUAUUGGAUAGUGAUACUUUUUACUUAUAUAUGAUAUGCCUAUAUGUUUCAUGUCUUACAUUGUUUCUUAUUGCAAAUUAUCUCUAACAUGUCUUGAUUAUCUUUUUUUUAACUUCAUAAAUUUUGAUUGUUAACCCAUGAUUGGUUUGAGGGGAAGAUUCUUCUUCUCCUAGAUAACCAAGGUUUGUCAUCAUAAAAAAAUUGGAGAUUGUUAGCCCAAGGGUUCUCCUAAUCAUGUUUUGAUGAUAACAAACCAUGCUUAAGUUACUAAUUGGUUUGAAUUAUAAAGAAUUUCAAGUGUUAAUUUGAAAAUUCAUCAAAGAACCUAAUGGAUGCAAGAUCAAGAUUUUUGGAAGACCUUUAAUCAUAAGAAACAUAUGUAAGAUGAAUGCAUGGGUGCACUUAAGAUUUGCAUAUCAUUUCAUGCAUAUUUGGAAAACACGGUUUAUGCUUUAAAGUUACAUUUCCAUCAAAAUUUGAGAUCCAUCAAAUGAACCUUAGGAAAAAUGUUUUAAAAUUGGCAUAUAAUUUUACCUAAAGACCUUGCCUAAGUGUUAGAAGCAAAAGGACAAAAAAAAUAUAGGUUUUCUGGUCAAAAAUGGUGAACCAGUCAAGGCAUUGUCUAAAUCAGCUCAAUCGGCCAAGGUACCGGUCGAUCGGUUUCCCUUUCCCUGUCGAGAUCUAGUCAAGAGGUACAAAAAUCACAAUCUCUGUCUCUUUCUCUCUUUGUCUAUCUUCCAGUAGUCUUUCCUUCCCGGUCGAGGGAUUUGCCUUCCCGAUUGAGGUCCGAUUGAGAGUAAUAGUCACUUGCCAAAUAUUAAAUGCUCCAACAGUUAGUGAACUGGUCGACCCCCACCUUGCCCAGUUGAGGUUACUUUUUGGUUUUCUUGGCUCCCGAUGUUAGAAACCUAUAAAUAGAGAGUUCCACUUCAUUUAUGAGCAAGAGAACACUUGCAUUUAUUUGUUUACCUACUUGUUCUUGCCUUAAAAGCUCUCAUUUCUUUUCUUGGUGCAUUAAAUCUCCAUUUUGAUAUCCUUUAGUGCACCUUUGUGAUUCAUCUUAGCCUUGAGUUGUAUUUGAGCCCUUUUUUUAGCUAGGUUGAGAGUUUCAUACUUGUUAAUUGAGUGUUAAAGCCUUCAAGUGAGUUGAAACUUGUAGAGAUUAUGUGAGAGUCGAUUGGAGCCGAAAUCCAAGUGUAAAGGUGAUUAGAAGCUUGGUUGAAGCUUCAAGUUAGUGGAAUCCUCACUCAAUUAGGAGCUUGAGGAGAGUGGACGUAGCCAAGGAAGUGUCGAACCACUAUAAAAUUUGAGUUUGAUUUCUCUAACAUUGUCUCUUUAUAUUUGUUUAUCUUGUGCUUAAAUUUAUUGUGUUUAAAAAGAAUUUUUAAAUACCCAAUUCACCCCCCUCUUGGGUGUUUUUCUCUUUUAAAAUUAGCCUUUAUUUUCUCACAAACUAUUGUAGUAUAGUGGUUUUUAGGUGUCAUCCAUUAGGAUGAAUUGUUCUCGGUAAUUAAGGCGUGAAUGAGAGGAGAAUUAAUGAUUGUGAUUAAGUAAAAUUGAUUUGAAAAUUCAUGGUGAAAAAUCAAUUUAACAAUGGUUUCUAAUUGAGAAAAACAAUGAAAUGUGAAAUAAAAUAAAAUUAAUAGGAAAUGAAAUUCUCGAAGUUAGAAUUUUCUAAAAAACAAAUUCCAUGGUGAAUGGAUGUUGAGAUCUAAUUUUCAUCAAGUUAGAUUGAAAACCGAAAUUUUCAUAUAAACUGAUUUUUUAUUUAGUUUUAGGUCUAGAUUUAAUUUCCCUUAAAAUUAGGUUAUUUAAUCCAAGAAAUCAAUUCAAAUCAUAUAUUCAAUUCAUCUUAAAUUAUCUUCCAAUUAUUCACACAAUGCAACUAUUCAAUCUCAUCAAAUCUAGCUUUUAAGAAUUUAAUGAAUCUACCUAGUUUGCAUUGUAAUAGUCAUCCAUGACAAUUUGAAGAGAAAAAUAAUUCAAUUAAUCAAUCACUUGGAUCAAAUUACCUUUGCAAUUAAAGUUCAUUUCUCUAAUUCACCACAGAUUUUGUCUCUAGAUCCUCCUUUCUCAAAGAAAAAUGAGAUUUAGCCACACAUGAUUGGAGAUUUGGUCUCAUAAGGCAUGUUUAGCUAGUGAUAAAAUGAGAGAAAAUAAAGAAAAAUAGAGAAUUCGAUUAAGAAAGAAAAUCUAAAAAAUUCUACAAUUAGAAAUGUCCAAAAAGCUUUUUCAUGAGAAAAUCAAGUUUCUAUUUAUAGGCCAAGGUCAAGUGGACACUUGACAUCAUCUAAGAGGUCUUCCGGAAGCUUCUUCAUCAAGAAAUCUGGAGUUUAAUAAUAAAAUGGUCAUUUCACAAGAGCUCAAACAAUUUCGCAUGAUUAUGUGAAAUAAAAAAUGCAACAACAGCAAUUUACAUCUUCUUGGAGCAUUUCGCAUGACUGUGUGAAAUUUUCACAUGAUCAUGUGGAAUCGACUUGACAACUCUCAUUUAGCCUACAACAUAAUUCCACCUUUUGGUCCAUUUUUCAUAGUCAUGCGAAAUGGAAAUAUUUGAUUUUUAAGUUUUCUUUUGUCAUUUCUUUCAUUUCCUUCUCUUGAUUCCACUUCAACUACCUCCGAAUCCUGGUCCAAACCAAUUGCAUUACUUCUUUCAUUAUGCAUUUGGAUCAUCAUCAACAUUAUUUGUUCUCUUCAAUUUGAUUCAUCUCUUUUGUCACCAAUUUAUCAAAAUCAUACCUUGAAAUGACUCCAAAACUUCAUAAAACUUGUUAGUAACUCUUGCAAGGGCAACAACAUAUUAAUUAAGUGUUUUAGGCAUAGUUACUACUCAAAAGAUGCGAAACUCAUGAUAAUUAUUAUAUAAAAUAUGCUCUUUUUGAGUAGUAAUCAACUUUCUUGCAUAAGCAGACCUUUUAGGGUGGAGUACUAAAGACCAAUAUGCUUGUCCUUGUUGUAAUAAAGAAACUUGCUCUUAUUGAUUGCACCAUGGGAGAAAAUUUUGCUACAUGAGUUAUCAUCAAUUUCUUCCCACCAAUCAUAGAUUUAGACGUGACAAGAGGCCUCUUAAUGGCAAGGAGGAACUGACACUCACACUUAUACAAUUAUCGGGCAUUGAUGUGUUGCAACAAUUAGAAUAACUUACACCAAUUAUGUUGGGGAAGUCACAAAAGGCAAACAUGAAAACUAAAAGGAAAAAAGAAAAAUGUUACAUAUCACCACAACUGGAAAGAAAAAAGUAUUUACUUUCAUUUGCCAUAUUGGAAAGCACUUAUUUUACAUCAUAAUAAUUUAGACAUAAUGCAUAUUGAGAAAAAUGUGUGACAAUAUAAUUGAGACAUUGUUCAGUAUUGACGAAGAAACAAGGACAACCUAAAUAGUCAUCUCGAUUUACAAGCUCUAACUAUUAGAAAUGAGAUUCACCCAAUAGAAAGCAGGACCAAAUUUAUUUUGCUUGCAACAUGCUACUCACUCACCCCAAAUGAGAUUAAGGAAUUUUGCAAGUUUUUGAAAUCAAUAAAGGUCCCCAAUGGCUAUUCUUUCAAUAUCUCUCGUUAUGUGCAACUCAAUGAAAGGAAGAUAUAUGAGCUCAAAUUGUAUGAUUGUCAUGUCCUAAUGCAACAACUUCUCUCACUUGUAGUUCGUGGAGUUCUACAUAAGAAUGUUUGUGGAGUUAUCAUAGAAUUGCGUAAUUUUUUCAAGCAAUUGUGCUCAAAGGUGUUAGAAACAAAUCACUUACACCAACUUGAGAACAAUAUUAUUGUCAUACUAUGUAAAAUGGAGCAAAUAUUUCUUCCAUCAUUCUUUGAUAUUAUGGUGCAUUUACUUGUGCAUCUAGUAAGGCAAAGGUUGCAAGACUUGUGCAAUAUUGUUGGAUGUACCUAAUUGAACGAUAUUGUUAUAAUUUCAUAUGAAUCAUUUAAUUUUAUUUUAUAUUAUGUUCAGUUCAUUAACAUGUACAUUGGUCUACAUAUGGAUGAUGAUAGGUACCUAAGCACUUUAAAGUCAUAUGUGCGUAAUAGAACUUUUCUAGAAGGUUCUAUUGUAGAAAGGUACCUUGCAAAAGAAUGUACAACAUUUUAUUCUAGGUACUUGAAUGAUGUGGAAAUAAAGUAUAAUCACAAUGAUAGAAACUUUGUUGGUUUCAACACUAGAGGAGAUGAAAGGGGUUAUCUUUAAACAUAUUGGACAUGCAUUGGGAAAGCCCAUAUUUCAUUAACUUAGUUCAAAAGAGUGGUCACAAGCACAUUUAUAUGUGUUGACAAAUUGCGAAGAUGUCAUACCAUUCAUUGAGUAAAAAAUUUAUUUGAAUUUUAAUUAAAGCUCUAGUUUAUAUCCUUAAUCAAUGUUUUUUAAAUUCACAAGGAGCACAAGCAAACCAUCAAGGCUAGACCACAUAUACGUGUUUGAGACGUAGAUUUAAUUCAUAACAAGGAAUUUAUCAAGUGGUUUGAAAGACAUGUAAGUAUAUUCCUUAUUAUAAGGGAUUUAUUUCACAUUAUGUUUAUAUUGAAUCCAAACCUAUUAUUGAAUUGUAGGUUGAACAAUUACAUAAUGAAGGUCAUAUAUCUGAACACCUUCUCACAUUAUCAUGUGUUCCAAAUUCAUUAGUUACAUGCUUCAAAUGAUAUAUUGUCAAUGGAUUUAGAUCCCACAUUAAAGAACGUGAUAAAAAAGUUUUUAAAAAAAGACUCAGAAUAAUGGAAUUGUUGUAGUUGCAAAAACGUCAAGCUUUACAAGUGCAUGUGAUAUGAGUCCAAUUAUUAGUGAUGCUCUCUACUAUGGUGUUCUAACUAAAGUUGUUGAGUUACAUUAUCUUGGUGAAAAUAAGGUUGUUUUAUUCGAGUUUGAUUGGUGGGAUGUUACAAAUAUUGGAAAAUUGAUAAAAGAUGAUGAGUACAAUUACACAUUUGUUAACUUUGCAUGAAUUCUAACCACGAACGAACGAUUUGUACUUGCAUCUCCAGCAAAGUAAGUGUUCUAUGUGAAGAAUGCGAAUGAAUCAGAUUGGCAUACUAUCAUGGAGAUGCAACCUCAAGACCUCUAUAAGAUGAACGGGAUAGGAUCCAAUGGUGAUUUUGAACCAUUUCAACAAAGUGAACUACAUGAUCACUAAUAUAUCUCAGAUUUAGUUGAUGAAGAUAUAAUCAAGUGGAACAAAAGUGAUGUUUUAGGACUAAUCAUCCUAAAAAAUAUUGUAGUUUCUUAAAAAAAAAAUGAAAAUGAAGAAGAUAAUUGAACCUUUGUCAUACUUUAAAAAGCAACUAUGCAUUGUUCAUUUUGUAUGUUUUGGUUUUCUUCAUUUAAUUUCCUGAUUUUUGUGAUUCAAUGUCAUAUUAUUGAUCUUGAAAUAUUUUUCUAAUUUUUCAUUCUACGAUGGUUUCAACAAGGAUGACAUCAAGUCAAAAAAGGAAAUGUGGUCCCACACACAAUAUUGCAUUACAGGGAUUAAGGUCAGGGAAGAAGGUAAAAGUUGCAUUUAAUGAGUACAAUCAAUUGGUUAAACAGAAAAAUGGAAAACACUUAUCGAGCUACAUAGGGACACUUGUAUCUAACCAACACAAUGUACCUCUCCAAGCUAGUGAUUGGAAAAAUGUUCCAAAUGAUGCAAAAGAGAAAGUAUGGCCUUUGUUUUGGUAUGUUGUAUUUCUCACUAUAUGAUGUCAUUUCACUGUUAUUCUAUUUUGUGACUAACGUUUGAAUCAUAUGUAAGAAAAAUUUGAAGUAGAUAAAGACUGAAAAGAUUACAUGUUGGGUAUAGCCUCAAAUAAAUAUAGAAGCUAUAAAAAUAUGAUGAAUGCAAAAUACUAUGACCCUUGGCAUAAGGAUGCAUGAGGAGAGGUUAAUACAUAAAUCACCAUUUGUCUCUGAUGUUGAUUGGAAGUGGCUUGUCUCUGAUGCAUAAACCAAAUCCCCCACUGAAUGUUUGAUAUUUGAUAGCAGGAAAAACACACCCGCAGCUAUACACCUCCAUCAUUCAGAUAAUUAUAGUGGGGGAGAUGAUUCAUGGUUGCCCUUAUACCCUUUAUUUGCACCAUCUAUUGAGAUUCUUUAUCAUGGCCAGGUUUUACUGCAGCAAUAAGAUAUGGUGGCAACAAUUUUAUCUAUAGGUGCGGUUCCAGACCGCCUCCAUAGGUGCGGUUCCUGACUGCCUCCAUAGGUGCCUCUUCUUGUAAUGUUUGUUCUGGGAAUUACACUUGAAAGCCUUAUCGUGAUAAGGGAUUACAAACACUAGUUCAGAGGACAGCCAUGUUAAACUUCCACUAUGUUUGUGUCACAUUAUCAGCAGCCUAGUGUUUAUUGGUCAUGCUAUCUGCAACUAAUAUAACCCGGUGAACUUCAAUCUAAAUUCUGAAAGUACUCAUGUGACAGAUGGUGCCUUUCAGCAGAUAUCAUCAAUUUAAAAGUAGUGUGUGUGCCUAUAGGUGGGAAGGCCUUGGCAAAUGUUCAGUAUUCCGGUAAUUCAAGAAGGAUAUAUCUAAAAUAGAUUUUCUUCUUGCCCAUUUCAAUAGUUAAAAUUUGAGAAGAUUGUGUCCACAUCACACAAAUAUUAUUGGUCCUUCUGUUGCAAUUUACCUCUGAACAUGUCUUCCAAUUCCCACGGUCCUGUUACUCCAGGAAAACUAUUUCGGUCAUAUUGAAAAAAAAAAUAUUAAAGAAGGUACACAUGCUUUUAAGUGGACUGGGGCAUUCAUAUCAGGUGGUCUGUAUCCACAUAUGCCACUUCGUGAAAGGUGGAACAGCCUAAUCACUAGGCUAUUUAGUGUGGCCCAGCCACGUUAAUCAAGCACAAGUCUUCAUACUUAAAGUCAAAUGGUGUCUUUAGUCUCAUUACACAUCGCUAUUUGAAGAUUAACUCAUCACUAGUGUAAUGCGAUUAAGACAGUCCUAACUCAAUAUUUGUUCUAGUUUUGGAUGCAAAUGCUUGCUGGUUUCAUCAUUGGAUGGGAUAAAGGUGCAAUCAGGACUAUGAAUACGUGCAGUAAUACUUCAUUCUCUUUUUUCUCAAUGAGACUUCUUGGCACAAUUUUGCUGCUCAGCAACCUACCUUUCCAUGGAAAAUCAGUUGUGACUGAUAGUAAUGGAUAUAUUCUAGAAAGCUAAACAUAGAUAGCAUUCAAUAUUAUCGAUAUAACAUUAACAGCGUAUGUCUCAAUGCUCAUCAGCUACAAGCAAUGGACAAACACUUUGAGUAACUCACAGCAGUCAAAAUUCCUAAACAGGACAGACGUGACAGAUCUAUAUAUAGAACACUGCAUAUGAGUCACAGGAAAAGAUAAUACGGGUACAUAGAAGCUCUUAUUUUACAUAUUACUCAUACUGAUCAAAGUCGCUCAGUUGGGAUGGAUGGGAGAAGGAGGUUUGAGGGGUGGCUUGUGCGGGGAAGUUGGCAGCUUCUUUCCGGGAGCUGGUUGCUUCUUUGCUGGAGUUGAAGGAGGCUUAAUCUUCCGAGGUGGCUUGUAUGAGUCUUCAGCAUUCUCAGCAGGAGGGUGACCAGGGUUGUGACCAUAAUGUGGUGGCUUCUCUCCCUUAGGUGGUUUGCCAACUGGGGUUGGUGGCUUGUUUUCUGGGAGUGGCUUCUCUCCCUUGGGUGGUUUGCCAACUGGGGUUGGUGGCUUGUGUUCUGGGAGUGGCUUCUCCCCCUUGGGAGGUUUUUCGAAUGGGGUGGGUUUGUGUCCUGGUGGUGGCUUCUCUCCCUUGGGAGGUUUACCAAUUGGGGUCGGUGGCUUGUGUUCUGGGAGGGGCUUCUCUCCCUGGGGAGGUUUAGUGGGUGGCUUGUGUUCUGGAGGUGGCUUCUCCACCGGAGGCUUAUGCUCUGGUGGUGGCUUCUCGAAGGGGGGAUGCUCAGGGUAAUCACCAAGUGAGGGGGUGGUGAGAACCACCAUGCCAAGCAACAACACUAGCAAGUAUGUAGUAGACAUCUUUGGGUUUGGACUCAGACAGUGCAAAACUACGAGAAAUCGCUAGCCCUUUAUAGCGGCUCGGACCUAAUACUGACAUAAUAUAAAAUAAAUAUUAUAUUUUAUCAAGAGAGAACAGAGUGUAAUUUUAUCAUUAAUACCGAUCGAGGCCAAAGAAAGAAGACCCAUAAUCCAUUUCCCACAAGCAUACACAAUGCAGCUGUAAUUUUAUCAUUUACUUUUAUCCCUUGGACCACUGCAUUUUUGUUGAGAGACACAAUAACACAUUUUUAUCUGUCAUUCAACAUUUACAGUAAAGAGAGGGCACAAAACGCAAUUAGAUAAAUUAUGUUUUGCCUGCUAAAAAGAGGCAAAUAACUUUAUUUGCAACAUAAUUAUUUUGGUUUCUAGUGACCCCGGGGCCUUUCGGUUGGUUUGGGAUCGGAAAAUGAACAUCAUAGGGGGGGUUGUGCCCUUAUGGGCAUAUAUAUCUGAUAGCUUCAACUGGCCUUGUUCCUAGAAAGAAAUUGCCAAAGAUAUAAACUUAUUCCAGGCUGAAAGUAGAUGAGAGUCAUAAUGAACAUCAACCUUUGUUCAGUUUGAUUCAAUGCCCCCAUAGUGUUCAUUUCACAGAUCUGAAUGAUUAUAUCCGUUGAAUACAUAAAUUAAUGAAGACAAAUAUGAAACCCAAGAUACAUCUCUGCAUAACAACCCCAACCCUGGUUGCUAUGUUUCCCUUCUUCUAUUCACAUGAGGAUACUGGUUAUAAUUGUCAAACUUGCAACAAGCCCUUUGACACCUAACGUCAAUGGACGAAUUAAAAGUCUCCUUCAAACGUCUAUUUCACAGCAUGAAGCUUAUAAAGGAUGCUGACAACCUUCAGAGUUAGCGACAAAAGAUAAUUAUCAAGGAGAGAUAGUUCCAUGAGAAUUCCAAGGAGUCUGAAUCAAAGACAAAUUGCUCACUCAAGGGUUCUUAUUUUCUUUUAGGUACAAAUCUCUUGAGUGUUGUUAAAGAAACACGUCACUGUCAUUUUGAUUUGCAUUUAACAUUUCACUUUUGUUCUGGAAGGUUUGUUCCGGAAACAUAUCAAAUGAGCAUCAUUUUCUUCUUCGGUGACACAUGGUCGCGAGUACGUGGGUCCAUUUUCAUGCCACUUAGUUGAAAAGUUGGAAAGAAAAAACAUGCCAACAAGAAGAUAGUGAGAGAAGGGGCACUUCAAGCCUUUAACAUGAACAAACAGUAAAUAAAAGAUGUUUCUCCACUCAUAAAAGUGUGUUAGAUAGCAAUAUAACGAAUCACAUCCAAAAUCUUUACUAGGCUCAAACAUAAAGAAGACUCAUUUUUAAGAAAAGAUAAAAAUGGCAUUGUCUGAUAGUAUCCAAUACACGAGAUGGCACUUAAUUUGUACAAGAUCUGUCAAUGCUGACGCACAUUUUCUGAUUAAAAAAAAACUGAUCAGUCAAAAGCAAUGAAGAGAAGUGAUGACAAUGAAUGAUGCUUCCAAUAUUUUCACCCCUUAUAGUGUUCUUCAUGAUUCAGAUAUAUAAUUGGAAAUAGAACAACCCUAUGCCAUACAUUCGUCUAAGUAUGGUGUCUAAUUUUUUGUGUCAGCGGUUGCGAAUGGAGCGUGCAAAAGUCCAAAUUGGCGUCUCUCCAUUUCCACAUAGGAAGGUGACCUUUAUUGACAAAUACCCAAUAUUUGUAGACAUUCCUUAAAUAUCAUAACUUCUUGUUGAUUUGAAAAUCAUUUUUCAACUACCAUGUUUUAAUAAAUAUUUUUUAAAAUGUAUUUUUAUCAAAGUCCACCAUGAUGGAUAAUAUUCACCAUGCAAUAAUUAAUAAAGUACAAACUAAGCGAAAUGAAAAGCAUUUUCUUUGCUUUGAGUUGAUUUUGGUUGCAUUGAGUUGAUUUUGGUUUCAUGGUUUUUUCAACUCUUAUUUUGAUUGGAAGAUGUCAAGAAAAGAAAACAUAAAGAAAAAUUAAAAGGGAAAAAAGAAGAAAAAUAAAAAAAAAUAGAUUUAAAAGUUAAUAAAUUAUUUUUUAUAUUUAUUUUAAUUCAUUUCACUUAUUUUUCUUUUACUAUAUAAAAUUUAAAUAAUUUAAAUUUUAUAAUUAAUUUAAUUACAUUUCAUUUUCUUCUAUAUUUAAAUAUUGGAAAAAUAUUUUACUUAAUAUUUUUUUCUUUAAUUUCUUUGGCAUUUUGGGAACCAAACUUAGCCUUUAAAAUAAAAAACAAAAAAAAAAUGAAAAUAAGGAGGGAAAAGUGAGAAAAGAUAAAAACAAUAUGUAAAGGAUUUGAAAAGUAUUAGUUUGUAAUUACUAUUUGGAUUUCAAUAGUAUUUUAUUUGUCUUUCUAUAUUUCAUGUAAGAGAGAAUUUAAGAUAUUCCCCAAGGCAAAGCAUUAGUUACCUGCAAUCAGUGGUGAUAAGGCUCCAAGCCAAUUUUGGGCCCCAUAUCUUAAGACAGUACAAUUUCCAUUUCAACAUUUCUGAUUUCUCAGAUGUUUCACAUACCACAGAAGAACAUUGUUUGUGAAAAUAUGCAUUUAUGUUGGAUUUUGUAUGCUGUGGGGACUGGGGCAAGGAUCAUAUGGAAGAGUGGUUGACUUUUUCUGUACUUUAACGGUUGAAAUAGGAUAAGCACGGGCAUUUGUGAGGCUUAAUUGAUUUUGAAGCCUGAAAUUGCGUUUCUGUCAUUUUGUCAAAAAAAUGGCAGAUUCCAUACUCAUAUGUUUGGCCUGUGGCCAUGUACAGAUGCCAUUUAGUGACCAGUUUGUAACUGUCAAUCGUUGCGUUUUGACUCUGCCUCAACAACAUCUGCCAUUGACGGGUUUUCAUACUUGCAAAUCAAAUAGUCUUUCGUCCCAUCAGGAAUUUCGGUUUAAAUAUUAUUAAGCAUACGUUUGGCUGACAAUCAUUAUCCAGUUCAUGAUUUGGUUUCUUACCCUUAAUCAAUGGUUUCUAAGUGAAUAUAUGUAGAAGGAAAUCCGAAGUGUAGACAGUAGUAUCGAUAACUCUCAAUAUUCUCUAUAUAAUAGAAUAAACAGCGUCAUAGUGAUCGUCGCCUACAAGCAAGGUACAAAUACCAAAACGAGUGACUCACAUAGACAUCUCCCAACAAGAUGUAGUAGUGACUGACACAUGGACACAAUUAACUCGUAGAAAAGGAUAAGACCAUUGCACAGCAGCUCUUAUUUUACAUACUACUUAUGCUAACCAAAGUCAAUUAGUUGGGAUGGGUGGGAGAUGGAGGUUUGUGCGGUGGCUUGUGGGGCGGAGUUGAUGGCUUCUUUCCAGGAGCUUCUGGCUUUUUCAUCGGAGCUGAAGGAGGCUCAAUCUUAUGAGGCGGCUUGUAUGAGUCUUCUUUACUCUCGACAGGAGGGUGGCCAGGGUUGUGAUCAUAAUGUGGUGGCUUCUCUCCCUUAGGUGGCUUGCCAACUGGGGUUGGUGGCUUGUGUUCAGGAAGUGGUUUCUCUCCCAUGGGAGGUUUAGCAAUUGGGGUUGGUGGCUUGUGUUCUGGGAGUGGCUUCUCUCCCUUGGGAGGUUUAGUAGGUGACUUGUGUUCUGGAGGUGGCUUCUCCACCGGAGGCUUGUGCUCCGGUGGUGGCUUCUUGGUUGGAGGGGGCUUGGGGUAAUCAGCAAGAGAUGGGGUGGUGAGAACCACCAGUCCAAGGAACAACACUAGCAAGUAUGUGGGAGACAUUUUUGAGUUUGGGCUGAUCAGAUGAUGCAAAACUAAAGCAUUACGUGACCUUUUAUAGCAUGUAGCUCCCAAUACCCACUAAGUAUUGUGGGGUCCAUUUGUGCCCUACGGGGUUGAAAACUUAGACAAUUGGGCAAGGACCCACCUGACUAUGGAGGACUAGUGAGGUGUGAUCAUAGCUUUAGGAUUUUUCUUCCUCUGCAGCCGUCGUGCCGUUGGCAUGAUUUUCUUAAUCUUAAAUAAAGGCAUAGUUAUAGAGUUGUUUAAUCUCUAAAUGGGAUUUUAUAUAUAUCUUCAGAUAGCCAUUAAUAUAUUUGAUGAAGAAAGAAAGACAAGUGCAUACAACAUGUAUACGACUAGCUUUCAUGGAGUUCAUUUAUGAUCAGUUUUCCUGUACAUGUAAACCAGGAUCAUAUAUAUGUUUCUGUUCCACAACUAUUUUGGAAUCUUGUUUAUCAGUUUUUAUCAUUAUAAUGUCACAUAGGCUGCCAACUUGGGCGCUAAAAGAACCAGUUGGGCUAGUUCGUUUCAGAAUUUCAAUGUGGAUUCAGGAAUUGUUUUGUAAGAUAUGCGAAAUAGUAGAGGGAUGAAUAGUGUUUCAUUAAUAAAAGUGUCCUGUAAAUUAGAAGGUGUCAUAGAAACUAUAAUCAAUAAAUAACUUUUUUUCCCCACGGGUGGUGUUUCUUGUGGGGAUCAGUGACUGGUUUAGGUUCACCCAAAAUGAGUUCAGACUAAAAUUGGUUUGAGUCAAUGCCGUGUCUCUUUUUUCCAGAAAUCAACUAUUUUAUGCAUUGAAUAAAUCAUACAAAGAAAAUAUGAACGCCCGCAAAACCUAAACCCUGGUUGCUAACUUUCUAUGUUUCAGUUCUAUUCACGCAAGAAUAUUAGUUUAAGUUUGGGAAAAAUGGCAACUUACCUAGUGAUUACUUGGUUUUGGUUUGCGACUAUUUACGCAACCAACCAUGAGUUUGACUUUAACGUCAUGGGUUGAAGCCUCCUACAGGAAGGGAGAAAGCUCCACAGCUAGCUCCAAAAGAGAAUUAUCACAUUGAUAGCUCCAGAGAUUCCCAAGGGGACUGAAUCAAAGACAAGUUCCUCACUUUUUCUUCUUUUGAGGCCAAAUAUGAACCAAGGAUCACACAACCUCAUUCAACUUCAUAAGUUUGAUUUCAUGCAGUUGAACACUGGGUGAAGGCCAUGACAAGAAUUGAUUCAAAAAUUCUAUCACUCUUUUAAGUAAUGGAAGAUUAUUAUCUCUGAUUGGCAUCACAACAGCACAUGCUCCUAGAUCUUUCUAGACACUCCAUGCAAUGAAAGCACAAUGGAUCUUGUAACGAUAGAAACUAAGCCAUGCUACAGUACUAGAUGAUGAGGUAAAACUAGUAGACACGGGUGGCAGCCUAUAUGGGAGGGACACAAGUCUAAUUGAUUUGCAUUUCAGCAUUAUAGAUAGGUAUGUUUUGGAAGAUUUGUUCUGGAAAUACCGCACCAAGUAGGAUUCUUUUUCUCUUUAGUGGGUCCACUUGCAUGCCAAUUAACGAGUUGAAAAGUAUGAGCACCUACCUCGUGCUCGUGGAACCGAAGGUCAGUGAAGUGGGGCUCCUUUUGGCCUCGUGUAAACUUGAUUCAGAAGUGAAGUUAAUAGUCUUCCAUUCAGAUGGAUACAUGGGAAUUUUUCUCUUUUAUUUAUUUAUUUAUUUUUUUUUUGUGUGUGUAUGUCAAAGGAUAAUGAAUGAAGCGCGUUAGCUUGUUUUCUGACUGGAACCGCAGAUGUCCAAAUUGGAGUUCCUUCAUUUCUUACUUAGGAUUGUUACAUGUAUAAACAAGGUAUAAGAAAUAUGCCAACGUGUCUUGAGGAGUUAUUGAUUAGAAAUAACAAGUCACCCGACUGUAGAGUUCCAAGAUUUGAAUCUUCAGACCCUAUAGCAGCCUCUGGGGUACGUGGCAUCCUAUAGCAUAUUAAUGAAGGCUUUUUCGAUUUAGACUUCACAAUACCAAUUAAUAUGUAUGCACAAAAUGGAGAUGACCCCAAAAAAAACAGAAUCGCCAUAGUUUAUGAGGUUAAGGUGAUUCUCCACUUAAUAUCUACAUUAGCUAAUUAUGUAAAUCAAAUGAACUUCUAUUUUUCCUUUUUUUUUUUGGUUUAUGUCAAAUAGUAGCCCAUAAUUAACCCAACCAUUAGCCUGUUUGAAUUGAUUUCACAUGCACAAUGUUGUAGUAGUUCAUAUUUUGAAUUUUAUUUUUACAAAGGUAGUUAAGGAAAAUGAAGUAUAAUAAUUAUAAAAGCAGACUAUAUACACUACAAUAAUUGUUAGAAUGGUAUCUCAAAUUCUAAUUUAAAAUAUUAUUUUUUGUAAAAGAAAUAUUAUAUAGAAUAUUUCCUAAUUUUAUAAAUGAUUAUAAUUAGAUCUUUAUAAAAUAAGGAAAGUUGGUAAGAAUAUCUUUAUAAAUAUUUUAGGUCAUGAGAGAAAGAAAUGGGAUAAAAAUGUGAUGAAGAGGUGAAAUAAGAGAGUUGAUUAGGAUAUAGAUGUGAAGAAGAAAGGGAUUCAAUAUAUAUAUAUCUUUCAAUUACCACAUUAAAACCCUGUGAACCUUUUAUAUGGUUUACUUUAUUUUUAUAUUCCUCCUUUAAUAUAUUUACAUUAAUGCUUCCAUUGGCACAACAAUAACGAAUUACAAAUACAAGCAACAAGUCCCAUGUUUUAUUACCAAAAGCAGGUAAAAUCCACCUAAUAUAUUACAAUAUAUUCAUCCAAUAUUUUAGACCAAUUCUUCACCAUAAAUAUCAUAAUGUGGCUUUUGUUCUUUCUUAAAUUUAAAUUGAAUUGUCUUAUAUCAAUUUGUUUGUGAUUUUUUCAUUAACUUCACUUUCAUUUGGUUAUCUUUGGUUUUUGAAAAGUAUUAAGGAAUUAAUUAACAAAAUAAUGUUAAGAAAAAUAAUUUUCUCUCUUUUGAUUUUGAUUUUGUAGUAGAAAAAUAUAAUUAAAAUUAUUUAAAAAGUAUGUAAUUUUAAAUUAUUUAAUAUUUAGAUAAAAAAAAUAAGUCUAAUGAGUUUAAAAUAACAUAUAAAAAUAAUUUAUUUAUUUUAAAUUUAUUUUUUAUUUUCCAUUAUGUUCUCUUUCUCUUUUACUUUUUCAUAUUUUUUCUUACGAAGAAUCAAACACAACCUCAUAUUAUAUGUCAAGUGUUUGUCUAUAUUUGAGCAAUGUUAGAUACGGCCAUGGAUUCAUCAAACUAAACUGAUUUUAAUAGAUACUUCACAAAUUGAUUUAUACACUAAAUCAUUGGAUAGCAAUGAUGCAUUGGAAUUAAACGUAGGAUGAAGCUCGAAGAACACUGUUUGUGUAACAACAUAUUUAUGAAAUUAUGCAAAGGAUGAGCUUCGGGGUAGUAGUACAAGGUCAUUAAUGGAGAGCCGUGUUAAACCUUGAUUGUGAUUGGAUUCCGUUAUCAGCAACAGCAACCUUGUUUGUAACCUUGAAAGUCAUUCUGUCCACAUCGAAACUCCAAUUUGACGUUUGUAAUUACCAUUCCUGGAGUGUUCCUUGAUUGAAAUUUAAAUAAUAAUUGCGGCCCACAAGGAAUAUUUUCGAUUCUGUGGGAAUUUGACAAGGUUUGUUAGAGAAGACUGGUGACAUGUUGACUUCAAUGGUUCAAAUAGGAGACGUAUGUGGAUUUGGGGGGUUUAAUUGAAACUGAGUCCCUAUGGCUUUUUAAUAUUUGCAUUGAGCAGUCUCCAUGUGACUUCCUAAUUCCCACCAACCCUCCUGUCCAUGCUGUGAAACUAAAUUGUAAUUUAUCAGCCUUUGUCAAUGGUUUCUAAAUUAAAGAUAUAGACCAUGCAUGUACUUUAAUAAAAGCAAAUCUAAAGUGUAGAUAGCAGCAAUGGUGACACCCAAUAUUCUCCAUAAAAUAGAAUUAGAAUAAGCAGUGUUACAUUGUUCAUGAUCACCUACAAGCAUACAAGAACUUCCAUGAAUAACUCAUAGCAAUUGCCAACAGGGCGUCGUAGAGACUCAUACAUAGAACACUAUCCACCCAGAGGAAAGGACAAGACCAGUGCGCUGCAGCUCUUAUUUUUCACAUGUAUACCACCACUCGUAAUAACCAAAUUCACUCAGUUGGGAUAGGUGGGAGAUGGUGGUUUGUGGGGUGGCUUGUGGGGAGGAGUUGGAGGAGGCUUUAUUUUCUGAGGCGGCUUGUAUGAGUGUGCAGGAGGAUGCCCGGGAGUGUGACCAUAAUGUGGUGGCUUCUCUCCCGUAGGUGGUUUGCCAAAUGGGCUUGGUGGCUUCUCUCCCUUAGGAGGUUUACCAAUUGGGGUUGGUGGCUUGUGUUCUGGGAGUGGUUUCUCUCCCUUGGUAGGUUUGCCAAUUGGGGUUGGCGGCUUAUGUUCUGGGAGUGGCUUCUCUCCCUUGGGAGGUUUGCUAAUUGGGGUUGGCGGCUUAUGUUCUGGGGGCGGCUUCUCUCCCUUGGGAGGUUUGCCAAUUGGAGUUGGCGGCUUAUGUUCUGGGAGUGGCUUUUCUCCCUUGGGAGGCUUGCCAAUUGGGGUUGGCGGCUUAUGUUCUGGGGGUGGCUUCUCUCCUUUAGGAGGUUUGCCAAUUGGAGUCGGCGGCUUAUGUUCUGGAAGUGGCUUUUUUCCCUUGGGAGGUUUGCCAAUUGGGGUUGGCGGCUUAUGUUCUGGGGGUGGCUUCUCUCCCUUGGGAGGUUUGCCAAUUGGAGUCGGCGGCUUAUGUUCUGGGAGUGGCUUCUCUCCCUUGGGAGGUUUUGUUGGUGGCUUGUGUUCUGGAGAUGGCUUCUCCCCUGGAGGCUUGUGCUCCGGAGGUGGCUUCUGAAAUGGCGGGGGCUUGGGGUAAUGAGCAAGAGAUGGAGUACUGGUGAGAACCACCAUUCCAAGCAACAAUACUAGCAAGCAUGUGGGAGACAUCUUUGAGUAGUUGUAGCUAAGAUGGCGCAACACUGUAGGCAUUGGGUGGCCUUUUAUAAAGGGCUGGACCCAACAGCCAUAUGACACGUGUCAUGAUGACAAAUGAAGUUGAGGGGAUCCAGAUGGGUCCUACUGAGUCGAAAACUUGCACUAAUUGAUCUGGUGAGAUGACUAUUUCUGUCCUUUUGCCCUUCUCGGCCACCCUGUGCUGUUUUCCUUUUGCACGAUUUUCGUUGCCAAACAAGCAAAUAAUAUUUCGCCAAGAAAGAGGAGAGUGAAUGUGGAAUGCAUCAAGUCCCAUCAAGGAUGGCAGAGAAGAAAUAGAAGAUUGCCCAACUGUGAUAAACAUAGCAUACACGUAGCACCAGGAACUUCAUUUACUUCCAUCUAAUGGAACAUAACAAUCUUCUAAAGUUUUUGCAUGAUUUUGUUAUAUGUCUCUUAGCCUAAAGUUGGAAAUGCGCAACAAAUUUUGUCACUUCUCUAUUUCCCACUGAUGAUGUUAAUUAGCCUUCAUAGAUAUCAUCCUUUCUACAAAGUGCUUCAUUUGUGUGUUAUUGUAAAGUGUAAGAAAAGUAAUUGAACAUGUUCUUUUUCCUUUCAUAGAUGACUUUUGAUGUGCAUUUUAAAAGCAGCGCUGUGAGUCGGUGACCUUGAUUCACACGGAAACUAAGGCUCCUAUAGGACCCACUUUUAGCUGGUUAGGGGUGAAGAAAAUAUCAACUUUUCAGAGUGAUUUAAGUCAAGGCCAAGCCUCACUGUGUCAUUACUCGUGUGAAUUUUAUAUGCACAUACAUACAUAAAUAAAGUAUGAGACCCAAAUAACACCUUCCCUUUACAAACUUAACCCCAGCCGCUCUCUUUCAAUUCUUUUCACACAAGGGUAUUGACUCUAUAAAGGUCAAGAAAAUCAUAAUUUCCUAGGGUUUACAAGGUAAUUGGCUUAAUGCUAAUGUGAAAACAUAAAAGAUAAUAGUAUAUUGUAAGCUAACGAAUAUUCUAUAGUUAUAAUUAUUUGUGAUGUGCAUAAAUAAAUCUUCAUAUAUAUAAUGGAACAAUGAAUAAAGAACCAAUGAAAAAAUACUAUAUAUCAUUGCUUGGCAUUUAAACCGUAUAUGCUGCUCUUUCUAGCUACUCCAUCCACUGAAAGACAACAAGGUAAUCCAUGUUAUAAUGAUAGAAGAUACUGUCUCUAGGCUUUUUGUGAUGAAAAAUAUAAGAUAUGGGUAGGGUUGACCCUUGUAUGUUUGUCCUAUAAACACUUCAAAGUAACAUAUUUUUCUUCUUUAGCAACUCAUAAUGAUGGGGUUCAUUUGCAUGUCACUGAGUUGAAAAGUUGGACAAUUGCCCAUGUCGCCUUCCUCCUAGAUUCCGUAGUUCACGGGAAGGUAACUCAAGUUUGACAUAUUUUGAAUUCUUUUCACUCGGACGUCUUCAUAACCUGACAAAACAAAAAUGAAAAACAGAGGAUUGGUAUAUUAUUCAUGGUAAGCCUCAAAUUAUAGUAGUAUGAGAAAGGAGAAAAAGAUUUUGGGAACUCCAAUCUGGAUAAUUCUCGUUUCUUCUCUUGAAUAAAAAUUUCACUUACCUAACUUCGUUUGGAGAAAUGGCAUAUUUUAAUUUUGUACGUCAUUGCUAAUAAAUGGAGCAAUUUAGCAUGUUUUGUGACUGAAACUGCAAAUGUCCAAUUGGCAUUUCUUCAUUUCCCACUUAGGAUCUGAUCUUGUAGACCAUAUAACGAUAUGUAUCUGUGCAAGCAUUGAAAACUAAUGUGAACUAUGAGGAGUUACAAGCCACUGGACUGUAGAGCGAGUGCCAAGAUUUAAAUCUUCAGGCUCUAUCUGGGUAAGGGGAGGAUAGCGACCUAACCUUUUACCAAAGGCUUAGAAUUUAGACUUUUGGAAAAAAAUUUCUCAUGUUUUGGCUGGAUUUCUUGUGCUUGGCGCAAAAAGGAGAUGGCCUCAAGAAAUAGCAGACUCACUUUUGUUUUCAGCCCUUAAUAAUUCUCCACUGCUUUCCAUAACUACAUGGGUUAUACAUGCAGUCUGCUGCAAUAUUCCAGUUAUAUUUAUUAUUUCAAAGAGGGUGAAUGACUUCACAUGCAAUAUGUUGCAGUAACAACCCAAAUUUUGGCACACCAUCUUAAGAAUAGAAAAGUAUAAUAAAAGAAAUCAAUCAGAGAAUCACUUUGCAUGCAGUUCAUAGAGUUCGCCCAAAAUGGAGCCACAUGUACGGACAACCCCACAAUAGACAAUCUUCUCUAUACAGUAAUAAAAUACAGAAAUGGUUAAUGAAGCUCUGUAUUUCCUUAUCAUAUAUGACCGGUUGAAAACUCAGCAAGUCUUCCUCAAUCACAGACAGUUGGAGUUGCUUCAUCAAAAUCAUGCCUUCAUUACUGGCUUCAUUUUGGUUUCAAUGUCUGUUCUACCCUUAAAUUGGGUCUCUGCUUACUACCGGGAUAUCCUUUAGCGUCCUGCAAUUCUACUAGAUUAAAGAGAAUGACUUAAUUCUGCAUUCUGCCGUCCCUAGUCCAAGUGGUACUAGAAUUGAUGUUUCCUUUAGUGUCCUUUCUUCAUACUUUCAGGUUCUUCCCUUGUUUCAAUAAUGCUGUUUUCCUUCAUGUUUAACCUCUGUUGAACCACUUAAAACAACACAAUUUGCACACCAAUGUUUCUUUACAGAAAAGACUGUUUGCAAAAAUGCACAUGUUAUAAGGUUAAUGGAAGAAUUAAUUUGGGGAUAAGGGACUAGGAUUGGGCCAAUGAAGUUUGGUGUUAAAUUUUGAUUAUGAUUGCUUUUCAUUAUCAGGUACCUUAUAUUUGCUGAUGCUAUCUGGAACUAAAUUCAAAUCAGACAUUAUCCGAUUACUAACAGGACAUAUCAUGUCCCUCUGCAGAGUUUCUAAACUAACAUGUAUCGAAAUGUGGCCCCAAAAGGAAGGCUAGGAAGAUGGAGGAUUUUGUAGGAAUCGACCAGAAUCAGAUGGAAGAGAGAUAGUCCUGUUGACUUUAAUGGUUGUGAUAGGAACAUGCAUCAUUAUAUGAGAAGUUGCAUGAAUUUAUGUAUCCUGUUAUCGUUCCUUGACGAUUUCCCAAUGCAAUUUCACUGUCCACAAGACUAACCUCUCCAUGCAGUCAAAUGAAUUGUAAUUUCUCUAUUGGUACCAGUAGUACAUUUCAUACCAAACAUAUAGUAAAUAUAAAAUAUAAAUAGAUCAAGGAAAUCUGAAUUGUAGAUAGCACUGCAAGUAACACUCAAUAUUCUCUAUAUAUAAUAAAAUAAACAGUGUCACAAUACUCAUCACCCAGUGGCAAGGGAGAAAAACCUACAAUGAGUACUCAAAUCACCAUUCUCAAACAGAAACAUAGCAGUGACUGAUACAUAGAACCUAUAUGCUCACAGGGAAAGAAUAAGAUGACCAGUGCACAGCGGGCAGCAGCUCUUAUUUUACGUACAACUCAAAUCCCAAACUAACCAAAGUCGCUCAGUUGGGAUGGGUGGGAGAUGGUGGUUUGUGGGAUGGCUUCUGGGUAGGAGCUGGUGGCUUCUGUCCCUUUGGUGGUUUGCCUAAUGAGCUUGGUGGCUUGUGCUCCGGGAGUUGUUUCUCUCCCUCGAGUAGGUUUCGAGUCUUGUCAGAUGGCUUGUGUUCUGGUGGUGGCUUCUCUCCCUGGGGUGGUUUGCCGAAUGGGCUUGGUGGCUUGUGUUCGGGGAGUGGCUUCUCUCCCUGGAGAAGGUUACGAGUUUUGUCAUAUGGCUUUUGUUCUGGUGGUGGCUUCUCUCCCUGGGGUGGUUUGCCGAAUGGGCUUGGUGGCUUGUGUUCGGGGAGUGGCUUCUCUCCCUGGAGAAGGUUACGAGUUUUGUCAGAUGGCUUGUGUUCUGGUGGUGGCUUCUCUCCCUGGGGUGGUUUGCCGAAUGGGCUUGGUGGCUUGUGUUCGGGGAGUGGCUUCUCUCCCUGGAGAAGGUUACGAGUUUUGUCAGAUGGCUUUUGUUCUGGUGGCGGCUUCUCUCCCUGGGGUGGUUUGCCAAAUGGGCUUGGUGGCUUGUGUUCGGGAACUGGCUUCUCUCCCUUGGGAGGUUCAGUUGGUGGCUGCUGUUCCGUAGGUGGUUUCUUCACCGGCGGCUUGUGCUCCGGAAGCGGCUUCUCUACCUGGAGAAGCUUACGAGUUUUGUCCGAUGGCUUGUGUUGUGGUGGUGGCUUCUCUCCCUGGGGUGGUUUGCCAAAUGGAGUUGGUGGCUUGUGUUCGGGGAGUGGCUUCUCUCCAUUGGGAGGUUUAGUUGGUGAUUGGUGUUCCGUAGGUGGUUUCUGAAGUGGGGGAUGCUUGGGGUAGUCAGCAAGAGACGAGGUAGUGAGAACCACCAGUCCCAGCAGCAACACUAGCAAGCAUGUGGAAGACAUCUUUGAGUUCAGGCUGAGAUCUGUGCAAGGAUAACAGAAUUAGGUGGCCUUUUAUAGAGGCCUGGACCCAACACCCAUAUGACACGUGUCAUGCACUCAUGGUGACACAUAAUUCUAUGGGACCAUUUGGGUCCUACAGAAGUUGCAAAGUUGGACUACUGAGGUGUGAUCACAACUUUUGUCCUUAUUGCUUUCUCUGCGGCCAUUGCACGAUUUCCUUUAGCAUCAUUUUCUUGGCUAAAUAAGCGUAUUAUAUUUGUGGCAGACCGUCCACGUGUCAUAAACAGAUAUAUUAUAAUAAUGUAGUAUGCUUUUCUCCAAUGGAACAUGACACUCUUCUAAGUCUUGUUUUAAAUAUUGUGCAGGAUUACUUUAUACGUUGCAGUUCCAAGUCAAAAUUGGUGGGCAAACGUUGGCCUUUUUUCAUUUCACCUAAGAUUAAUGCUCACCUGGGAUAGGCACUACAUGACUUAUCUGCUCUUUUACUGUAAAGUUGCUUUGUGUAUGAGAUACACCUCCCCUGCACACCCUCAACAUUCGUUGCUCUGUUUUCCUUGUGUCCAGACGAGGAUAUUAAUUGGAGGCUGACAAAACGACUGCUAGCCCAGGAUUUACAAGGUCCUGGUUUGAGGCUUCGGUGAAAGUAUUUUUGAAAAGACACACAUAGAGAUAGUGCGUUUGGUGCAAUGCAGCACUGUGAGCCAUUCUGACGCGUUCUUAAUUUCAAAACUAAUGAAUGCUUCAAAAUUUUAAGAAGUGACAUUUCCAAAUAUUUGAGUUCGUUUAAUUGAACAUUGGAUAACUAGUGAUCAUAGAUUAUUAUCUGUGCUUGGCACUAUAAGAGGGUAUAUGCUUCUUUUUCUGGCCCCUCCUUCAAGGGAGGAGGGACAAUGUGAUCUGUAACGUUAGAAGCUAUUCCAUGUCAUCUUUGGGCUCAGUUCAAAACUAAAAGAUAAUGGGGGGGGGGGGGGGGGGCAUAUCAUUUUAUAUUUCUUCUAGAAGGUUUGUUCUGGAAAUAUUUCACAGGAGCAUAUCUUUUUCUUCUAUUACGUCAUCCGCAGCCUCCAAUAGGUCGGUUAACAAGCCACCGAGUUGAAAAGUUGGAAAAAUGGGAACACAGCCCGCCUCUUGUAUUCAGUAGUUAAAUAAAAGGUCACUAGAAGUGAGAUCCCUUUUGGCGUCUUGAUUUUCAAUCCAGCACCUCUGUGACCUGACAAACCAAAAAAACUAAAAAAUAAAAAACAGUACGUGGGUUGGUGUUAAGCAUCAAGACAUGUUAAUGAAAGAAGGUAGAGAAUAGGAUAUUGAAAUCCCAAUCCUGAUAACAUGAUUUUCUUUGCUAACAACCAUAUUAUAUUUUAUCAAGAAAGAGUAAUGCAUGUGGCGUCCAUCAAGACCCAUUAGAGUUCCGCUAAAGCUAUAGUUCUGUCAACGUUAUCAUUUACGUUUCCUCUAGAUAAUGGCAUUUUCCUCUAAAGCUCUUGCACCAUUAGGCUUCAAGUCAAAAUUUCACAUGUGAACUUUGGAAAUUUUCUCCAUUUGCCCCUAAGGAUACAGUUAGAAUUGACUUAAAAUCCUGAUUGAUAUGUACUAUUAACCAAAGAAUAUUGUAUAUAAUAAUUGAAAUAUUGUUGAUUCAUCGUGGAAAUACAUUUUGUAAGGAAAGUUGUUGAGAAUUUAGUAUGCUAUAUGGAGAAAAAAGUCAUGACUUAAGGUUGUGUAUGUAUAUUCUAUAUCAAAUAUUAGGUAGGAAUGUGGGAAAGAGCAGAGUGUAAUGAUAAGAAACAAAGAAAUAUAAGAUAUUCUUGAAAGUGGAAAAUAUAAAAUGGCUAACGAGUCAAAUUUAUGAUGCGUAAGGGGGAUCAUGUCACAUAAGAAAACCAUGGCAUACUAAAGACGUACGUGUGGUAUGGAGUAAUAAUUUUGUUAAAAUAAGUUUCUUGUUGGAGUACAUUAGGUGACUAUUCAUAACGUAUCAAAUUAAAGAGUCAAGUGCAUCAAUGAAGGCAUAUGUAGAAAAUUUGUUUGUGACAUGUACCAUAAAGAUAAGAUUGACUUGAUAGAAUUUAGUCUAAGUAGGAGUUGUUAAAGGUGUCUUAAAUUUCUAAUUGAUGUAUAUUUUUUUCUAAAAAAAUAUUAUAUAGAUAUUUUAAUAAAUGAUUAAUUCUUUGUAAAAAUACUUACAUAAUAAAAAACAUCAUUAAAAAUAUCUUUAUAAAUAUUUUAAGUUACAAGAAGGAAAAAAACCACUGUGAGAUAAUGAUGAACAUGCAACACUGUACCAAGUAAAUAAAAAUGUGAUAAAAAAAAAAGAGAAACACUCGAUAAAGGAAGGCUCGUAUAUAAAGAGUAAUAUUUUUAAUCAUAUGAUAGAAUGAUUUUCUCUCAUUCAUGAAUAUAGGCAAGAUUGGGGAACCAUUAUAAAAUUUUGUACACCUCGUGUAAAUUGAUGUUUGUCUUCAUAUUUUACACCAACAAAUGACAUUGAAGUUGUCAUUGAUAAAAGGGAAAAGGCAUGCCUCCACACCAUGUGCUUGAUUCGAAUGGUUCAAGUUUGAAGAAUUUUCUCCGGAAGAUCUAAAACAUUUUCGCCUUUAAAUUUCAUUUGAUUAUUAAUAUCCGAAAAAAUAGUUAAAUACUCUUUCUAUUUUUGAGUUGUUGAAUUUUUUGAAAGUUUUUAUAUUUGUUAUCAAGAAUUUCUAUUUUAUUAAGGGUGAAUAUUUAUAAAUAAGAUAUUAUAUAAUAUUUGGAUAAGAGAGAAUGGUGGAAUAUAAUAAAGUUUUAAUCCUUCCCAAUUUUGAACCUUUUUUUUUUUUUUUGAUAUAAUCGCCUUUCUCUUGCAAUCCUAUUAUCAGGUACCUUAUAUUUGCUGAUGCUAUCUGGAACUAAAUUCCAAUCAGGCAUUGUCCAAUUACUAAUAGGACAGAUCAUAUCUCUCUGUUUCUAAACUAACAUGUAUCGUAAUGUGACCUCAUAAGGAAGGCUAGGAAGAUGGAGGAUUUUGUGGGAAGCGACCAGAAUCAGAUGGAAGAGAGAUAGCCCUGUUGACCUAAUGGCUGUAAUAGGAGAAGCGUGUGGUUUUAUGGGACUUAACUGAUACUAAACCUGUAUGAUGCUUGGAGUGGUGUUUCUUUCAUUUUGUUAAGAAAAUAUGGCAGCAUACAUGCUUUCAACUGAGUGCAUCAGAGCAUCCAUAACAGAUGGUCUGCAACCCUAGGUGCAUGCCACUUUCUGACUGAUAAUGAAAUUGUCAGGUACCUGGCCUUGACUAAGCUCAACAGCAUCACAUAAAGAGAAGCUUUCAUACUUAGAUUACUGUUUAAAGUUUUUGCUUAUUUGAUUUCUUAAUGCCAUUAUGACAUUAUUGAUUCAAUUCUGCUUCCGAUUUUCGAAGUUCUGGGCAUCUACUGAUUGCAUCAUUAUAUGAGAAGUUGCAUGAGUUUAUGUAUCCUGUUAUUGUUCCUUUGCGAUUUCACUGCUCACGGGACUAACCUCUCCAUUCAGUCGAAAUGAAUUGUAAUUUCUUUACUGGUAGCAGUAGUACUUUUCAUAGCAAAGAUAAUAGAAAAUAUGAAAUAUAAAUAGAAGGAAAUCUGGAUUGUAGAUAGCACCAUAAGUAACACUCAAUAUUCACUACAUAAUAAAUAGACAGUGUUACAUAGGUAGAGAAACCUACAAUGAGUACUCAUCACCAUUCUCAAACAGAAACAUAGCAGCGACUUAUACAUAGAACCUAUAGGCUCGCAGGGAAAGAGUAACAUGAUAAGUUCACAGCGGGUAGCAGCUCUUAUUUUACGUAUUACUCAAAAUCUCAAACUAACCAAAGUCACUCAGUUGGGAUGGGUAGGAGAUGGUGGUUUGUGGGGUGGCUUCUGGGUAGGAGCUGGUGGCUUCUUUGUUGGAGUUGAAGGAGGCAUAUUCUUCUGAGGUGGCUUGUAUGACUCUUCGGCACUCUCUGCAGGAGGGUGCCCAGGGUUGUGACCAGAAGGAGGUGGCUUCUGUCCCUUUGGUGGUUUGCCUAAUGGGCUUGGUGGCUUGUGCUCCGGGAGUUGUUUCUCUCCCUCGAGUAGGUUUCGAGUUUUGUCAGAUGGCUUGUGUUCUGGUGGUGGCUUCUCUCCCUGGGGUGGUUUGCCGAAUGGGCUUGGUGGCUUGUGUUCGGGGAGUGGCUUCUCUCCCUGGAGAAGGUUACGAGUUUUGUCAGAUGGCUUUUGUUCUGGUGGCGGCUUCUCUCCCUGGGGUGGUUUGCCAAAUGGGCUUGGUGGCUUGUGUUCGGGAACUGGCUUCUCUCCCUUGGGAGGUUCAUUUGGUGGCUGGUGUUCCGUAGGUGGUUCCUUCACCGGCGGCUUGUGCUCCGGAAGCGGCUUCUCUACCUGGAGAAGCUUACGAGUUUUGUCAGAUGGCUUGUGUUGUGGUGGUGGCUUCUCUCCCGGGGGUGGUUUGCCAAAUGGACUUGGUGGCUUGUGUUCGGGGAGUGGCUUCUCUCCAUGGGGAGGUUUAGUUGGUGGUUGGUGUUGCGUAGGUGGUUUCUGAAGUGGGGGAUGCUUGGGGUAGUCAGCAAUAGACGAGGUAGUGAGAACCACCAGUCCCAACAGCAACACUAGCAAGGAUGUUGAAGACAUCUUUGAGUUCAGGCUGAGAUCUGUGCAAGGAUAAAAGAUUUAGGUGGCCUUUUAUAGAGGGCUGGACCCAACACCCAUAUGACACGUGUCAUGCACUCAUGGUGACACAUAAUUCUAUGGGACCAUUUGGGUCCUACAGAAGUUGCAAAGUUGGACUAUUGAGGUGUGAUCACAACUUUUGUCCUACUUGCUUUCUCUGCGGCCAUUGCACGAUUUCCUUUAGCAUCAUUUUCUUGUCUAAAUAAGCGUAUUAUAUUUGUGGCAGACCGUCCACGUGUCAUAAACAGAUAUAUUAUAAUAAUGUAGUAUGCUUUUCUUCAACGGAACUUGACACUCUUCUAAGUCUUGUUUUAAAUACUGUGCAGGAUUACGUCAUAAGUUGCUUGUUCCAAGUCAAAAUUGGUGGGCAAACGUUGGCCUUUUUUCAUUUUCCCUAAUAUUAAUGCUCACCUGGGAUAGGCACUACAUGAUUUAUCUGCUCUUUUACUGUGAAGUUGCUUUGUGCAUGAGUUACACCUCCCCUGCACACCCUCAACAUUUGUUGCUCUGUUUUUCUUGUGUCCAGACGAGGAUAUUAAUUGGAGGCUGACAAAACGACUGCUAGCCAAGGAUUUACAAGGUCCUGGUUUGAGGCUUUCACGAAAGUAUUUUUGAAAAGAUACACAUAGAGAUUGCGCGUUCGGUGCAAUGCAACAAUGUGAGCCAUUCUGAAGUCUUAAAUUUCAGAUUAAUGAAUGCUACAAAAUUCUAAGAAGGGCCGUUUCCAAAUAUUUGAGUUCAUUCAUCCGAACAUCGGGUAUAUGCUUCUUUCUCUAGCCCCUCCUUGAAGGGAGGAGGGACAAUGUGAUCUGUAUCGUUAGAAGCUAUUCCAUGUCGUCAUCUUUGGGCUCAGUUCAAUACUAAAAGAUAUGGGCGGGGCCCUUAUCAUUUUAUAUUUCUUCUAGAAGGUUUAUUCUGGAAAUCUUUCACAGAAACAUAUCUUUUUCUUCUCUACGUGAUCCGUGGUUUGAAAGUUGGAAAAAUGGGUCCGUUAACAAGCCACCGAGUUGAAAAGUUGGAAAAAUGGCAACACCGCCAACCUCUUGUAUUCGAUAGUUAAAUAAAAGGUCACUGGAAGUGAGAUCCCUUUUGGCCUCUUGAUUUUCAUUCCAGCAUCUCUAUGGCCUGAUAAAUUAAAAAACUAAAAAAAAAGACAGUACGUGGGUUGGUGUUAAGCAUCAAGAGUCAAGACAUGAUAAUGGAGAGAAAGGAUAUUCAAAUUCCAGUUCUGACAACAUGAUUUUCUUUGCUGAACUACCAUAUUAUAUUUGAUCAAGAAAGAGUAGUGCAUGUGGCCAGGAUCAAGACAUACAUUAAUUUCCACAUGAUGAAGACAGUUUCUGAGAGUUUCUUCUAAAGCUCUUGCGCGAGUAGGCUUCAAGUCAAAAUCUCCCAUGUAAACACUGGUUUUUCUUUCAUUGCCACUAAGGAUGCAGUUAAUAUUGACUUAAGAUCCUACGUGAUAUAUUUUUUUAAAAGAGCUAUAUUGUAGAUAAUAUUUGAAAUAAUGUUGAUUCGUUGUGGAAAUAUAUUUGUAAGGAAAGUUGUUGACAAUUUAAUAUAGUAUAAGAAGAAAAAAGUUAUCAACUAGCUAGAGAUGAGUAUGUAAAGUGAGGCUCACGAUUCAACGCGUAAAUAUAAGAUAUUUUAAGGCUCAAUAGUUAUGAUAUCUAUUUUAUUUUUUGUAUCUCAUAUAUUCAAAGAUAUAGUAAAAUGAUUUUACAUAUAUAUAUAUAUAUAUAUAUGAACAUAACUAUUUGUGCCAAUUGAUUUUUAUCUUUAUUUUGUAUAUUAGUAAUUAUAUUAAAGUUUUUACUAAUAUAAUAACUAAUAUAAAAGCUUUUUCUAAAAGAGUCAACAGAGCAAAACACUUAUUAUAAAAAAUAAUUUUGAUUGAAGGUGGAGUCAAUUAUUCUUUAUUUAACAUGUAAUGCAUACGGCGUGUACUUCAUAACUAAAGUAUAUAAGUGUAACAUCUCUUAUAUAUUCUCAUUCAAUCUCGAAAGUGGAAAUUUUAAAAAGAUUAAACGGUUCAAAUUUGUCGUGCAUAAAGGGGAUCAUGUCACAUAAGCAAACCAUGGCAUACCAAAGACAUAGGUAUGGACUAAGAAUUUUUUUCAAAUAAGUUUCUUAUUAGGGUACAUUAAUAGGUGACUUUUUAUGACAUAUCAAAGGAGUCAAGUGCACCAAUAAAAACAUAUAUAGAAAAUUCAUGCAUGACAUGUAUCACUAAGAGAAGAUUGACUUGAUAGAGUUUAAUCCAAAUAGGAGAUUGUUAAAAGGUGUCUCAAAUUCUUGAUUGAUAUAUAUUUUUUUUAUUAAAAAGGUUAUUAUAUAGAUAUUUCAAUAGACUAUUAAUUCUUUGUAAAAAUAGUUAUAUAAUGAGGAUGGUGAUUAAAAAUAUCUCUAUCAAUAUUUUGGAUUAUAAAAAGAAAAAAAAUGAGAUAAUGAUAAACAUAUAAAACUUGUACAAGUAGAUAAAGAUGUGAUGAAAGACACUUGAUGAAUGAAGGCUUUGUAUUUCAAGAUAUAAAUAUAUGGAGCAAAACUCUUAAUUAUAUGAUCAAAUGAUUCUCUCAUAUUCAUGAAUAUAAGCAGGAUUGGGGAACCAUGAUAGAAUCUUAUAUGCCUCUCCAUGUAGAGUGAUCGAUGUUUAUCUUCAUAUUUUACACCAGUGAAUGACAUUGAAACUCUUAUUGAUAAAAGGGAAAAGGCAUGGCCUCCACCCCAAGAAAAACAAGUAACCUCGGUUUAAAUCACUAGUCUACACCCCGAAGAGAGAACUAGCCAAACCUACUAAAAGAGAAACUUAACAAUUUAGAAAGAAACCGUCCAUGAUAAAGGGCCCCUAAAGGUCCAAUUCAGUGAGGUCGUGAACAAAAACACUUUCAUGUCAAAACAGAGAUAGGUACCACCAAAAUGUAAAGGGAAAGAUGUAAACCACGUCGAACUUUGGUAAUCAAUGGUAAAGAUAGCAUGAUAGCUAAAAGCACUAAAGCUGUGCUUGGUAUGCAAAAAUGAAAAGUGGAAAUCAGCGUCUUAUUCUUUUUCACCUUUAUUCACAUAUUAGGAUAACUAAUAUCUAAUGUUUUUUAUGUCUCAAAUUCUAUUCCAUGUUAUGGUAAACUUUCAUCUUGUUUAGAUCACUUUUGUCUGGUUUGGGCUCAAGACGAUAAGCCUAUAGAGACUUCAUAUUGGGUUGAAUCGAUGCCCUUGAUCUGAUCUGUUCGUUAGAAAAAUCUGAAUUAUUAUAAGCAUUUAGAUAAAAAAUAAAUAAAUGUGAAACACAAACUACUCCCUGCACAACCUUGACCCUAGUUACUCAGUUUCACUGCUCACAGGACUAACCUCUCCAUUCAGUCGAAAUGAAUUGUAACAAGAAGAUUUUUGACAGGAGGACGGUAGUUUAAAAUAAUAAUUUCUAAAGUACUUUUGUGAAAAAAAAUAAUUCCAAACGUGGAUUUUAUCAAGUAAAAAGAAAAAAAAAAGUUAUUUUCUUUUAAAAUCUGUUCUUCUAAAGAUGAUAUAUAUACCAAAAAAAAAAAUUGUUUUCUGAAGGUAAAAUUUUUAAAAUUCAUUUUUAAAAAAAUUUACACACUAAAAUUAUCUUUUCAAGAGAAGAUUUUUUUAAUUUUAAAUAAUUAUUAAUUUAUAAUUAAUUUGUUAUUAAUUAUUUAUUAAUUUUUUUAUUUGAAAAAUGCAUUUAUAAAAAACAAAUUUGUUAUUAAUUUAUUAAAUAAUUUUUACAAAAUAAAUAAUUUUUUUUUAUUUUAAUUUUAAAAUUAAUUUUAUUAUAUAAAUUUUAAAAUUAAAAAUAUUAAUAUUUAAUUUAAAAUUUAACUAUAAAAGGAAUAAAAUAUAGAAAAAUAAAUUAAUUUAUUAUUCAAUAAAUUAAUUUUCAAUAAAAUUUUCAGCAUUAAGAGAUAAAUUUUUAAGUAUUAAUCAAUUUAAAAAGAAAUAAUGAUCAUUUGUAUAUUAAGAUAUUUUAUUUAGUAAUUAUGAAUGAUAAACAACUAAAGUAAUUUGAAAAAAUAAUAAAAUAUUUAAAAAAUAAUAAUUUAAUACACGUAAAAUUAGAAAUGAUUAACUAUUUUUUAUUAAGAAAAAAUUGAGGAAAUAUUUUGUUAUUUAAAAUUUUUUAUUUGUUUUCAAUUUUUAAUGUUAUAGGUUUCAAGAAAAUUGAUCAAAUAAAAAUUAAGAAGUCAUUUUUUCAAAAACUAUAUAUCUAAAUAAAAGCCUUGAAAUUCAAAUACACAAUAUCAUAAAUAUAAACACCAAGUCAAUCCUUAAUUAUCAAAUGUUUUUAAUAUUAAAGAAUCAAAAUCACCUACUAUCAUGAUAAUAAGAAAACCAAUAAUAUUGUUCAUAUAAAUACUAAAAAGCUAACAAAUAUCCCAAACAAUUAAUAAAGUAUCAAACAUGAUAAAAAGUCAAUUAUUAUCAUGAAUGCAAAAAAUCAAUAAUUUUGUUUAUAUGAACCAUCAACAAAGAAAAAAAAAAUCAAUAUCUAAAUAUUAAACAUAAUUUAUAUUUUUAUAAAUAUUAUUGUUGAUAAAUAUCUUAACAAUUAUAAUUUUAGUAAAUAAAAUUAAUUAAUUUUAGUUUAAGAAUUAUUUUUUUAUACUUUCGUAUUCUUAUCAAAAAUCCCCAUUUUGCAUGUCUCCUUUGGCAUGACUUUCUUACCUAAACAAGCAUAUAUAUAUAUAUAUAUAUAUAAAAUAUUUGGUUAAGAAAGAGUACUAAAGUUUAUAUGGCACACAUCAAGAUAGAAACAGAAGUGGAAGAUAAUCCAAAUGUAUGAACAGAUAUAUUAUAUCCAUGUAGUGGUAGUGACUUCAUUAUUUACUUUUAUCUAAUGGAGCAUGACACACUUCUUCUGAAUAUUUUGCACGAUUAUGUUAUGUGUCAGCUUGUUCUAAGUCAAAACUAGUGAUAAAAAUCGGUUUUUUUUGCAUUUCCUUCAUGAAGAUGGCACCUGGAUGGGGCACUACAUGAGUGGCAUAGCACGAAGUGAUUUAUCUGCUCCCUUUACUAUAAAGUGCUUUGUGUAUAAGUUACACCUCCCCUGCACUGCCUCAACAUUUGUUGUUCUGUCUUCCGUCUGUCCAAACGAGGACAAACGUAUGUUGUAGGUUGACAAAACCACAGCUAGCCUAGGAUUUGCAAGGAUCUAGUUUGAUUCGUAUGCAAAAGGAUUGGUGAAAAGAUUCACAAAGAUAAUGCUUUUUGCAAUGCAAUCUUGUUCUAAUUCAACAGUGUGGACCAUUUUCAUGUAAUGCUUCAACUAGAUGUCAGUUUCAUGAAUUUUUGUUCAUCUAAUUGAUCACUGGAUAGGCCAUAACCCGAAGAAAUUCAAAAUUCCCUUCAGUACUGUAGCUAAGGAAAGAUCCCUAUCUACCACUGGGAUUUUAAGAGGGUAAAAAUGUAGGUGGGUGCCUAUAUCAUUUGCACUUCACUAUAGGCCUCUUUGGGAAGAUUUCUUCUGAAGACAUUUCAAAGAAACAUAUUUUUCUCUUCUCUCCGUAAACGGCAGCUGCAAGUCAGUCCAUUCACAGGCCACCGAGUUGAAAAGGCUGGAAAAUUGGCCAAAGCACCCGCCUCCUGGAUUCCAUGGGUAAGGAAAAGGUCACUGGAGGUGUGAUCCCUGUUGGCCUCUUGAUUUCCAUUCCGCCAUCUAUAUGACCUGAUAACCCAAAAACACAGAAGGAAAACGUCACCUGGGUUCAUAGUAAGCAUCAAGUCAUGAUAGAGACCAGACAACAUGACCAACAAAGAGUAGCGAAUGGGGCCAACAUCAAGCCCCAUUACGGUUAGAAGAUGGAAGAAGUAGAAGACAAUCCAAUUCUGAUAGAUUCGGGCAAAUGUAGUGCUGUUCAAACUUAAUCAUUUACUAUUUCUUCAUGAAUCACGGCAUUUUUCUUCUGAAAAUUUUCCAAGAUUAGGCCUCUGAAGAAAAAUUUCAUAUGUAAAUUGGUAUAUUAAGGAAAAGGCGUUACAAAGGUGAAAAAAAACCAAUCAAAUCUUAUAUAUGACAUCUCAAAAAUAUGAACUUGCUAUAAAUAUUUAAAAUCAAAAUCUUGCACAUCACCUCGUAGUACGAACUUGCUAUAAAACUUGAAAAUCAAGAAGAAAGGGGCAGUAUUGGACGAGACUACUUAGCACAUAUUAUUAUGAUGUUUUUUCAUUUUCUUAAUGUUGUUUUUAUGUCUUAAAUUCUAUUAUUCUAUGUUACGGUAAACAUUCAUCUUGUUUGUGUGGAAUAGGAUCACUUUUCUCUGGGUUGAGUCGAUGCCCUUAGUUAAUUUGUUCAUUUGAAUAAACUAAAUUAUUAUAAGUAUUUAGAUAAGAAAAACGUGAUACAUAAAUUACGCCUCUCGGCACAACUUCAACACUGGUUACUCUGUUUCAGUUUCCUCACACAAGAUUAUUGGUUCUAGGGUUUAUUUGGUUUUGGUUUGAUUCUAAUUGCUAAACUUUCUCAAGGAAGAUGUUAUAUAGGGAGUGAGAAACCUUCACUCUUGGCUACCUCCAAGAGAAGAGCAAGUGGUCUGAAUCAAAGAUAUACUGCUCACUUUUUCUUCUUCUAAGGACAGCUAUGACCUUGCUUUAAGGUUCGAAUAGCCUAAUGCAACCUCCCAUUUCUCAAGUCAGCUGAUGAUGUAAGUCACCUUGGCUUUCCACAUUCAUACGGUGAGGACGUUUGUGGGUGUAAUUCUCUUAACAGUUUUCAUUUUAUAUGGAAAAAUUCAUAAUUAAGGGUAAUUACUGAUUCCAUUUGACAGUGACCAAGUUUAAAAUAUUAAUUCAUAUAUUAAAUGCACAUUAAAAAAUCAUGGAAUAAAUAUAUUUACUAAUAUAUAGUUCUUUUGCCAUGUUCUGUCACAGAAGCAUCGAACUUUCCCUAGAAAUUUUUGCAUGGUAUUCUACUUAUGAUUUUGAAAACUCUAGGCACCUGAGGCCACUAAUUGCAUGGUUGGAUGAGGAGCUGCAUGAGAUUAUGUAUCGUGUUGUUCCUUAACUACAAAUAUCAGUUUUAAGUAGCAUCUCCAUGUGACAUUUUCCUGAUGCAAUUUCGCUGUCCACCAACAAAUUUCACCAUGCAGCAAGAUGAAUUGUAAUUUCUUUAUUGUUAUCAACAGCUUUAAUUAAUCUUGAUAUAUAUAUAUAACUUAGUAGAAGUAUAUUAAUCUAGAUUGUAGUUGCACUAAGAUAAUAGGCAAUAUUAUAACAGUGCCACAAUGCUCAUCGCCAAAUAGAAAGGUAGAAAAACUACAAUGAGUAACUCACAACAUUCUCAAACAGGACAUAGCGGCGACUGAUACAUAGAACACUAUUGGCACUCAGGAAAUGAUAAGAUCAGUGCCCAGCAGGCAGCACGUCUUAUUUUACAUACUACUUAAAACUAACCAAAGUCAUUCAGUUGGGAUGGGUGGGAGAUGGUGGUUUGUGCGGUGGCUUUUGGGUAGUUGGUGGCUUCUUUCCUGGAACUGAUGGUUUUUUUGUUGGAGUUGAAGGAGGCUUAAUCGUCUGAGGUGGCUUGUAUGAGUCUUCAGCACUCUCUGCGGGAGGGUGCCCAGGGUUGUGACCAUAAUGGGGUGGCUUCUCUCCCUUAGUUGGUUUGCCAAGUGGGCUGGCUGGCUUGUGCUCCGGGAGCGGCUUCUCUCCCUUAGGUGGUUUGCCAAAUGGGCUUGCUGGCUUGUGCUCUGGGAGCGGCUUCUCUCCCUCAAGAAGUUUACGGGUUUUGUCAGAUGGCUUGUGUUCUGGUGGUGGCUUCUCUCCUUGGGGUGGUUUGCCAAAUGGACUUGGUGGCUUGUGUUCGGGGAGUGGCUCCUCUCCCUUGGGAGGUUUAGUUGGUGGCUGGUGUUCCAUAGGUGGUUUCUCAACCGGGGGCUUGUUCUCCGUUGGUGGUUUAUGAACUGGGGGAUGCUUGGGGUAGUCAGCAAGAGACGGGGUGGUGAGAACCACCAGUCCCAGCAGCAACACUAGCAAGUAUGUGGAAGAGUACAUCUUUGAGUUCAGGCUGAGAUUUGUGCGAGACUUGAAGAAUUAGGUGGCCUUUUAUAGCUGGCUGCACCCAACACUCACAUGACACGUAUCAUGGUGACACAUGUGCUAUGGGUCCAUUUGGGUCCUACAGAAGCUGAAAACUUUUGACUAUUGAGGUGUGGUCACAACUUUUGUCCCUAUUGCUUUCUCCGCAACCGUUUUACAUGUUUCCUUUGGCAUAAUUUUCUAAGCUAAACAAGCAUAUAUCAUAUUUGGUUAAGAAAGAGUAAAGUGUAUAUGGCACACAUCAAGGAAGAGAAACAGAAAAAGUGGGAGACAAUCAAUUGUGAUAAACAGAUAUAUUAUAUUCAUGUAGUACUAGUGACUUUAUCAUUUACUUUUAUCCAAUAGAUCAUCACUCUUUCUUCUAAAUAUUUUGGAGGAUAAUGGUACAUGUUGCUUGUUUCCAAGUCAAAAUUGGUGGCAAAAAUCGGCAUGAUACGAAAGGAUUGGUGAAAAGAUUCACAUAGAUGGUGCUUUGUGCAAUGCAGUCUUGCUCUAAUUCAACAGAGUGGACCAUGGUGAUGUAUUUUAAAUUUUAAAUUUUAAAUUAAUGCAUGCUUCAAAGUUUUAACUAGAUGUCACUUCCAUGGAUUUUUGUUCAUUUAAUUGAGCACAGGAUAGGCUAUCAAACUUGAAGUAAUAUAAAAAUCCCUUCAUUACUGUAACUAAUGAAAGAUCAUUAUCUGCGCUUGGUAUUUUGCCAAGGUAUUUGCUGCUCUUUCUAGCCCUGUCUUACAGUUAAGGACAAUGUGAUCUAGUUAACCUUAGAAGCUAUUCCAUGUCAGAUACAAGAGAUCAAGCACAUUAUCUUUGGGCUCAGUUCAAAACUAUAAUAUAUGGGUGGGGUGGAGGCCCAUAUCAUUUGCAUAUCACCACUAUUGGUUUAGUUUGGAAGGUUUCUUCUGGAAGAUUGCUGCUUUCUGGAAUCAUUUCAAAGAAAUAUAUCUUUUUGUUCUCUUGGUGACGAGCAGCGGCAAUCAAGUCUGUUGACAAACAACCGAGUUGAAAAGUUUGAAAAUUGGUCACAGCCCACGUCCAUGGUUAAGGAAAAGGUCACUGGAAGUGAUCCCUUCUGGGCCUCUUGAUUUCCAUUCUGACAUCUAUAUGACCUGAUAAAUAGAAAGAAAAAAAAACAGAAGAAAAGCGGCACCCGGGUUCAUAGUAAGCAUCAAGACAGGAUACUGAAAGAAGGGAGAAAGGAGAUUGCAAGUCCAAUCCUGAUAAAAUGAUCAACAAAGAGUAUCAAAAUGGGGCCAACAUAAAGACCCAUUGAGGUUAGCAGAUGGCAUGGCAUUUUUCUCCUUAAGUUUUCCAUGAUUAGACUUGAAGUCAAAAUUUCACAUGUAAAUUUGUAUUUCUACAUUUCCCACUGACGACACCCAACUUCAACUUGAGUUAGAAUAACAUUGUGUGAACUUAUCUGGCCCUCAAAAUUUACUGUGAAGUGCUUUCUGCGUGUGAAGAUUCAGAAAAGCACCAAGGGAACAUGUAUGGUCUGCCUUUUUCUGAUGUUAUGUUUGUCUCUAAUUCUGUUCCAUGUCAUGGUAAAUGUUCACAUUGCUUGUAUGGAACACACCAGGAUCACUUUUUCGGGUUUAUUUUGAGGCUUCAUAUUGGGUUCAUAUUGGGUUCAAUGCUUUUAAUGUGUUCAUUAGACAAAUCUGAAUUAUCAUAUGCAUUUAGAUAAGAACAAUAAUGUGAAACCCUAGUUACACCUCCCCUGCAUAACCCCAACCCUGCUUACUCUAUUUCAGUUUACUCACACAAGUUUUACCGGUUCUUAUAAGUCAAGAAAAGGCAACUGAUGUUGGAUUGACUCUCUUCCAUGUAUAAAAAGCAACUUUUAUAUAUACAUAAAAUAACUUCUUCCCCUCACCAAUGUGGGAUAUCAUGGAUUUAUUCUGGAAACACAUCAAAGGAACAUCUUUUCUCUUGGGUGACCCUAAGUGGUGAGUCAGACCAUUUGCAUGCCAUUGAGUUGCACAGUUGGAUAAAUGCACCUACCUCCUGGGCUCCAGAGUUAAAAGGGUGGAUCCCUGGAUCGCAACCCUCUUGGCAUCUUGGUUUCCAUUCCAACAUCCACAUGACUUGACAAAACAAAAAACAGAAUAAAAUCAUCACUAUUUUCAUGCUAAGCACCAAUACAUGAUGGAAAUCAUUGCUUAAAGAUUUGGGGUCAUUUAGGUUUUGACUGCCUCCUAACACCUCACCUAAUCACAAGUUUUUAUGCUUACAAAUCAAAUAUCGUUCUUCAUUAUAUUAAAAUCAUUUUAAGAUUUCAGAUCCAUCUGCUAAUUAUGAUUAUGAUAACAUUAAUUCACCUGUGCUUCUCAUUUUCGACACACAAGGCAUCUAGGUUUGCAGGAUUUCCUUAUUAGAUGAGAUAAAUGAGUACGCAUGGUUAUGUAUGCAGCAUUCAUUAACCAUGGUAUGUGACAUUUAGAAUUAAGAUAGCAAGCAAACUUUCCCUGCAGCUUGAGUAAAUUGUGAUUUCUUAGCCUCUAUGAGUGGUUCCCAAAUCAAAUUAACAUAGUGAAAUAUACGUAGUCCAGUGAAAGGAAAUGUAAAUUAUAAACUAACAGCACUACACUACUGGUAACACUCGAUACUCUCUAUAUAAUGCAAUGAAAUAUACGUUAUACGUUGCUUGUUCCAAGUCAAAAUUUGUGGCCAAACGUUGGCCUUUUUUCAUUUUCCCUAAGAUUAAUGCUCACCUGGGAUAGGCACUACAUGAUUUAUCUGCUCUUUUACUGUAAAGUUGCUUUGUGUAUGAGUUACACCUCCCCUGCACACCCUCAACAUUUGUUGCUCUGUUUUCCUUGUGUCCAGACGAGGAUAUUAAGUGGGGGCUGACAAAACGACUGCUAGCCAAGGAUUUACAAGGUCCUGGUUUGACGCUUCCGCGAAAGUAUUUUUGAAAAUAUACACAUAGAGAUUGCGCGUUCGGUGCAAUGCAACAAUGUGAGCCAUUCUGAAGUUUUUAAUUUCAGAUUAAUGAAUGCUACAAAAUUCUAAGAAGGGCCGUUUCCAAAUAUUUGAGUUCAUUUAUCCGAACAUCGGAUAAGUAAUGAUCAUAGAUUAUUAUUAUUAUCUGACGUUCUUAUAAUGGUUGGCAUUAUAAGAGGGUAUAUGCUUCUUUCUCUAGCCCCUCCUUCAAGGGAGGGACAAUGUGAUCUGUAUCGUUAGAAGCUAUUCCAUGUCGUCAUCUUUUGGCUUAAGUCAAUACUAAAAUAUAUGGGCGGGGCCCCUGUCAUUUUAUAUUUCUUCUAGAAGGUUUGUUCUGGAAAUCUUUCACCGAAACAUAUCUUUUUCUUCUCUACGUGAUCCGUGGUUGGAAAGUUAGAAAAAUGGGUCCGUUCACAAGCCACCGAGUUGAAAAGUUGGAAAAAUGGCAACACCGCCAACCUCUUGUAUUCGAUAGUUAAAUAAAAGGUCACUGGAAGUGAGAUCCCUUUUGGCCUCUUGAUUUUCAUCCCAGCAUCUCUAUGUCCUGAUAAACUAAAAAACUAAAAAAAAAACAGUACGUGGGUUGGUGUUAAGCAUCAAGAGUCAAGACAUGAUAAUGGAGAGAAAGGAUAUUCAAAUUCCAGUUCUGACAACAUGAUUUUCUUUCCUGAACAACCAUGUUAUAUUUGAUCAAGAAAGAGUAGUGCAUGUGGCCAGGAUCAAGACAUACAUUAAUUUCCACAUGAUGAAGACAGUUUCUGAGAGUUUCUUCUAAAGCUCUUGCGCUAGUAGGCUUCAAGUCAAAAUUUCCCAUGUAAACACUGGAUUUUCUUUAAUUGCCACUAAGGAUACAGUUAAAAUUGACUUAAAAUCCUACGUGAUAUAUAUCUUUAACAAAAGUAUAUUGUAUAUAAUAUUUGAAAUAAUGUUGAUUCGUUGUGGAAAUAUGUUUGUAAGGAAAGUUGUUGACAAUUUAAUAUAGUAUAAGAAGAAAAAAGUUAUCAACUAGAGAUGAGUAUGUAAAGUGAGGCUCACGAUUCAACGCGUAAAUAUAAGAUAUUUUAAGGCUCAAUAGUUAUGAUAUCUAUUUUAUUUUUUGUAUCCCAUAUAUUCAAAGAUACAGUAAAAUGAUUUUAUAUAUAUGAACAUAGCCGAUAGUAUCAUGUUAAAACCUUAUAUGACUCUUUGUGCCAAUUGAUUUUUAUCUUUAUUUUGUGUAUUAGUAAUUAGUAUUAAAGUUUUUACUAACAUAAUAAUUGAUAUAAAAGCUUUUUCCAAAAGAGUCAAACAGAGCAAAACACUUAUUAUAAAAAGAAUUUUGAUUGAAGGUGGAGUCAAUUAUUCUUUAUUCAACAUGUGAUGCAUACAGCGGGUACUUCAUAACUAAAGUAUAUAAGUGCAACAUCUCUUAUACAUUCUCAUUCAAUCUCGAAAGUGGAAAAUUUUAAAAGAUUAAAUGGUUCAAAUUUUCCGUGCAUAAAGGGGAUCAUGUCACAUAACCAAACCAUGGCAUACCAAAGCCAUGAUAUGGACUAAGAAUUUUGUUAAAAUAAGUUUCUUAUUAGGGCACAUUAUGUGACUAUUUAUGACAUAUCAAAGGAGUCAAGUGCAUCAAUAAAGACAUAGAAAAUUCAUGCAUCACAUGUACCACUAAGAGAAAAUUGACUUGAUAGAGUUUAGUCCAAAUAGGAGAUUGUUAAAAGGUGCAUCAAAUUCUUGAUUGAUAUAUAUUUUUUUUAUUAGAAAGGUUAUUAUAUAGAUAUUUCAAUAGACUAUUAAUCCUUUGUAAAAAUAGUUAUAUAAUGAGGAUGGUGAUUAAAAAUAUCUCUAUCAAUAUUUUGGAUUAUAAAAAGAAAAAAAAUAUGAGAAAAUGAUAAACAUAUAAAACUUGUACAAGUAGAUAGAGAUGUGAUGAAAGACACUUGAUGAAUGGAGGCCUUGUAUUUCAAGAUGUAAAUAUAUGGAGCAAAACUCUUAAUUAUAUGAUCAAAUGAUUCUCUCAUAUUCAUGAACAUAAGCAGGAUUGGGGAACCAUGAUAGAAUCUUAUAUGCCUCUCCAUGUAGAUUGAUCGAUGUUUAUCUUCAUAUUUUACACCAAUGAAUGACAUUGAAACUCUGAUUGAUAAAAGGGAAAAAGCAUGGCCUCCACCACAAGAAAAACAAGUAACCUCGGUCUAAAUCACUAGUCUACACCCCGAAGAGAGAACUAGCCAAACCUACUAAAAGAGAAACUUACCAAUUUAGAAAGAAAUCUUCCAUGAUAAAGGGCCCCUAAAAGUCCAAUUCAGUCAGGUUGUGAACAAAAACACCUUCAUGUCAAAACAGGAAUAGGUACCACCAAAAUGUAAAGGGAAAGAUGUAAACCAAGUCGAACUUUGGUAAACAAUGGUAAAGAUAGCAUGAUAGCUAAAAGCACUAAAGCUGUGCUUGGUAUGCAAAAAUGAAAAGUGGAAAUCAGCGUCUUAUUCUUUUUCUCCUUUAUUCACAUAUUAGGAUAACUAAUAUCUAAUGUUUUUUUUAUGUCUCAAAUUCUAUUCCAUGUUAUGGUAAACUUUCAUCUUGUUUAAGUGGAAGAGUAGGAUCACUUUUGUCUGGUUUGGGCUCAAGACGAUAAGCCUAUAGAGACUUCAUAUUGGGUUGAAUUGAUGCCCUUGAUCCGAUCAGUUCGUUAGAAAAAUCUGAAUUAUUAUAAGCAUUUAGAUAAAAUAAAUAAAUAAAUGUGAAACAGAGACUAUUCUCUGCACAACCUUGACCCUAGUUACUCAGUUUCACUGCUCACGGGACUAACCUCUCCAUUCAGUCGAAAUGAAUUGUAAUUUCUUUACUGGUAGCAGUAGUACUUUUCAUAGCAAAGAUAAUAGUAAAUAUGAAAUAUAAAUAUAUAGAAGGAAAUCUGGAUUGUAGAUAGCACCAUAAGUAACACUCAAUAUUUACUACAUAAUAAAAGAGAUAGUGUUACAAAGGUAGAGAAACCUACAAUGAGUACUCAUCACCAUUCUCAAACAGAAACAUAGCAGUGACUUAUACAUAGAACCUAUAGGCUCGCAGGGAAAGAGUAACAUGAUAAGUGCACAGCGGGUAGCAGCUCUUAUUUUACGUAUUACUCAAAAUCUCAAACUAACCAAAGUCACUCAGUUGGGAUGGGUAGGAGAUGGUGGUUUGUGGGGUGGCUUCUGGGUAGGAGCUGGUGGCUUCUUUGUUGGAGUUGAAGGAGGCGUAAUCUUCUGAGGUGGCUUGUAUGAGUCUUUGGCACUCUCUGCAGGAGGGUGCCCAGGGUUGUGACCGGAAGGAGGUGGCUUCUGUCCCUUUGGUGGUUUGCCUAAUGGGCUUGGUGGCUUGUGCUCCGGGAGUUGUUUCUCUCCCUCGAGUAGGUUUCGAGUUUUGUCAGAUGGCUUGUGUUCUGGUGGUGGCUUCUCUCCCUGGGGUGGUUUGCCGAAUGGGCUUGGUGGCUUGUGUUCGGGGAGUGGCUUCUCUCCCUUGGCAGGUUCAGUUGGUGGCUGGUGCUCCGUAGGUGGUUUCUUCACCGCCGGCUUCUCUCCCUGGAGAAGGUUACGAGUUUUGUCAGAUGGCUUCUGUUCUGGUGGCGGCUUCUCUCCCUGGGGUGGUUUGCCAAAUGGGCUUGGUGGCUUGUGUUCGGGAACUGGCUUCUCUCCCUUGGCAGGUUCAGUUAGUGGCUGGUGUUCCGUAGGUGGUUUCUUCACCGGCGGCUUGUGCUCCGGAAGCGGCUUCUCUACCUGGAGAAGCUUACGAGUUUUGUCAGAUGGCUUGUGUUGUGGUGGUGGCUUCUCUCCCUGGGGUGGUUUGCCAAAUGGACUUGGUGGCUUGUGUUCGGGGAGUGGCUUCUCUCCAUUGGGAGGUUUAGUUGGUGGUUGGUGUUCCGUAGGUGGUUUCUGAAGUGGGGGAUGCUUGGGGUAGUCAGCAAGAGACGAGGUAGUGAGAACCACCAGUCCCAGCAGCAAUACUAGCAAGGAUGUGGAAGACAUCUUUGAGUUCAGGCUGAGAUUUGUGCAAGGCUAGAAGAAUUAGGUGGCCUUUUAUAGCGGGCUGGACCCAACAACCAAAUGACACGUAUCAUGAUACACAUAUGUGUUAUAAGAUCCUUGUGGGUCCUACAGAAGUUGAAAACUUUGACAAUUGAGGUGUGAUUACAACUUUUGUCCCUAUUGCUUUCUCGUCAGCCGUUUUGCAAGAUUUUUGACAGGAGGACGGUAGUUUAAAAUAAUAAUUUCUAAAGUACUUUUGUGAAAAAAAAUAAUUCCAAACGUGGAUUUUAUCAAGUAAAAAAAACAAAAAAAAGUUAUUUUCUUUUAAAAUCUUUUCUUCAUGAUUCAUAUACCAAAAAAAGAAUUGUUUUCUGUAGGUAAAAUUUUUAAAAUUCAUUUUUAAAAAAAAAAAAUUACACACUAAAAUUAUCUCUUCAAGAAAAUAUUUUUUAAAUUUUAAAUAAUUAUUAAUUUAUAAUUAAUUUUUUAUUAAUUAUUUAUUAAAUUUAUAUGUGAAAAAUGCAUUUAUAAAAAACAAAUUUUUUAUUAAUUUAUUAAAUAAUUAUUUACAAAAUAAAUAAUUUUGCUUUAUUUUAAUUUUAAAAUUAAUUUUAUUAUAUAAAUUUUAAAAUUAAAAAUAUUAAUAUUUAAUUUAAAAUUUAACUAUAAAAGGAAUAAAAUAUAGAAAAAUAAAUUAAUUUAUUAUUCAAUAAAUUAAUUUUCAAUAAAAUUUUCAGCAUUAAGAGAUAAAUUUUUAAGUAUUAAUCAAUUUAAAAAAUAAUAAUAAUCAUUUGUAUACUAAGAUAUUUUAUUUAGUAAUUAUGAAUGAUAAACAACUAAAGUAAUUUGAAAAAAUAAUAAAAUAUUUAAAAAUAAUAAUUUAAUACACUUAAAAUUAGAAAUGAUUAACUAUUUUUUAUUAAGAAAAAAUUGAAGAAAUAUUUUGUUAUUUAAAAUUUUUUAUUUGUUUUCAAUUUUAAAUGUUAUAGGUUUCAAGAAAAUUGAUCAAAUAAAAAUUAAGAAGUCAUUUUUUCAAAAACUAUAUAUCUAAAUAAAAGCCUUGAAAUUCAAAUACACAAUAUCAUAAAUAUAAACACCAAGUCAAUCCUUAAUUAUCAAAUGUUUUUAAUAUUAAAGAAUCAAAAUCACCUACUAUCAUGAUAAUAAGAAAACCAAUAAUAUUGUUCAUAUAAAUACUAAAAAGCUAACAAAUAUCCCAAACAAUUAAUAAAGUAUCAAACAUGAUAAAAAGUCAAUUAUUAUCAUGAAUGCAAAAAAUCAAUAAUUUUGUUUAUAUGAACCAUCAACAAAGAAAAAAAAAAUCAAUAUCUAAAUAUUAAACAUAAUUUAUAUUUUUAUAAAUAUUAUUGUUGAUAAAUAUCUUAAUAAUUAUAAUUUUUUAUAUAUUAAAUUUAGUAAAUAAAAUUAAUUAAUUUUAUAAUAUAAGAUAUAUAUAAUAAUUAAGAGACUAUUUGUCCCAAACAAUUUAUUUAUUUUUUUUUUAGGAAAUUGUCUCUUCAAGAGACGACUUCUCCCAACAUUUUUAAAAAAAAAAAAAAAAACAUCUAUUCAAAAGACGAUUUCUCCUCAUUUUUUAAAAAUGAAUUUUAGAAAUCAUAUUUUCAAAAAUGAAUUUUAGAAAUCAUAUUUUCAAAAGACGAUUUUUUUUUAUAUAAAUUAUUUUUUAAAAUGACGAUUUUAAAAGGAAAUAACGAUCUCUCUCCUACUUGGCAAAAACUAUGGUAAAUUUGGAAUUAUUUCUUCCACAACCAUAGUUUAAGAAUUAUUUUUUUAUACUUUCGUAGACUUAUCAAAAAUCCCUAUUUUGCAUGUCUCAUUUGGCAUGACUUUCUUACCUAAACAAGCAUAUAUAUAUAUAUAUAUAUAUAUAUCACUUUUGUCUGGGUUGAGUCAAUGCCCUUAACUAAUUUGUUCAUUUGAAUAGUCUAAAUUAUUAUAAGCUUUUAGUUAAGAAAAAUGUGAAACAUAAAUUACACCUCUCGGCACAACUUCGACACUGGUUACUCUGUUUCAGUUUAUUCACACAAGAUUAUUGGUUCUAGGGUUUAUUUGGUUUUGGUUUGAUUCUAAUUGCUAAACUUUCUCAAGGAAGAUGUUAUAUAGGGAGUGAGAAACCUUCACUCCUGGCUACCUCCAAGAGAAGAGCAAGUGGUCUGAAUCAAAGAUAUACUGCUCACUUUUUCUUCUUCUAAGGACAGCUAUGACCUUGCUUUAAAAUGUUCGAAUAGCCUAAUGCAACCUCCCAUUUCUCAAGUCAGCUGAUGAUGUAAGUCACCUUGGCUUUCCACAUUCAUACGGUGAGGACGUUUGUGGGUGUAAUUCUCUUAACAGUUUUCAUUUUAUAUGGAAAAAUUCAUAAUUAAGGGUAAUUACUGAUUCCAUUUGACAGUGACCAAGUUUAAAAUAUUAACUCAUGUAUUAAAUGCACAUUAAAAAAUCAUGGAAUAAAUAUAUUUACUAAUAUAUAGUUCUUUUGUCAUGUUCUGUCACAGAAGCAUCGAACUUUCCCUAGAAAUUUUUGCAUGGUAUUCUGCUUAUGAUUUUGAAAACUCUAGGCACCUAAGGCCACUGAUUGCAUGGUUGGAUGAGGAGCUGCAUGAGAUUAUGUAUCCUGUUGCUCCUUAACUACAAAUAUCAGUUUUAAGUAGCAUCUCCAUGUGACAUUUUCCUGAUGCAAUUUCGCUGUCCACCAACAAAUGUCUCCAUGCAGCUAGAUGAAUUGUAAUUUCUUUGUUGUUAUCAACAGCUUUAAUUAAUCUUGAUAUAUAUAUAACUUAGUAGAAGUAAUUAAUCUAGAUUGUAGUUGCACUAAGAUAAUAGGCAAUAUUAUAACAGUGCCACAAUGCUCAUCGCCAAAUAGAAAGGUAGAAAAACUACAAUGAGUAACUCACACAACAUUCUCAAACAGGACAUAGCGGCGACUGAUACAUAGAACACUAUUGGCACUCAGGAAAUGAUAAGAUCAGUGCCCAGCAGGCAGCACGUCUUAUUUUACAUACUACUUAAAACUAACCAAAGUCAUUCAGUUGGGAUGGGUGGGAGAUGGUGGUUUGUGCGGUGGCUUCUUUCCUGGAACUGGUGGUUUUUUUGUUGGAGUUGAAGGAGGCUUAAUCGUCUGAGGUGGCUUGUAUGAGUCUUCAGCACUCUCUGCAAGAGGGUGCCCAGGGUUGUGACCAUAAUGAGGUGGCUUCUCUCCCUUAGGUGGUUUGCCAAGUGGGCUGGCUGGCUUGUGCUCCGGGAGCGGCUUCUCUCCCUUAGGUGGUUUGCCAAAUGGGCUUGCUGGCUUGUGCUCUGGGAGCGGCUUCUCUCCCCCAAGAAGUUUGCGGGUUUUGUCAGAUGGCUUGUGUUCUGGUGGUGGCUUCUCUCCUUGGGGUGGUUUGCCAAAUGGACUUGGUGGCUUGUGUUCGGGGAGUGGCUCCUCUCCCUUGGGAGGUUUAGUUGGUGGCUGGUGUUCCGUAGGUGGUUUCUCAACCGGGGGCUGGUGCUCCGUAGGUGGUUUAUGAACUGGGGGAUGCUUGGGGUAGUCAGCAAGAGACGGGGUGGUGAGAACCACCAGUCCCAGCAGCAACACUAGCAAGUAUGUGGAUGACAUCUUUGAGUUCAGGCUGAGAUUUGUGCAAGACUAGAAGAAUUAGGUGGCCUUUUAUAGCUGGCUGCACCCAACACUCACAUGACACGUAUCACGGUGACACAUGUGCUAUGGGAUCCAUUUGGGUCCUACAGAAGUUGAAAACUUUUGACUAUUGAGGUGUGAUCACAACUUUUGUCCCUAUUGCUUUCUCCGCAACCGUUUUACAUGUUUCCUUUGUGGUGUUUAAUAGUGUUUUUUUCCUUAAUUCUAAAUAAACCUUAAUACUUAAUAAUGUUAAAUAUUAGGUUAUUUAUUUUUAUAAUAUUUUAUUUAUAUUAAGUAUUAAAAAGUAAAGAAAAAUCAAUAUAUUUAUUUUUCUAUUUAGAAAAAACUAUAUAUUUUUAAUUUUUUUAUUUAAUAAAAAAUUUAUAAUAAAUCAUGAAAAAAUAGAAAAACAAACAACCUAAAUUUUAAAAAUAAAUUGUUUUUAGUAAAAACCCAAAAAAACAAACACCACCUUAACUAAACAAAUAUAUAUUAUAUUUAGUUAAGAAAGAGUAAAGUGUAUAUGGCUCAAAUCAAGGAAGAGAAACAGAAUAAGUGGAAGACAAUCAAUUGUGAUAAACAGAUAUAUUACAUGCAUGUAGUACUAGUGACUUUAUCAUUUACUUUUAUACAAUAGAUCAUCACACUCUUUCUUCUAAAUAUUUUGGAGGAUAAUGGUACAUGUUGCUUGUUGCCAAGUCAAAAUUGGUGGCAAAAAUCGGCAUGAUACGAAAGGAUUGGUGAAAAGAUUCACAUAGAUGGUGCUUUGUGCAAUGCAGUCUUGCUCUAAUUCAACAGAGUGGACCAUGGUGAUGUAUUUUAAAUUUUAAAUUUUAAAUUAAUGCAUGCUUCAAAGUUUUAACUAGAUGUCACUUCCAUGGAUUUUUGUUCAUUUAAUUGAGAACAGGAUAGGCUAUCAAACUUGAAGUAAUAUAAAAAUCCCUUCAUUACUGUAACUAAUGAAAGAUCAUUAUCUGCGCUUGGUAUUUUGCCAAGGUAUUUGCUGCUCUUUCUAGCCCUAUCUUACAGUUAAGGACAAUGUGAUCUAGUUAACCUUAGAAGCUAUUCCAUGUCAUAUACAAGAGAUCAAGCACAUUAUCUUUGGGCUCAGUUCAAAACUAUAAUAUAUGGGUGGGGUGGGGGCCUAUACCAUUUGCAUAUCACCACUAUUGGUUUAGUUUGGAAGGUUUCUUCUGGAAGAUUGCUUUCUGGAAACAUUUCAAAGAAAUAUAUCUUUUUGUUCUCUUGGUGACGAGCAGCGGCAAUCAAGUCUGUUGACAAACAACCGAGUUGAAAAGUUUGAAAAUUGGUCACAGCCCACGUCCAUGGUUAAGGAAAAGGUCACUGGAAGUGAUCCCUUCUGGGCCUGUUGGAAGCAGGGGAGGUUAACACACCAAGCAACAAAGAACAGAGAUAUGCUGCUACUGAUCUAUAUUUUUUAUUUGAUCAUAAGGCUAAAUUUAUACAGAUUGUGUAACAGAUAUGACCUCAAAAAAAAGCAUCAAAUCAAGCUACUUGUUGAACAAACAACUACCUUCUACAAAAUAACAUCAAAAUUUAACUUAAAAGCAAAAACAUAAAAAUAGCAACAGCAAAAAUAGAAACAUAAAAAUAGCUUCAGCAUUCUAGUAAUCUCGUUGACUUCAAUUGCAUGUGGUUGACGAUUUCAGCCUUUUCCUCAGCAGCUACUAAGGCAUAACUCUCAACACUCCUCCUUGACUUAGGAGGUGCAAACUCCAAGUCUUUCUCAUAGAAACUCAAAUCUUAUUUUAGGAAGAGCUUUAGUCAGAAUAUCUACAUUUUGACUGUCUGUAUUGCAGUAGACUAGUUGUAUAUCUCCUUCUUUCUGUACUUCCCUCAAAAAUUACAAUUUAAUCUUGAAGUGCUUUGUUUUACCAUGAAAAACUGGAUCAUUUGCAAUAGAUAUAGUGGCCUGGUUGUCUACAAACACCUUUGUACUCACUUCUUGCUUCAUAUCCAAAUCUGUCAGCAACUUUCCAAGCCAUAAGGCUUGAUUUACAGCUGUAACAGCAGCAAUAUACUCUGCCUCAGCUGUGGAUUGAGCCACGACUUCUUGCUUCCUUGAACUCCAUGAAAAAACACCAGAACCAAAACUAAAACAAUAGCCUGAAGUACUUCUCAUAUCGUCAACACAACCAGCCCAAUCACUAUCAGAAAAUCCAUGAAAAUUGAAACUUUGAACUUGACUGAACUUAAUGCCAUAAUCCACAGUGCCUUUAACAUUUCUUAUCACACGCUUUGCUGCCUGGAAAUGAAUUUCACUAGCACAAUGCAUGUAUCUCGAAAGUAGACUUACAGCAUGCAUUAUAUCGAGUCUUGUUGCAGUCAAGUACAUUAAGCAUCCAAUCAUGCUUCGAUAAAGUCCUUCAUCUACCUUUUUAGCACCGUCCUCCUUACAGAACUUCUCUUUCUGGUUCAUAGGGGUAGAUGUAGGUUUGCAUUCCUCCAUUUUGAAUUUCUUCAUAAUUUCUUUGGCAUAUUUUUGUUGGCAGAUGAAAAUCUCAUUCUGCUUCUGGUGUACUUCCAUUCCCAAGAAGUAAGACAUCUCAUCUAGGUCUGUCAUCUCAAAAACCUGCUCCAUUUCAGCCUUGAAUUUGUUCACAAACCCUGCAUUACUUCCUGUUACAAGCAAAUCAUCAACAUAUAGAGAAACAAUUAAUAUAUCUUCUUCAAUCUUCUUAAUGUAGAGUGUAAAUUCACUCAAGCUCUUGUGAAAGCCUAAAGUUAGCAGGUGAGUGUCAAUCCUGCUGUACCAAGCUCUAGGGGCUUGUCUUAACCCAUACAAGGCCUUCUUAAGAAGGUAUACUUUUUCUUCUUUUCCUUUGAUAGCAAAACCUUCUGGUUGUUCGACAAAAAUCUCUUCCUCUAAGUAGCCAUUCAAAAAUGCUGACUUCACAUCUAGUUGAUAAAUCUUCCAUUUUCUUUGAGCUACAAGAGCCAACAACAUCCUGAUUGUAUCCAAACGAGCUACUGGUGCAAAGGUUUCCGAAAAGUCAACACCAAACAUUUGUGCAUACCCUUUGACAACCAGCCUUGCUUUAUGUUUGUUUAUAGAACCAUCAGAGUUGAGUUUGGUUCUGUAAACCCACUUAACCCCAAUAGGUUUUUUGUGUGAAGGUCUAUCUACUAGCUCCCAAGUGUUGUUCUUGUCAAUCAUAUCUAGCUCCUCCUGCAUUGCAACCCUCCAUCUUUUAUUUUCAGCAGCUUCAACAAACCCUGCAAGUUCAAGAACAGCUAUAUUACACCUUUGAUAAAUAUCAAAAAGUGUCAUGAAACCUCUAACUGGAAGUUCAUCAACAUCUUCAUCAAUAUAUUGCUGAUUCUGCUCAUCCCAACUCCAUUUCUCCGUUUCCAAAAACUUAACAUCUCUACUUACCACAAUUUUACUAUUUUGUGGCAAGUAGAUUCUGUAAGCUUUUGAGGUGCUGUUGUAUCCAAUGAAAAUUCCUGGUUCUGACUUUUUAUCUAGCUUGUCUCUUUUCACCUGAGGAACAUAAGAGAAACACAAGCAACCAAAGGUCUUUAAAUUCAUUAGCAUAGGCUUAUAAGCAAACCAGGCCUCAAAAGGUGUCUGUUUCUGCAAUGCUUUUGUUGGUAGUCUAUUUAGCAAAAAUACUACUGUAUUUGCAGCUUCAACCCAAAAACUUUUUGGCAGCUCUUUCUCAUGCAAAAGACAUCUUGUCAUUGAUUACUACUCAAAAAGUGCUAUUUGAUAGCCUUUAAUUAAUCCUUUUUAACACUUUUGAGUAGUAGUUUAGGCCUUUUAACUCAAUUGGCAUGUUAAGGAUCCUUUAAAGCAAUUUUGAUCACUUUGUGCAAGUUUUGGUGUUUUUGUUAGUAUUUCGAUCACCAAAGCAAGUCAAGAAUGAGGAGAGCUAUGAGGAAUCUUGGGCAAAGCUUAGAAUUCAAUUGCCAAGAGUGAAUCCGGAUUGCAAGGAGAAAAAGCAAAGAGGAUCAGUCAUGGAGCAUAUUCUUGAUGACAGUCGUAGCAGCCACUUUUGGAUCACUUUCUGAAGUCCAAAUGAUGCAAGCUAUAUACCAUUUCAAAGCUCAGGAAGUCAACAAUCCAAUGCUUCAAACGGUGUGCGAUUCGGAAUUGAAACGAAGAAGUUGCAGCCAUUACAAGCCAGACACUCUAAAGUGUUGCGGAAUCAGCCAUGUGUUGCGAGAAUUUCGCAGCACUUUUGUACAGUAAGGUGUUUCUCCUUCUAACGAUGCACGAACCAUGCCGCGAGAAGGGAGCUGGAAACUUCAAGAUGGAAGCCAACUUUGCAGCCUAGUGAAGAUAGCUCGGUCUUGCAAGAUAAUUUCGCAGCCCUCUUGGGUGUCUGCGAAAUUUCGCAGGCCUCAUUUUUCACCUGCGAAAUGGCUCUUGAAGCCUCCCGAAGCUUGCUACCGACAUUGGGAGAUAUUUUCCAUUAGAUUUUUGUUGUCUAAAUCCCAAAAUACUCCUUGUAAACCACCAAUUACAUGAUUCCUUAGUUUUUAAGUUAGUAAAAAGACCAAAUAUCUUUGUAACAAUUAGUUUUAUAUUUUGUUGUUAUAAAUACCUCUCGGGAGCCUGUUCUCAGGGAGGAGUUCCUUCUGUAAACGUUUGGUAAGCAAGUAAAGUCUAUUUUCUUUCUACUGCCUUACCUUCUCACUUUGUAUUUUCAUUUUAUUUCUAAGUUAUGAAUUCUCUGAGGAGUUUUCCCCAAAGAAUGAGUAACUAAACCUCCAAUUCCUUGGAGCUAAGGUUGCCGGGGAAGGUUCCAAGUGCAAGAAUGCAAAGCUCUGUGGUUUUAGCUAGUAAUGAAGAGGAAGUGAAAUCCUUUAGUGAUUUCAAUGUUUUUAGUUAACUUAAAACACUUUGGAGUCACCUGGGCCAACACUUGGUAAGGCAAGUGAUUUCCAACCAUGGAAAUGCACUAGUUUACCCCUUGCGAGCCUCUGGUAGGUGACUUCAAGGUAGGAUUUUCUGGAAUUACCAACACUUGGUAAGCUUUUGGACUCCUAGGAGACAUCCAUUAGUUAUCUCUUGCGAGUUUGUGAAGGGAAUCCAAGGUUAAAGAUCACCUUGAAUGGUAAGUGCUCGUGAGAGGCAUGAACCAUUGCAAGUUGUAUCAGUGAGAGAAUUAAAGUGAAAUCUAAUUGAAGGAGUCUUUGUACAUCACCGGUUAGAGAAUUGACUAUAAGUUGAAUCUCUAAUGCGAGGAAAUGAACCAACUGACCAGAGCCGUGUCUUUUGCAUGAGGAACCACCCCAGUGAACCUAAAUCUCCAAGGAAUGUUUUUUUCUUCCUAAAUUAUUCCAAACUUCUGUUAAGUUAGUUAGUUUAAAUCUCAACCUUUACAAAUCAAAGUUUGUGUUUUAUUCCUUAAGCUAACCGUGAAAUGAAACAAGACCAAUUCACUUGGAAUUGGUAUCAUUGAUUGCCUGCAAAUCAUUCCCAGUGAACGAUCCUAGAGCCACUAUACUAUAGUAGCUUUGUAUUUGCUACCCUAGUGUAUGGUGUUAUAGGUAUAAAUUUUGUUGAUCACUUCCUCAAUCAAGGAGCACCAGCUGAACACAAAUCAGCUGAGACACCAAUUAGGCAUGAGUCAAAUGGCGCCGUUGCCGGGGAAUGAAUGUCAAGUUCAUUGUGAUACCAUUGUUGAGCACUUGUGAUUUUCAUCACAAGUUGGUAAAGUUUCUUUCACUUUACUAAUUUUCAUUCUUUCUUUGUUUAUUUACAAUCUAAGUUUAUCUUUUUAAAUUUUAGUCUAGUUUAAUUUUGUUGUUGUAGCCCUGUUUUUCUUGUUGUCCUCUGUUUUCAUUUUUUUUUUCAGGUAGAUACUAGUUGUGUAUGCCCAAGUGGAUACGAGACAUAGGAGGUAGGCUUGUUAAGUGUGAUACACCUCAGAAAGGAGAAUUUGAAGUAAUCUUGAAUAUCAUGGAGGCUGCACCUGAAGAUCAGCAUAGUCACCAAGGUCGUCAAGACAAUCUCAAUGAAUUCAGAUCAAUGAGGGACCGUAUGCAUCCACCUCGUAUGAGUACACCAUCAUGUAUAGUGCCCCCUACAGAGCAGCUAGUGAUCAGACCAUAUCUUGUUCCACUUCUACCAACUUUCCAUGGGAUGGAAAGUGAGAAUCCGUAUGCACACAUCAAGGAAUUUGAAGAUGUUUGUAAUACAUUCCAAGAAGGAGGAGCUUCAAUUGACUUGAUGAGGCUUAAGUUAUUUCCUUUUACUUUAAAGGAUAAGGCCAAAAUUUGGCUUAAUUCUUUAAGGCCAAGGAGUAUCCGCUCUUGGACUGAUUUACAAGCUGAGUUCCUUAAGAAAUUUUUUCCUACUCAUAGAACAAAUGGCUUGAAAAGGCAAAUUUCAAACUUCUCAGCUAAAGAGAAUGAGAAAUUCUAUGAGUGUUGGGAAAGAUACAUGGAAGCUAUAAAUGCUUGUCCUCACCAUGGCUUUGAUACUUGGCUAUUGGUGAGCUAUUUUUAUGAUGGUAUGUCCUCCUCAAUGAAGCAACUCCUCGAGACAAUGUGUGGAGGAGAUUUCAUGAGCAAAAAUCCAGAGGAAGCUAUGGAUUUCUUGAGCUAUGUAGCUGAUGUUUCAAGGGGAUGGGAUGAACCAACUAAAGGAGAAGUGGGAAAGAUGAAGUCUCAGUUGAAUGCUUACAAUGCAAAGGCUGGGAUGUAUAAUUUGAAAGAAGAUGAUGACAUGAAAGCAAAGUUGGCAGCUAUGACAAGAAGAUUGGAGGAGCUGGAGCUGAAAAGAAUGCAUGAAGUGCAAGCUGUUGCUGAAGCACCAGUGCAAGUGAAGCUGUGUCCCAAUUGUCAAUCAUUUGAACAUUUGGUGGAGGAGUGCCCUGCAAUUUCAGUUGAAAGGGAAAUGUAUAGAGAUCAAGCAAAUGUUGUUGGACAAUUUAGGCCCAAUAACAAUGCUCCUUAUGGAAAUACCUACAAUUCAAGUUGGAGGAAUCAUCCAAAUUUCUCAUAGAAGGCCAGAGCAACUCAAUACCAACAGCCGGAUCCACCAUCUCAGCAAUCUUCAAGUAUUGAACAAAUAAUAGCCAAUCUCAGCAAGGUAGUGGGAGAUUUUGUGGGAAAGCAAGAAGCCACCAAUGCUCGAGUUGAUCAAAGAAUGGAUAGAAUGGAGAGUGUGUUGAACAAAAGAAUGGAUGGAAUGCAAAAUGAUAUGAACCAAAAGUUUGAUAACAUCCAAUAUUCAAUUUCAAGGCUUACAAAUUUGAAUACACUGCAAGAAAAAGGAAGAUUUCCUUCUCAACCUAACCAAAAUCCCAAAGGUGUCCAUGAAGUGGAAAGCCAUGAGGGAGAAUCAUCACAGGUGAAAGAUGUGAAAGCUUUGAUCACUCUAAGGAGUGGUAAGAAAAUUGAGCAGCCAACACCCAUGCCACAUGUUGAGAAAGAAGAAGGGAUAAAGAAAGGAAAGGAAAUAGAAGAUAAAGACAGUGAGAUCAGUGAAGAAAAGAAGGACUCUGAUUCAACAAUCAAAGCAAUUCCAGAGAAAGAGCUUCUGAAGGAAGAAAUGCUGAAGAAAUCAACUUUUCCACCUUUUCCUCAAGCAUUACAGGGGAAAAAGGGGGUUAGAAAUGCAGCUGAAAUCCUUGAAGUCUUAAGACAAGUAAAAGUUAAUAUUCCACUGCUGGAUAUGAUCAAACAAGUUCCAACGUAUGCAAAAUUCCUAAAGGACUUGUGUACUAUCAAAAGAGGGGUUGACUGUAAACAAGAAAGCCUUCUUGACUGAGCAAGUAAGUGCAAUCUUACAAUGCAAGUCUCCUUUGAAGUACAAAGACCCUGGAAGUCCUACCAUUUCAGUCAUGAUUGGAGGAAAGGUAGUGGAGAAAGCCUUGCUAGACUUGGGAGCAAGUGUGAAUUUGCUUCCAUACUCUGUCUACAAGCAACUGGGACUUGGAGAGUUGAAGCCAACAGCAAUCACUUUAUCUUUGGCAGAUAGAUCAGUGAAAAUUCCAAGAGGAGUAAUUGAGGAUGUAUUGGUUCAAGUGGAUAAUUUCUACUAUCCAGUAGAUUUUGUUGUUCUUGAUACUGAUCCAACUGUAAAGGAAGCUAAUUUAGUUCCUAUCAUCCUUGGAAGGCCAUUUCUUGCAACUUCAAAUGCAAUCAUCAACUGUAGAAAUGGGCUUAUGCAACUCACUUUUGGUAACAUGACACUGGAUCUCAAUAUUUUCUAUAUGUCUAAAAAGCAAAUCACUCCUGAGGAAGAAGAAGGUCCAGAAGAGCUAUGUAUUAUUGAUACUUUGGUGGAGGAGCACUGCAAUCAGCAUAUGCAAGAUAAGUUGAAUGAAAGUCUUGUGGAUAUUGAGGAAGGUUUUUCUGAAUCUCCUAUUGGGCUUGCUACUCUACAAAGUUGGAGAAAGAUAGAAGGAAUUCUACCUUUGUUCAAUGAAAAAGAGGAGGCAACUGUUGAAGAAGAAAUUCCAAAACUCAAUUUGAAGCCUUUACCUGUGGAGCUGAAAUAUACAUAUCUUGAAGCAAAUAAUCAAUGUCCUGUUGUGAUAUCCUCAUCUCUGACCAGUCAUCAAGAGAAUUGUUUAAUGGAAGUUCUCAUGAGGUGUAAGAAGGCAAUAGGAUGGCAAAUAUCUGACUUGAAAGGCAUUAGUCCUUUAGUUUGUACUCAUCAUAUAUAUAUGGAGGAGGAAGCAAAGCCAAUUCGUCAAUUUCAAAGAAGGUUGAAUCCUCAUCUACAAGAGGUGGUGCGAGCUGAGGUGCUGAAGCUACUUCAAGCAGGAAUCAUUUACCCUAUUUCUGAUAGCCCUUGGGUGAGUCCUACUCAAGUGGUACCAAAGAAGUCAGGGAUCACAGUGAUUCAAAAUGAAAAAGGGGAAGAAAUUACUACACGCCUCACUUCAGGUUGGAGGGUGUGUAUUGAUUAUAGAAAGCUGAAUGCUGUCACCAGGAAGGAUCAUUUUCCAUUGCCAUUUAUUGAUCAAGUGCUGGAGAGAGUCUCUGGACAUCCAUUUUAUUGUUUCUUGGAUGGGUAUUCAGGCUAUUUUCAAAUUGAAAUUGAUUUGGCAGAUCAGGAAAAGACCACUUUUACAUGUCCAUUUGGAACAUUUGCUUAUAGAAGAAUGCCUUUUGGUUUAUGCAAUGCACCUGCUACAUUUCAAAGAUGUAUGUUGAGUAUUUUCAGUGAUAUGGUGGAGAGAAUUAUGGAGGUUUUCAUGGAUGACAUCACCGUAUAUGGAGGUACAUUUGAGGAGUGCUUGGUUAAUUUGGAAGCAGUUCUUCAUAGAUGCAUUGAAAAAGAUUUGGUGCUGAACUGGGAGAAAUGCCAUUUUAUGGUACGUCAAGGAAUUGUCCUUGGCCAUAUCAUCUCUGAAAGAGGCAUUGAAGUUGAUAAAGCAAAGGUGGAGCUUAUUGCCAAAUUACCAUCUCCAACAACUGUGAAAGGAGUAAGACAGUUCCUUGGCCAUGCAGGGUUCUAUAGGAGGUUUAUAAAAGGUUUUUCAAGUCUUUCAAAACCUCUUUGUGAGCUGUUAGCUAAGGAUGCUAAGUUUAUAUGGGAUGAAAGGUGUCAGCAUAGCUUUGAUCAACUGAAGAAGUUUUUAACAACAACUCCAAUAGUGAGAGCCCCUAACUGGCAAUUACCUUUUGAACUGAUGUGUGAUGCCAGUGACUUUGCUAUAGGAGCUGUGCUUGGCCAAAGAGAAGAUGGGAAGCCCUAUGUGAUUUACUAUGCAAGUAAAACACUAAAUGAAGCUCAGAGGAACUACACAACUACAGAGAAAGAAUUGUUAGCUGUGGUAUUUGCUUUGGACAAAUUUCGAGCUUAUUUAGUGGGGUCUUUCAUCAUUGUCUUCACUGACCAUUCAGCCUUGAAGUAUUUAUUGACAAAGCAAGAUGCAAAAGCAAGGUUGAUUAGAUGGAUUCUAUUGUUACAAGAGUUCGAUCUUCAAAUCAAAGAUAAGAAAGGAGUGGAGAAUGUAGUAGCUGACCACUUGUCAAGGUUAGUUAUAGCACAUAAUUCCCAUCCCUUGCCUAUCAAUGAUGAUUUUCCUGAAGAAUCACUCAUGUUCCUAGUGAAAACUCCUUGGUAUGCUCAUAUUGCUAAUUAUUUAGUAACUGGGGAAAUUCCAAGUGAGUGGAAUGCACAGGACAGGAAGCACUUCUUUGCCAAAAUUCAUGCUUAUUAUUGGGAAGAGCCCUUUCUCUUUAAGUAUUGUGCAGAUCAGAUUAUUAGGAAGUGUGUCCCUGAAGAUGAGCAGCAAGGGAUUCUAUCUCAGUGUCAUGAGAAUGCAUGUGGAGGCCACUUUGCCUCUCAGAAAACAGCCAUGAAGGUAUUACAAUCAGGGUUUACUUGGCCAUCUCUUUUCAAAGAUGCCCACAUCAUGUGUAGAAAUUGUGAUAGAUGCCAAAGGCUUGGAAAGCUAACAAAAAGAAAUCAAAUGCCUAUGAACCCCAUUCUGAUAGUUGAGAUAUUUGAUGUUUAGGGCAUUGACUUCAUGGGACCUUUCCCAAUGUCUUUUGGUAAUUCUUACAUUUUGGUGGGGGUAAAUUAUGUUUCUAAAUGGGUUGAGGCAAUCCCCUGUAAGCAAAAUGAUCACAGGGUGGUUCUCAAGUUUCUUAAAGAGAACAUUUUCUCAAGAUUUGGGGUGCCCAAGGCCAUAAUCAGUGAUGGAGGAGCUCAUUUUUGCAACAAACCUUUUGAAGCUCUGUUAUCCAAGUAUGGAGUGAAGCAUAAGGUAGCCACACCUUAUCAUCCUCAGACAUCCGGGCAAGUUGAGCUAGCUAACAGGGAAAUAAAGAACAUUUUGAUGAAAGUGGUGAAUUCCAACAGAAAAGAUUGGUCUAUUAGGCUUCAUGAUUCAUUGUGGGCAUAUAGAACAGCUUAUAAAACUAUUCUUGGGAUGUCUCCCUAUCGUCUUGUCUAUGGCAAAGCAUGCCAUCUCCCUGUGGAAGUUGAAUACAAAGCUUGGUGGGCAAUAAAGAAGCUGAAUAUGGACUUGAUCAAGGCCGGAGAAAAGAGAUUUCUAGACCUUAAUGAGAUGGAGGAAUUAAGAAAUAAUGCUUAUAUCAAUUCCAAAGUUGCAAAACAGAGGAUGAAGAAGUGGCAUGAUCAACUCAUCUCCAACAAGGAAUUUCAGGAAGGGCAAAAAGUUUUGAUGUAUGACACAAGACUCCAUAUCUUUCCUGGGAAGCUCAAAUCAAGGUGGAUUGGUCCAUUUGUUAUUCACCGAGUAUAUUCCAAUGGAGUGGUGGACUUAUUGAAUUCCAAUGGCAAGGAUAGCUUUAAAGUCAAUGGAUAUCGUCUCAAGCCGUUCAUGGAGUCAUUCAAAUCAGAAAAGGAGGCAAUCAACCUCCUUGAACCUCAAAAAGCCUAAGUGAAAAGGGUUUGCUGGACGUGGCUUUACCACAGUCCAAAAUUUUUGUAAAUUUUGUAAAUUUUCAAGUUGUUUCUAUACUUUUGAUUUUAGUUUUUGAUCUUAAAUCAUGUUUUUAGGUGUGUUUUAAUCGUUUUAAAUGAUCCCAGGUGGAAGAAAUUUCAAGGGGAUUGAAAGAAAAAAAAUCGGGUCGAAAUUGGAGCCGAAACAGAGCAAAAACAGGGGAAAAACAGAGCUCUGCGAAAUUUCGCAGGGUGAAGGAAACCUCUGCGAAAUGAGCAUUUUGUUGCGAAACCAUUCCGCAGCACUGUAGAAGCCUCUGCGAGUGUAUUUCGCAGCUGCGAAAGUGAAUUUGGCACACGAGUGCCACUUCGCAGUACAGUAGCAUCCAUUUGGCAGCUGCGAAACUCAUUGCGAAAUGGAAAAGCGUGAUUUCGCACCAAAAGUCCCAUUCCGCAGGGUAUUUCGCAAUUGCGAAAGUGGUUUUGGCACACGAGUGCCACUCCGCAGCACAGUAACAUCAAUUUCGCAGCUGCGAAACUCACUGCGAAGUUGCUGCGAAAAUGGCAAGUUGCUGCGAAAUUGGCGUUUAGUUGCGAAACUUAAACUGACCCCUGAGCUUCCGUUUUUCCUAUUUAUACCGGUCAAAAGUGCUGCGAAAAGGGUUUCAAAAAUCAGAGCACCAUUCUCGCAGCCCCUUCAUCUUCUUCGCCAAGCCACGCCGUCCGAACCUCCGGUCGUCUUCUCCGUUUAGCAGCGCCGGCCAAAGAUCGAUAUUCCAAAAUGGCACGAACGCGAGGGGCAAAAUCUUCAUCCCCUUCGAAUCGCAAAAGGAGUCUGCGAAAGGAGCCAAGUCCAGGUUCUGCUCCAGAACCUGCUCCAAAGCCUUCGCCGUCGAGACCACAACCUUCUCCAGUGAAGCCGGCGCCACUAAAGCCGCCGGCAAGACGAUAUUUGACAAGGUCAGGCGGUUGGCCAUUGAAGAAGAAGCCCAGGGUUGAGAGCUCUGAACCAAUUGAUUUGACUGAGCAAUCCCCUGAGCAGUCCCCAAAUCCUUCACCAGUUCAAACUCCAGUGCCGUCACCGGUUCCCUCGCCAAUUCCCUCACCUGAAGCAACUCCAAUUCCAUCGUCGGUACCAUCUCCGGCACCCCAAGAAAAAGCUCAGGAGCCUCAAGCGCCAAUUCCAGAGCCCCAAAUUGCAGCUGAAGCACCUCUGGAAGAAGUGAUCCGAAGGCCAAUGCUGCCCCAGCCCCCAAUCGAAGGAAACUUGGAUUGUCGAACACGGGCAUUCCAUUCUGAGCUUUGCUUCGAUUUAACAGCAUUCAGAGUGAGGCCAGAGCUUGCCCAAUCCUUCCAGCUGCUGAGGAGAUAUCAUAUGGAGCAUCUGCUAGCUCCAAGGGAUUUUUUCUAUCCCCGGGUAGUCACGGACUUCUACCAGACCAUGACAACCAAAGAAGUAAGAAAUCCAACUCUGAUCCAUUUCAUAAUUGAUGGAAGGCAUGGUAUUUUGGGAGCAAGACACAUUGCUGAAGCUCUGCAAAUUCCUUUUGAGCCAACCCAAUUCGACAAUUUUAAAGCUUGGGUAAAUCCUACUGAGUUAGAGAUGGUUCGCACACUAACCAGAGGAGCUGCAAAUCGAUCACACCUGUUGAGGGGGGAGCUACCUCCAGUGAUGUUUUUGAUUGAUGCCUUUUUGAGGCAUAAUAUCUAUCCCCUGCAGCAUUGGACCCAAAGAAGGGGAAUUCUCCUGGAAGCUUUGUACAAGAUGUCAGAAGGAUUCUUCUUUGGGCCCCAUCAUCUUAUCAUGGCAGCCCUUCUAUACUUUGAGGAAAAGGUUCACAAGAAGAAACUUCAAAGAGCAGAUUGCAUUCCACUCCUCUUCCCAAGGCUGCUAUGCCAAGUUUUGGAGCAUCUCGGAUACCCCUCUGAGCCUCAGCAGGAAAGAAAGAGAAUAUGCCGUGAGCCAUUUACUCUUGAUAAAUGGAAUAAUAUGACGGCCUACAAAAUUGAUCAGCCUGGGCAGCCUCAGCCAGCAGCAAGGAGAGCCUCCCCAAGACAUGCACCUGAAGGUAUAACACUUGCUACUCCUGCCAUCCCUCGAGCUUCACCAGCUGCACCUGCUGCAUCACAGCCAUCCACAUCAGCUGAGCCGAGGAUGGCCAUCCCUAUAUCCGAAUAUCGAGAGCUGUGCCGAGCAUUGGAGACUCUUACAGCUUCCCAGAGCAAUCUUGCUCAAGAGUUGGCAGCCAUCAAAGCAUGCCAGGAGCAGAUGUUAGCCUCUCAGGCUCAACAAGCUGCCAUCCUAAGGCAGCUUCAAGUCCAUUUCGAUCUGCCACAAGCUGUAGAGCCCUCCACUGAGACUCCACCAGAGCCACACUCUCAGCCUUCAGAGUCUCUUCCUCCAGAGCCAGAAGCCCCAACUGAUCCACCUACAGAGGAGGCGGAUCCUUCUGCUUAGCACCAUCACCCCACUCAUCAGACAUUAUAUAUAUUUGCUGUUUAUGUUUUUAUGCAUGUUUGUUUUGUUUUAGUUGAAAUGAAAUCCCAGUAUUUUGGUACUAUAUAUGGGAUUCCUUGUGAUUACUUGUCCUUAGCAUUGUACUCGAAUGAAUUGAAAGUAAUACAAGUUGAAUUUUUCUUGUUAAAAGUUAGCAUUAAAAUUCUCCUUAUUUCCUUUUCUCACAUAUUCUAUUCUUUUUGAAACAUGUGGUUUUCCCCAAUCAAUAUUCGAAUUUGAUAUCAGCAUGGAGGUACCACUUCCUCCCUUUUAUUACAGUCACUCAAAUCACAUUGAGGACAAUGCUCAGUUCGGUUGGGGGGUAUGAGGAAGGAAGUAUUCUAAAUCUUUUUGGUAUUGCAAUUAUAUUGGUUAAUUAGUUGUAGAUUUUACGUUUUACUCUUGUUACUCUAUUCUCCAUGAAUUUUGAGGAAAAAUUUUCAAAUUAAACCAAGAGAAAUUGAACUGUUGUUUUUCACUUGACUUAGAGUAUGGAUUAUGCUUACUAAAGUGGUUCAAUUGUUGAAACUUCUACUGAAAUUGAAUUGAGUUCUUCCAUUUUAAGCUAUCCACACACUGUGCACAUUAGUUUCUGAUUAUAAGAUGAAAAGCUAUUUCCCUCUUGACUUAGGAUAAUUUUGGGACUUGGUAUAUUUGACCUCAUUUGAUAAAAAUUGAAACACCCUGCAAAAGGCCAAUGAGCCUUUGAAAUAAAGAAAGAUGUUUGCUUGCCUUGAAACCCGAGCAAGGUCUGAGGGGCAUAUGGUGAAAGCCUUUAAAGCCUGGUGCCCUAAGCCUUAAUUGGUUGGGAGUCACCGACCUCAAUGCUCGUUACAAGGGUGAAUAGGUAGAGCUAGCAUAUGGUAGAUGCUUGGGUAUUAGAAAUUCAUUCUUAAAAGUCCAGGGAAAAAUCCGAGGAGUUAGUGGUUGAAAGAUCCUUAAAACUUGGUGCCCUAAACCUUAAUUGGUUGGGAGUCAUCGAUGGACCCCCAUUACAUGGACAAGUCAGAAAGAGUACCCCAUAAAGCUACUUUAAAAAAAAAAAAAAAAAAAAAAAAAAGAUGAUGAAAGUGUGUUCUUUUCUUAUUGAUUUUGGUCAGAUUGCUAAAGUGUUGAAAAGAGAUAGGUUGGGGGGGGAGACUAGUUUAGCAUAUUAUUCUCGGAAUCUAAGGAACCAAUACACAUAGAUUUUUGUGGAAGAUUGAAGUUUAGUUCUUAGAAAGUGAAAUGAUUUUAAAACUUCAGUUUGCAUAAUGCACUCCCUUGAUUGACAGUGUUUAGCAUAGGUGUUAUGACUCUUGUUGAGAUUUGGGUUUGUAUUUCUUUAAUGAUUCAUGUGAGAAGUAAAUCAUCAUGCCACUUAAGAAUUAUUUUCCUUUCAGCAUGAUGUUGUAAAUUUUAGAUUAGUUUGCUAUUUAUUUUUAUUUUUCUCUCCUUUAUUGCUAAGGGACUAGCAAUAUGUCGGUUGGGGGGAGUGAUUACUACUCAAAAAGUGCUAUUUGAUAGCCUUUAAUUAAUCCUUUUUAACACUUUUGAGUAGUAGUUUAGGCCUUUUAACUCAAUUGGCAUGUUAAGGAUCCUUUAAAGCAAUUUUGAUCACUUUGUGCAAGUUUUGGUGUUUUUGUUAGUAUUUCGAUCACCAAAGCAAGUCAAGAAUGAGGAGAGCUAUGAGGAAUCUUGGGCAAAGCUUAGAAUUCAAUUGCCAAGAGUGAAUCCGGAUUGCAAGGAGAAAAAGCAAAGAGGAUCAGUCAUGGAGCAUAUUCUUGAUGACAGUCGUAGCAGCCACUUUUGGAGCACUUUCUGAAGUCCAAAUGAUGCAAGCUAUAUACCAUUUCAAAGCUCAGGAAGUCAACAAUCCAAUGCUUCAAACGGUGUGCGAUUCGGAAUUGAAACGAAGAAGUUGCAGCCAUUACAAGCCAGACACUCUAAAGUGUUGCGGAAUCAGCCAUGUGUUGCGAGAAUUUCGCAGCACUUUUGUACAGUAAGGUGUUUCUCCUUCUAACGAUGCACGAACCAUGCCGCGAGAAGGGAGCUGGAAACUUCAAGAUGGAAGCCAACUUGGCAGCCUAGUGAAGAUAGCUCGGUCUUGCAAGAUAAUUUCGCAGCCCUCUUGGGUGUCUGCGAAAUUUCGCAGGCCUCAUUUUUCACCUGCGAAAUGGCUCCUGAAGCCUCCCGAAGCUUGCUACCGACAUUGGGAGAUAUUUUCCAUUAGAUUUUUGUUGUCUAAAUCCCAAAAUACUCCUUGUAAACCACCAAUUACAUGAUUCCUUAGUUUUUAAGUUAGUAAAAAGACCAAAUAUCUUUGUAACAAUUAGUUUUAUAUUUUGUUGUUAUAAAUACCUCUCGGGAGCCUGUUCUCAGGGAGGAGUUCCUUCUGUAAACGUUUGGUAAGCAAGUAAAGUCUAUUUUCUUUCUACUGCCUUACCUUCUCACUUUGUAUUUUCAUUUUAUUUCUAAGUUAUGAAUUCUCUGAGGAGUUUUCCCCAAAGAAUGAGUAACUAAACCUCCAAUUCCUUGGAGCUAAGGUUGCCGGGGAAGGUUCCAAGUGCAAGAAUGCAAAGCUCUGUGGUUUUAGCUAGUAAUGAAGAGGAAGUGAAAUCCUUUAGUGAUUUCAAUGUUUUUAGUUAACUUAAAACACUUUGGAGUCACCUGGGCCAACACUUGGUAAGGCAAGUGAUUUCCAACCAUGGAAAUGCACUAGUUUACCCCUUGCGAGCCUCUGGUAGGUGACUUCAAGGUAGGAUUUUCUGGAAUUACCAACACUUGGUAAGCUUUUGGACUCCUAGGAGACAUCCAUUAGUUAUCUCUUGCGAGUUUGUGAAGGGAAUCCAAGGUUAAAGAUCACCUUGAAUGGUAAGUGCUCGUGAGAGGCAUGAACCAUUGCAAGUUGUAUCAGUGAGAGAAUUAAAGUGAAAUCUAAUUGAAGGAGUCUUUGUACAUCACCGGUUAGAGAAUUGACUAUAAGUUGAAUCUCUAAUGCGAGGAAAUGAACCAACUGACCAGAGCCGUGUCUUUUGCAUGAGGAACCACCCCAGUGAACCUAAAUCUCCAAGGAAUGUUUUUUUCUUCCUAAAUUAUUCCAAACUUCUGUUAAGUUAGUUAGUUUAAAUCUCAACCUUUACAAAUCAAAGUUUGUGUUUUAUUCCUUAAGCUAACCGUGAAAUGAAACAAGACCAAUUCACUUGGAAUUGGUAUCAUUGAUUGCCUGCAAAUCAUUCCCAAUGAACGAUCCUAGAGCCACUAUACUAUAGUAGCUUUGUAUUUACUACCCUAGUGUAUGGUGUUAUAGGUAUAAAUUUUGUUGAUCACUUCCUCAAUCAAGGAGCACCAGCUGAACACAAAUCAGCUGAGACACCAAUUAGGCAUGAGUCAGUCAUCUCCAUUAUUGUUUUAUUUUUUCUUUCCACCACCCCAUUUUGUUGUGGGGUGUAUGGUGCAAUGAGCUGGUGAUCUAUGCCUGCAUCUUCACAAAAUUUGUUGAAUUUUUCUGAAGUAUAUUCUGUACCAUUAUUCGACCUUAUAACCUUGAUUCUGUAUUCACUUUGAUUUUCAACCAUGGCCUUAUAUCUCAAAAACACAUCAGCAACCUCAGCUUUGUAAGUGAGAAAAUAAAUCCAACAAAAUCUUGUGAAGUCAUCAAUAAAUGCAAUAUAGUACUUACUCCCUUUCAAAGAUGGUGUCUUUUGAGGUCCACUCACAUCUGUGUGAACCAAUUGUAGUUUCUGUGUUGAUUUCCAUGCUGCUUUUUGAGGAAAAGGAAGUCUUGUUUGCUUCCCAUAUUGAUAGGCUGCACAUAUAGGAAGUUCUUCUUCCAAAUCAGGGAGUCCUUCUACAAUCUAAUUCUUCUUCAUGUAGAGCACGGUAUUGUGGUGGAAAUGCCCUAAUCUUUUAUGCCAAAGCAUUGUAUUGUUCUCGUGUUGUGCAGCAGUAAUUUGCUCAUCUUCUAACAUAUUUAAGGCAAAACUUUUGCCUUUCAUUUUUAUGUUGAACACCUCUUUGCCUUCAGCAUCCUUGAUUAUGCAAUUUUUGUCUUCAAAACAAACUUUAAACCCUUUCUCAACAAGCUGUCCAACACUUAGCAAAUUUUGGUCAAUGUCAGGCACAAACAAAACAUCAGAAAUGAGCUUUAAACCUGUUAGGCUUUCAAUAGCUAAUGUUCUUUUACCUUUUACUGGAAUAUACUCACCAUUUCCUAUUCUAACUUUGGAAAUAGUUGUCCUAUCAAUCUCCCUAAAGCGAUCUUGAUCAUGUCAUGUGGUUUGUGCAACCACUGUCCACGAGCCAGCUUUCAGAGGUGCUACCGUUUGCAAAACAUGUUGCUGAAAAUAGUUGUUCCUCCUGGUAUUGUUCAGCUGCUACAUUGGUUUCUCCCUGCUGCUGCUGAGUUCUACAGAUCCUUUCUAUGUGUCCAUGUCUACCACAUUUGUUGCAUUUCACAUCUGGUCUCCACCAACAUUUUUGUUGAGGAUGAUUUGUUUUCUUGCAAUGAGGACAGGGUGGAUAGGUUCCAGUUUUUUUAUUGUUGUUGUUGCUUGGCUUAUUGUUGUUCUUUUUGUUCUUCCUCCUUCUUGUGUUACCUUCAUUGGUCUGUGUCUUUGCUUGAAAAGCUCCUUCUACAGAACUUCCUUGCCUCAUGAGUCUUCUUUGUUCCAAAGCUUGUAAAGCAUUUAGUAGUUCUGCCAAGGUGAUACUUGACAAAUCUUUUGUGUUUUCCAAAGAAGAAAUUGUAGCUUCAUAUUUUUCAGGAAUUGUGACAAAAUUGUUUUGAACAACUCUUUCAUCAGAAAACUCUUUACCUAGCAACCUCACCUUGUUUGCUAUGGUAAGAAGUUGUUCUGCAUAAUCUUUUAUGGUUUGAGACUCUUUCAUCCUCACCAUUUCAAAUUCUCGAAUUAGAUUCAUUACCUGCACAUUUCUGACUCUUUCAUUGCCUUGAUAUUCUUCCCGUAGAUGCUUCCAGAUUUCUGCAACAGAUUCAAGUUGCAUGAUUCUGGUGAGAAUUAAUGGUGAGACUACAGAAAAUAAGCAAGCCUUGGCCUUAGCCUUCCUCGUCUUUUUCUCCUUAUGGUUUUUCAUCUGUGACACAGUUGGAUUGGCUCCAAGUGGAGAAAUUUCAUAAUCUUCCUCUAUUGCUUCCCAGACAUCAAGAGCCUGUAGAUGAACAGUCAUCCUGACAGCCUAAGUUUGGUAAUUUUCUCCAUUGAAGACUAGUGGUGCUGCUGUGAAGCUUGCUUCUUCCAUUUCUGCAAGGUUUUCAGAUUCAGGUUUGGUAUACGGUGUUUAGGCUCACACACCUCACUGGUCCCUCAAGACAAAAAUUGCUCUGAUACCAAACUGUUGGAAGCAGGCGAGGUUAACACACCAAGCAACAGAGAACAGAGAUAUGCUGCUACUGAUCUAUAUUUUUUAUUUGAUCAUAAGGCUGAAUUUAUACAGAUUGUGUAACAUAUAUGACCUCAAAAAAAGCAUCAAAUCAAGCUACUUGUUGAACAAAAAACUACCUCCUACAAAAUAGCAUCAGAAUUUAACUUAAAAGCAAAAACAUAAUAAUAGCAACAGCAAAAACAGAAACAUAAAAAUAGCUUCAACAUUCUAGUAAUCUCAUUGACUUCAAUUGCAUGUGGUUGACGAUUUCAGCCUUUUCCUCAGCAGCUACUAAGGCAUAACUCUCAACAGGGCCUCUUAAUUUCCAUUCUGGCAUCUAUAUGACCUGAUAAAUAGAAAGAAAAAAAAACAGAAGAAAAGCGGCACCUGGGUUCAUAGUAAGCAUCAAGACAGGAUGCUGAAAGAAGGGAGAGAGGAGAUUGCAAGUCCAAUCCUGAUAAAAUAUCAACAAAGAGUAUUAAAUGGGGCCAACAUAAAGACCCAUUAAGGUCAGCAGAUGGCAUGGCAUUUUUCUCCUUAAGUUUUCCAUGAUUAGGCUUGAAGUCAAAAUUUCACAUGUAAAUUUGUAUUUCUACAUUUCCCACUGACGACACCCAACUUCAACUUGAGUUAGAAUAACAUUGUGUGAACUUAUCUGGCCCUCAAAAUUUACUGUGAAGUGCUUUCUGCGUGUGAAGAUUCAGAAAAGCACCAAGGGAACAUGUAUGGUCUGCCUUUUUCUGAUGUUAUGUUUGUCUCUAAUUCUGUUCCAUGUCAUGGUAAAUGUUCACAUUGCUUGUAUGGAACACACCAGGAUCACUUUUUCAGGUUUAGGGGGAUACAAAAGGCUUCAUAUUGGGUUCAAUGCUUUUAAUGUGUUCAUUGGACAAAUCUGAAUUAUCAUACGCAUUUAGAUAAGAACAAUAAUGUGAAACCCUAGUUACACCUCCCCUGCAUAACCCCAACCCUGCUUGCUCUAUUUCAGUUUACUCACAAGUUUUACUGGUUCUUAUAAGUCAAGAAAAGGCAACUGAUGUUGGAUCGACUCUCUUCCAUGUAAAAAAUGCAACUUUUAUACAUAUAAAAGAACUUCUUCCCCUCACCAAUGUGGGAUUUCAUAGAUUUAUUCUGGAAACACAUCAAAGGAACAUCUUUUCUCUUGGGUGACCCUAAGUGGUGAGUCAGAUCAUUUGCAUGCCAUUGAGUUGCACAGUUGGAUAAAUGCACCUGCCUCCUGGGCUCCAGAGUUAAAAGGGUGGAUCCCUGGAUUGCAACCCUCUUGGCAUCUUGGUUUCUAUUCCAACAUCCACAUGACUUGACAAAACAAAAAACAGAAUAAAAUCAGCACUAUAUUCAUGCUAAGCACCAAUACAUGAUGGAAAUCAUUGCUUAAAGAUUUGGGGUCGUUUUAGGUUUUGACUGCCUCCUACCACCUCACCUAAUGACAAGUUUUUAUGCUUACAAAUCAAAUAUCGUUCUUCAUUAUAUUAAAAUCAUUUUAAGAUUUCAGAUCCAUCUGCUAAUUAUGAUUAUGAUAACAUUUAUUCACCUGUGCUUCUCAUUUUCGACACACAAGGCAUCUAGGUUUGCAGGAUUUCCUUAUUAGAUGAGAUAAAUGAGUACGUAUGGUUAUGUAUCCAGCAUUCAUUAACCAUGGUAUGUGACAUUUAGAAUUAAGAUAGCAAGCAAACUUUCCCUGCAGCUAGAGUAAAUUGUGAUUUCUUAGCCUCUAUGAGUGGUUCCCAAAUCAAAUUAACAUAGUGAAAUAUACGUAGUCCAGUGAAAGGAAAUGUAAAUUAUAAACUAACAGCACUACACUACUGGUAACAAUCGAUACUCUCUAUAUAAUGCAAUAAACAAUGUCACAAUUGCCUACAAGCAAGGCACAAACACUAGAACAAGUAAAGCACAAACCUUUCCCAACAGUUCCCAGUGACUGAUGCAUAUCAUACCCUCAACUCACAGAAGGGGAUGAUAUCAGUGCACUGCAGCACUUAUUUUACACAUACUACCACUACUACUACUACUACUACUACUCAUUAGCCAAAGUCACUCAGUUGGGAUGAGUGUGAGGUAGAGGUUUGUGGGGUGCUAUGUGGAAAGGAGUUUGGCUUCUUCUCAGGAGAUGGUAGCUUCUUUGCAGGAGUUGAAGGAGGCUUAAUCUUCUGUGGUGGAUUGAUUGUAUGAGUCUUUGGCACUCUCUUCUCUAGUACAGGUGAAUACCCAGGGGUGCAUCCAUAAUGCGGUGGCUUCUAUCCCUUAGGUGGUUUGCCAAAUUCAAAAUCGAAGGAUUUUUUUUUUUUAAGUAUACGUAUCUUUGAAAGCUUUUAUUUUGUAUGGCAAAUGGAAUGAGAGGAGCAGUCAUAUUCUAUUUGGCCAGAGCAACAUAUCACAAAUGAACAAGCUAUUUACUGCCACACUGGGCAAAACAUACAUAAUCCUUGUACUUCAAACAUCCAUGAAUUCUCAUCAUUUUCAGGACACGUUGCAUGGUCUAUCAUUCUAUAUGUCGGCAUAGUAAGUGCAGCUAAUAAGCCUAUUCAGAGCUGAAAUUCAAAAUCUAUUCACAGGAUAAUGACCUUAUUAUUGGAUUUUGCUCACUGUCAUACACACAUAUCAGAUAAAGCCCCACAUGCUCAUAAGCUACAAGCAACCUACAAGCACUAAAAUGAGUGUUAGACGUAUGAAACAUUCCCCAAUACUAGUAGUAUUACCUGUUCCAUAGAACACUAAAUUAGAAGAGAGAAGAUGUGAGACUCCAGCUUUUCUUUCUACAUAUUACUCAUAUCAAGUUGGAAUAGUUAGGCGGUAGAGGCUUGGGGUGGCUUGUGUAGGGGACUAGGCAGCUUCUCUCAGGAGUUGAUUUCGUCUUAUUCUGGAUGUCCAGGUUUCGUCCUUUCGAAUUUCCCAUGCAAAUCAGCAUUCUCCUUGGGAAACUUCACUCCGUUGGGAAACUUGUGUGAAUCUUUGGCAUUCUCUACCAGAGAAGGCCCAGGGCAGUGACCAUAAGGUGGUGGCCUUUUUUCAGGUGGUGGCUCCUCUCCCACUGGAGGCUUGUGGUAAUCAGCAAGAGAGGCAGUGGAGAGAAUCAUCACCCCAAGGAACAGCACUAGCAAGUAUUUGUGAGCCAUAUUUGGGAUCUGAUGAUGAAGACUAGAAGAUAGGAGUUGCCUCAUAUAAUGGGUUGGAGACUAUAUCUCAAGGGGACGUGUAUUUAUGCAUAUGAUCUAUAUAGGACCAUCCUCCUAAUAUUUUCAAAAUAAUGUUAUUGUCUCUCUUGGGUGACAGUUUGAUUUGGUCUAUUUCCAUGCCACUGAGUAGAAAAGUUUGACAAUUGGCUACACCACCUACCUGGAUUACAUGGUUGAAAGUGAAGAUCAGUACAGUGUGAUCACACUUGACCUCUUGUUCCCCAUUCCAGUAUCUAAUUAACCUGACAAAAGUAAAAGGAAAGGAAAAAGGGAAAAAAUAGAAUAAUGUUCAAAUAAAAACGAGAAAAAAUAGCAUAAUGUUGAUGAAUCAUGAUAAGCAUCAAGGCAUGAUAGUGAGAGAGAGGAAAGAAGACAGUGUAAUUUGCAAUCCUGAUAAUCAUUAUAUAGCAGUAACUUUAAUCAUUUUUCUAUCACAGGGAACAUGACACUCAUCUUCCUAUGGAGAUAUUGCAUAAGUUUUUUUCUUUGUAUGUCAACACUAACCAAUGAAGCAUGUUAGCUGGUUUGAAACUGAAACUGUAGCCCUCUGUUUGGUUCUUGAAAAACUUGAGAGAAAAUGGAAGUAAAGUUAAAAGGAAAGAAAAAGUGAAAAAAAAUAAAAAUAGAUUGAAAGUUAACAAAUUAUUUUUACAUGUUCCCUCAAAUUUCUUUCACUUAUUUUUCCUUUUCUAUAUAAAGAUUAAAUGAUUUAAAAAUCAUAAAUUUCUAACUAAUUAUAACUAUAUUUGAUUUUCUUUCAUAUUUUCCAAGAUAAAGUCAGACAUGAGAAAAUCAUUUUCCUUAAAAAAGAAAUUCUUUCCUUUACAGUUUCUUAGAACCAAACCUGGCACAAAAGUCCAAAUUGGGGUUUCUCCAUGUUCCAUUUUUUAUGGCUACCUUUAUGGACCAUAUAAUAUAGAAUGUACUUCUGCAUACCUUCAAGAUCAAGCUGAACUAUAAGAAAAAGACAAGCCAUGGCCCACGGAGCAGGGAUACCAAGCUGCCUUCUCCUAGAUUAAGUUCCAAGAUUUCAGUCUUCAAACCUGCUAAAAGCUAAAGGCAUGUUUCCAGCCUGCGGCAGAUAACAUGCACUGUCCAACAAUAAAUUGCAAACACAUUCGAUGCAGUUUAUUAGUACAAUAAGAUUAAAUCCACCAAAUCUUUUACAGUUCAACCAACACUUGAACUAGUAGCUAGCUUCACUACUGGGUAAUAAUAUAUAAACCAAACUCUUGAUAGGAACCAACCUAUCGCAGAUCGAACUUCUUACAUCCACCAUGAAUUACUGAACCAAAAGAAGAAUCGAAGAGACUGCCAAGGAGGAAAGCCUUCCUAUAACUAGAUAUUUAUAUUCCAAAUUAGGGAGAGCACCCACUGCCCAGGCCUCGCCCAGCAUAAACAGAUAGUAUACAUAUACAUGCAAAAAGCUCCAACCUUCAAGAUUUUAACUAUUAACUUAACACAAUUAAAAAUGUAUCCAAAAAGCAAAUCCCCUUGAACUCCUGAAGCAAUUACUCCAACCAAAUAAAGAUUUUAAGAGUUCCAUGUUCAUAUCCUGCAAGGAAAUCAUUCAAUGUUCAGACCUCUAAUUUCUGUCUUUCUAAAUGCCCAGCCAAAAGGCAUAAAGUAUCAUCCAAAUUGGAUGCACAGCAUAUGUUCUUAAAUCAUGGGAUUUCACCAUAAGUUACUACACUCUAACAGGGCCCAGAAAUUGACCUCCAGAUAUGCCUAUCAAAAAAUUAUCCCCACAUACAUUUUUCUGCUGAAAAGACAAUAUUGUUACAUUUGACAUUCAACCACUACUUGAACUCAACAACCAGGGAAAAGAAUAUAGUAUUUCUACCAAUGAGGAUGAGAGGGGCUGGUGAAUUAACAGGUAAAAGUUUGUUUUGGGUUCAUUGUUUGCAUAAUAAUGUAAAAAUGGAGUAGUAUAUUAUAAAUUAAUGUAAAAAUGGAUUAGCAUAACAUAAAUUGCCAUAAGAGAACCACAAACUACAAAGAAACUUAUUUUCCAAACAAGGAAAAUUAUUCAUAGCCAUUAUUACAUAAGAAAGGAAAUUGAUAAAAUUAUUAUCCAGUUCCCCAUCAGGAAAUAUGAAAGUACUCCUAAAAGCCUCAAUUCUAACCAGAAAACCAUAGAAAUGUAUUAGAAAUAUUGUACAGGGUUCUCUCCAAUAUUAGCUUCAGUUGCUAAGGAGAUCAGAACCUUGAAAGUAAGUCACAAAGGUCGUGUGGGUUUCCCAGAGUCUUCAACAACCAGUAUUCACAUAUGUACACAUUAAAAUUAAAUAAAGCAGGUAUCAAUUCCACAGGCUUUAAGAUUUGAAUUGCUUCUCCCUGGAAUCAUACACCACUCAUAUUGUCACUGACUUUCAAUUACUUCUCCCUGCGAUCAUAUGCCACUCAUAUUGUCACUGCCUUAGGGAACAAAGUGAAAAUCUGCAAUUUCAAUUAAUUCCAACAUAAAAAUAAAAAUCAAUCCUCAAAAAAUGGAUUGCCAGGAGGUAAAUAUAAUAGAAGACGAACAACUCUCACAACCAAGUUAAAGAAACCAGCCGCUAGGUACCUUUGAGUUCUAUACUACCAGGAACAAAUUGGAUGAGAUUAUUUAAAGGCUAUUCCACAGUGGAAAUUCAUUCGUUCAAAAAACAUUUGUCAUGCAUAUAGGCAAUCUAUCCUAUGCAUUCAUACAUCAUGGUCUCAUGCAAUCUUAAUAAAAGUGGUCCUGGAAAAAGAGAGAAAAAAGUAAUUACAAGCCUGUGCGACCAGAUUUCUUUUGUUUUUUUUUUUUUUUUCCUUUGCCAAACAACCAUGUUCAUAGUUUCAGAAGUUCAUUCUGUCUUUAAGAGACCAUGGCAGUGACUUGGCCAUUCAGCUAAGANNNNNNNNNNNNNNNNNNNNNNNNNNNNNNNNNNNNNNNNNNNNNNNNNNNNNNNNNNNNNNNNNNNNNNNNNNNNNNNNNNNNNNNNNNNNNNNNNNNNUCACCAAGGACUCCUCAACCUCAAAAUAAUAGAGAAAGUCUAGGACACCAUGUCACUACUGAGGACAACCCAACACCACAACAUUUCAGUCCGUUCAAAAAGAGUAAUUGGAAUUGUUGCAAAAAAUGUUCAACUAGUCCCAACAGGAGGCAAAUUCCUCCAUUUCUUCAUCGGGUCCGGAUCCUUUGCUCAAAAAGGUAAUUUUCUUACUGCCCUAAAAGAAAAAGGGAAAAUGUGAGUCAUUGGAUUGUUGACUCAGGAGCUUUUGAUCACAUGACUAGAGUGCCACAAUUUUUCAAAAUUAUACACCUUGUUUUGGGGAUGAUACAAUUCGUAUGGCUGAUGGUUCUCUCUCAAAGGUGACUGGUACAAGUUUUAUUGUCAUCUCUAAGGACCUAACUCUUGACUCUAUUCUUUUGGUUCCAAACUUGGAUUGCAAUCUAUUGUCCAUUAGUAAACUCACUUAUGAAAAGAACUAUGUUACUAAAUUUUUCCCAAACCAUUGUGUUUUUUAGAAUUUGAAUUCGGGGAAGACGAUUGGCAAUGUUGAAGUGUGUUUAGGACUCUAUGCCUUCAAAGUGAAUUAUUAUAUUGAAAGACAAUCUUAACCAACAGUUGGUGAAAAAUGGUGUCUUUUUGUCUUUAGUUCUAAUAAAGAUAGUGAUGUUAUGUUAUAGCACUAUUGUCUAGGACAUCCUAGUUUCUUAUAUCUCAAAAAACUCUUUCCAUGGUUUUCAGUGUGAAAUUUGUCAACUAUCCAAGCAUCUUUGCAAGCCCUAUCCAUAGUUUUAAAAGACUUAAGGCACACCAAGACGCAAAGUCCUCUUGGAGCCUUAGGCGCAAGGCACACCUAAGGCGCGAACUUUAGUAAAGUGAGGUGCAUCCUGUUUUACAUAUAUAUUUUUAUAUAAUACAAUCAAGUGCCCGAAAAUUUUCCUCUAAUUUUCCCCUUCUUCUUCAUCCUCUUCUCUUCUUCACAUUGUUCGGGAGGCUAGGACAUUUUUUUUUUUUUACAUGUCUAAAACAAGCAUAUAUUGGGUUUUGGAAGAAGAACAAGCCAAAAUGACAUCGUUUUGGAGCCUAAUCUUUUAAAUAAAUAAAUAAAUAAAUAAAAACCAGCCAAAAAUGACACCGUUUUGGCCCCUGUUCUUUUAAAAGAACAAACCAAACAACGUCAUUUUGAUCUCAGGAAAUUAAAAAAACAAAACCCUCGUCAUUCUCCCUUUGCUACUCUACAACUCAUCGUCAAAGGGUAAAAAGAUGACCAAAAGAAGAAGAAGAAAAAAAAAAAACGACGACAGAGGAUAGAGGUGCACCUGUUGAGGGCGUUGCGCCUAGCCAAGAGGCGAGCGCCUUGCACACUUAAUCAACGCCUCUGUGAAGGGGCGGCUCCUGCAAUCAGGCGAAGCGCUGAAGGGUGAUGUCACAUCGUCUAGAGCCUAGGCGCACCUUUCACAACUAUGACCCUAUCCAACUCAACCAUACAAACCAUCUCAUCUUUUUUCCAUACAUAGUGAUGUUUGGAGGUCAUCUAAAAUAAAGAACAUAACAGGGACUAGAUGGUUGAUGAUCAUACUAGAAUUUCUUAGAUAUUUCUAAUGAAAAAAAAAUCAAAAAUUAGUCAAAUUUUCUAAAAGUGGACCAGAAUUUCUUUAUUGAAUUAAAAAGUUGAAAUUAAUAUUUUGGAAAAGUUAGGGCCGCUCAAGAGGUAGAAAUAGCGCUCGAGUGGUAGAAAUAGCGCUCGAGUGGUAGAAAUAGCCCUCAAGUGGUAGAAAUAGCGCUCAAGCGCUAGGACCGCUCAAGCACUUAACUAGCGCUUGAGCGCUCAUAUAGAAUCUGCCAGAAUAUGGAAGAAUAUUUUUUGGAUAAUCAUGAAAAUUGGAUUUGGAAACUUUAGAAUAUCAAUCUCCUUCGGCCUAGAGGUUUAUAUAAACCCUAUUAUAACCCUUUAGGGUUAAGAAAUUCACCAAGUGGUUUACCCUAACUUGUCAUACCAUUCCCGAUCUCUCAUCAAGGAAUCAAAGUGUUUAAUCUUGGGUUGUUUGAAGACCUGCAUCCCUUCAACAAGGCUAAGGUGUAUUCACUAGAACAAUUGAAAUUGUUGCAUUGCGGACAUGAAUCAAGUUGCAGGUUCUAGAGAGUAAGUCUUUAGAAUAAAGCAGACAAAGAGUUCUAUGUGACUUUAUCUCAUAUAGUGGAUUUAGCUUUGAGGUCUUAGACCUCGUGGGUUUUUAUCUCCAUAGUUAGUGUGGGGGUUUUCCACAUAAAAAUUAUUGUGUCUCUUGAUCUUAUGUUUGAUUUUAGAUAUUCUAUUUAUCCCUGAUAUCUCACAGGUUAACUUUAGGUUAAAAAUUCAACUCCCUAUUUAAUAAUUUUUAAAAUACACCCAUUCACGAGUGUUAUCCUACUGGACAUUGGUUUUUCACCAUAUAUAACACUCAUACCAAAACCCAUGCAACAUGGACUCCAACCUUAAGCUUAACUUUCUACGAAUGGAAAAAAAAAAAGACAUAACAUAAAUAGACAGAUUUAACAACAUGCUCCUAAUCAAGGUGAAUGUCCCUCUUUUUGAAAGAUAUGACCUUUUCCAUACGAGGAGCUUUCUUUAAAAUUUCACCUCUACCAAUUCCCAUGCCUUUACAAAGUUGUGGAAAGCUCCAAAGAGAAGGCCCAGACAUGUAAUGGGUAGAUUCCCUACCUUAGAACCUUACACCAAAGCUAAACCCCUAAUAUUUGUGACUUCUAUAAGAAUCAAUUCAUUUUUUUCCAUAUUUAUUUCUAAAUCAGACAUUGCCUCAAACCACAUGAAGUUAUAACUUGGAUGUUACAGAUGCUCUUAAUUAGUGUCACAAAAAAAUAGGGUAUCAUCAUCAAACAAGAAAUGUGACACUUCCAUCCCCUCCUCCUGUCUUCCUCCCACUUUGAAACUUGAGAUGUAACCCCUUUUAUCUAAUUCUCCUCAAAAUUCAAUUGAAAGCCUUCAUUGCCAAUAUGAAAAUGUAAGGGGAGAGAGGAUCUUUCUACCUCAAAUCCCUUGAGCUCUCAAAGAAACUGAAUAGGACACUAUUUACUAGAAUAGAGAAUUGAGUAGUGGAAAUGAACCAUUUGAUCCACCUCACCCACUUAUGAUCAAAGUCCAUUUUAUCCAACAUCAUUAACAAAAAGUUCCAAUUUACAUGGCCAUCGUCCUUUCCAAUGUCUAACUUGCAAAUUACCCCACUAUUGGGACUCUUUAACCUUGAAUCUAGAGCAUCAUUUAUGAUUAGAACUGCAUCUAGAAAUUGUCUGUCUUCCACAAAAGCAUGCAAAUAAACUAAAACUAUUUUACCCACCACAUUUUUUAGUCUUUUAGCCAAGACUUUUUCCAAUAGCUUGUACAAAAAAACCCCCAACUAAGCUAAUCAAUGUAAAAAAUUUUAGGUUCUCUGCUGCACCUAUAUUAGGGAUCAAGACCAAGAACAUGACAUUUAAAUUUUGCUCAAAGGAACAAUUAUCAAAAAACUCCCCAAGCUCAUUUGCCAAAAUAUUAUAAUAAAUCCAUUUGGCCCCUACAGCUUUAUCCCCACUCAAGCUAGACAAGGCAACAAGAAAUUCCUCAUCAAAGAAAGGUAACUCCAAUUUCCUAGAAUCAGCACAUAGCAUAACUUCAAAGGUCAUCCCAUUAAUGUUGAGUCUCCACUCGCCCAUAUCAGAUAGGAGAUUUUGGAAGGCCCUAAACUCCCCUUCCUUUAUAUUUGCUUCCCAAGCAACCAUUUUGCAUUCACUCAAAUUUUAAACAUGAAGUUUUUUAUUCUUUGGGCAUUGACCAUUUCAUGGAAAAUUUUGGUGUUUUUAUCCACCCCCUCUUUUAACCAAAUUUCUCUUUAUUUUUGCCCCCAUACAUAUAGAUUCUUCUAACAAGGCCCACUUGCUAAACUCAAUCACCACUAACCUUUGGCCUCAACGAUUUCAAGAGAUAAGGUAACUGCUCUCUACUUUGAGUCCCAGAAGUUGAUCCAGUUUAGCACCUCUAGGUUUUUUGUUGAGACAUUCCCAAAACCUUCUUCAUUCCAAGAUUUUAAAUCUCGUUUGACAGCCUUUAGUUUAACUUCCAAAAUAUGACCAUACAAGCCAUCCACAUUAUAACCAUCAACCAACUCCUCACAAAAUCUUUUAAGCCUUUUGUUUUAGGCUACAUAUUUUAAAAUGUAAACUGUGUUUUCCCACUCCUUAUCCUACCUCCAUCUAAAACUAUGGGGUAAUGACCAAAAAUUGGUUUAGGUAAAAUACUCUAGAUUAAAGUAGAAAAACGAUUCUACCAAUCAUCUGACACUAGGAAAUGGCCAAGCUAGCCUUGAAGAAGACAAAAGAUUAUGAACACCACUCCAAGUGAAUAGCCCUCCAACUAGCGAAAGAUCCCAAGGUCAAGUCCUCUAUGUCCUCUGAAAAGAACCUCAUAUCAAACAACAUUCUAAGGCAAUUCCUCCUUUUCAUGGGGAACUUGACCAUAUUAAAAUCCCCUCUGAAGCACUAGAGGUCAUCCCAAAGGCCUCUUAUGGCACCCAACUCUACCCAGAAAUCCACUCUUUCUCCCCUUUAAACCAACCCAUAAACUCUUACGUAUACCUAGACAAAGCUAUCUUCACAAUUCAUAGACAAGCAAUAGAGAAUGCUUCCACCUCCUUACCAAUUAACUCUAAUACCCUACUAUCUUGGAAAACCAAAAUGCCUACUAUCAAGCUUCUAACUUCCAAUACCAUUUCAAAAAUUUUCCUACUCCUAAACUCCUUACCAGUUGAACGAACAUCUAUCGAACCUUGGUUUCUUGUUAACAAACUAGAUCAACCCCUUGAGACCUUAUCAAUGACUUUAUUAUCAUAUACUUUUCCUCAUCAUUUGCUCAUUUGACAUUCCAAGACAGGAUUUUUAGCUUCAUCAUGCAACCUAUGUUGGAUCCUAACUGCUACUCUUGGAGCCCUUUUCCUUUUUGUUGAGCUUUUAUAAUUGACUAAGCAUCCCAACUUGUUGAGGUCCCUCUCAAACCAAGAUAUCGAGGUUAACUUCCUCUUCACCUCCAACGAAAAAACAGAAACCCCUCUCCUUAGCCUGCCACACAAGGGAAAAGAUCUCUUUUUCAAAUCCAUCAACUGGCAUUCUUGAGAAACUAUUGAAAUUUGCCAACUUACAAGAUAUACAAUUGGAGGAGUGCUUCUCUACCAAACAACUACUAAAAUUCACCUCAAAGGUGACCUUUUCCCCUGAUCUCUCCCCGGCCUCCAUACCCACUGACCCUUUCACAAAAUUUUCUAGAAUUUCCACUAUCAAGCCGUUACGGAGAACCAUCCUCAACAAACUCCUUUGACUAAUGUGAAAAACCCCACCCAAGAGCAUCUUCCAGAAGUUAACUUACAAGAUUAACUAUAAUCUUGUGAAGACUCGUUACCUAAUGGGUAAAAAAUUUGAAAUUCUAUUAGUAUAAUUCUUUUUAGGCACAAAAGCUGUGAAAAUAGCAUUGGUGCUCUAAUUAAUAACCCCAUAAUUAUUAAGCAAUAAAACAACUUUUAAUAAAUUCUCUUUCACCACAUCCCACCAAUCCUAAUGCAAAAAAGCUAGGAAAAAGUCAUCAUUGCUCUAAGCAUUUCUCCUCACUAGUUGAAAGACUGCUUUAUGAACUUCCUCUUCGACAAAAGGACAAUCCAACCAAUUAGCACCAUUUUCCAAAAUGAGAGACCAACCCCCACUCUUCUAUCCUCUAAGGAUCUUCAUAUAACCAUUAAUGCCUUUCUAUACCAGCUAGUAUAUAUCGGGUUUUGGGCAAGUCCUAUAAAUUGGUUUGAGUAAGAUUUUUAAUUACCCUGUUCUUUCUUUUUAGUUGAUAAAUAUGCAUAUAUGUAGUAAUUCAUACAUCAGAAAAGAUUUUGCUAAAACAAAAGAAUUGACAUGCAGAUAGUGACUUCUUGAUAAGAGUAAUAGCUUAAGGGAGGAAAAUGAACUCCUCCAGUGGCCCCAAAGUGGUAAGUUCCUUCAGAUCCCAUGUUGCUAUUCUGCAUUUCUUUGUGUUUUGGCAUCAGCCCUCUUAAUUAAUUCACUAUCCAGCUUCUCAAAUUCCUCGGAUUCUUCCCUUGUUCUUGUGGAAACAUCUGCAUCUUGUCCUUGCAUUGUUAUGGAUUGGUGAUUAUCAUUCUUUGAGAACUGUGUGGCAGCUGCUCGUGCACCAGCUAUGGCUGCAAGGAGACCUUCUGGUUUCUUGUCUUCAGCAGCUUUGGAGCCAUCAAAGCAAGAAACAAGUAAUCCUGGUUUCAAAGAGAGGGGAUCUUGUGGUUCUGGAAGCAGAAACUUGACAGGUAGUGGAGCUUGAACAGGACGAAGACCCCUAACUGCUGCCUCAUAUAUCUGCAACAAUUUCAGGGGGGAUAAGUAAUUAAAAAUCAGUCACUCUAUUGCAUUAGUUAGACUUGCUUUCAAUGCGAUAGCAAAGAAAGAAUCAUCAAUGAAAAAAGAAAAAAUAAAUGAAAAAGAACAAAAAGGAGAGGGAAAAAAAAAUGAUGGGUGCUCAAUUUGUACUUUUCUUUCCAGGUUAUAAAUACGUUGGUACCCGCGCAUCUCAAAUGGUAUGAUUAAUUUCUGCAUCAGGUCAGGAGAACUAAGUCCAUCAAUAUACUAAAAAGCAAAUAUACCAAAAGGCAAGCAAAAAUGUUUAACCAUCUUGAGUGUCAAACUCUCCAAGAAACUAUAUACUUUUAGCUGAAUGAAAACACAUGCCUGUGGUUGCUCACAGAGCCAGCAAAACUCUGUUUGCGCUUCUAGCCUUACCUACAAAUAGAGUUUAGGUUAUCCAACCAAAAUGGAGAUACAUCACACAAAACAAACUGUACCUAAUCAGUUUACGAAGGGGACGGGGGGAAGCAAAAAGCAAAAGUAAAUUUCUAAGAUGCCCACCCCUUCAGGUACCUCCUUCCAGCACGCCAGCUCUUCACAUUUAACACAACCAACUACUUCAAUACAACCUGUGGCAAGAAUAGAGUUUGUUGGAUUUAUUGUAGCAUGCCAUACAGAAAAAUUUAGCAUUUCAGUAAGAAUAAGAAUAAGAGAGCUACUUUCCACUAAAAUACGAAUCACCCAUCAACUGUUGCAAACAGACAACAAUGUGAAUAACAGGUUUUAUAUAUAUAUAUAUAGAGAGAGAGAGAGAGAGAGAGAGAGAGAGAGAUAGAUAGAUAUAGAGAGAGAGAGAGAGUCAAAUAAUAAUAAAGGACAAAAAUAUUUCUUUGAGAAAGACUAAUUAGAAAGAAGAAACAAAGAACCCACAUGAAAUCAAUUUAGAUAAGAGAAAUACCUUUAAGAAUCUAGUUCUUUUUGCAAAUUGCAACUUAGAAUUGGAAUGCCACAUAUUAUUAUAAGGUAUCACAAGAGAUUAUUGCUUCAUUUUUUUUCUUUGCCAGAUCAGUUUUAAUAAAUAUAAAUAUAAAAAUAUAAGCAUGUACACACACACACGCAAACACAUUAUGUGUGUAUGUUUAUGGAUAUGUAGAUAUAGGUUUUUAAUAAUAGAGCAUGAAAACAUAUCUAGUCAGAAAUUCCAAAAAUCCAAAACCAUUAGCAACACCUAACAGUCUUGAAACUGGGUAAUGUUCUGGAAACUUGAGGUCUGCUAUCCCAUUCACAGCAUAGAUCUCCCUGUAGAAAUUCUCCAUUGCUUUGAUUGUGUCUGAAUCUGGGACCUUACUAGCAGCAUGAAUCCAGAGUCGGCCUUCAUAAAACAAAACAUGUAUAUUAAGAAAUAUCCUUGUAGAACAGUAACAUUUUUGCCAGCAUGCAAUUCGUGUUAAUAAUCCUUGGUUCUCACCACUCAUUGUACAUUACAAUGUAAAGACCUAAUAAGCCCUAAUAUAGGUAGGUGUCUGUGCAGAGAGAGAGAGAGAGAGAGGGGAGGGGGGUGAAAGGAAAGAUGAUUAUAGAACAAAUACAAGUUGAAUCUCCUGAAAUAAUGUCCAUCAAGUUAUUUCCUAGCAACAAGUACUGAUUAUGCUUUUCCUGAUAACAUGAUUUUCUUUGCUAACAACCAUACUAUAUUUUAUCAAGAAAGAGUAGUGCAUGUGGCGUGCAUCAAGACCCAUUAGAGUUCCGCUAAACCUAUAGUUCUGUCAACGUUAUCAUUUACGUUUCCUCUAGAUAAUGGCAUUUUCCUCUAAAACUCUUGCACCAUUAGGCUUCAAGUCAAAAUUUCACAUGUGAACUUUGGAAAUUUUCUCCAUUUGCCCCUAAGGAUACAGUUAGAAUUGACUUAAAAUCCUGAUUGAUGUAUACUUUUAACCGAAGAAUAUUGUAUAUAAUAAUUGAAAUAUUGUUGAUUCAUCGUGGAAAUACAUUUUGUAAGGAAAGUUGUUAAGAAUUUAGUAUGCUAUAUGGAGAAAAAAGUCAUGACUUAAGGUUGAGUAUGUAUAUUCUAUAUCAAAUAUUAGGUAGGAAUGUGGAAAAGAGCAGAGUGUAAUUAUAAGAAACAAAGAAAUAUAAGAUAUUCUUGAAAGUGGAAAAUGUAAAAUGGCUAAAAGUCAAAUUUAUGAUGCAUAAGGGGGAUCAUGUCACAUAAGAAACUCAUGGCAUACCAAAUACGUGUGGUAUGGAGUAACAAUUUUGUUAAAAUAAGUUUCUCGUUGGAGUACAUUAGGUGACAAUUUUUUAAUAUCAAAUUAAAGAGUCAAGUGCAUCAAUGAAGUCAUAUGUAGAAAAUUUGUUUGUGACAUGUACCAUAAAGAUAAGAUUGACUUGAUAUAAUUUAGUCCAGGUAGGAGUUGUUAAAGGUGUCUCAAAUUUCUAAUUGAUAUAUAUUUUUUUCUAAAAAAAUAUUAUAUAGAUAUUUCAAUAAAUGAUUAAUUCUUUGUAAAAAUACUUACAUAAUAAAAAACAUCAUUAGAAAUAUCUCUAUAAAUAUUUUAAAUCACAAAAAGAAAAAAAAAAUCACUAUGAGAUAAUUAUAAACAUGCAACAUUGUACCAAGUAAACAGAAAUGUGAUAAAAAAAUUUUGAGAAACACUAAAUAAAGGAAGGGCUUGUAUAUCAAGAUGUAAAUAUAGAGAGCAAUAUUUUUAAUCAUAUGAUAGAAUUAUUUUCUCUCAUUCAUGAUUAUAAGCAAAAUUGGGAACCAUUAUAAAAUCUUGUACACCUCGUGUAAAUUGAUGUUUGUCUUCAUAUUUUACACCAACAAAUGACAUUGAAGUUGUCAUUGAUAAAAGGGAAAAGGCAUGGCCUCCACACCAUGUGCUUGAAUCGUAUGGUUCAAGUUUAAAGAAUUUUCUCCAUAAUUUGAAGAUCUAAAACAUUUUCACCUUUAAAUUUCAUUUAAUUAUUAAUAUCUACAAAAAAUAGUUAAAUACUCUUUCUAUUUUUGAGUUGUUGAAUUUUUUGAAAGUUUUUAUAUUUGUUAUCAAGAAUUUAUAUUUUAUUAAGUGUGAAUAUUUAUAAAUAAGAUAUUAUAUAAUAUUUGGAUAAGAGAGAAUGGUGGAAUAUAAUAAAGUUUUAAUCCUUCCCAAUUUUUAUCUUUUUUUUUUUUUUUUUUUAUAAUCGCCUUUCUCUUUCAAUCCUAUUAUCAGGUACCUUAUAUUUGCUGAUGCUAUCUGGAACUAAAUUCCAAUCAGACAUUGUCCAAUUACUAAUAGGACAGAUCAUGUCUCUCUGUUUCUAAACUAACAUGUAUCGUAAUGUGGCCUCAUAAGGAAGGCUAGGAAGAUGGAGGAUUUUGUGGGAAGCGACCAGAAUCAGAUGGAAGAGAGAUAGCCCUGUUGACCUAAUGGCUGUAAUAGGAGAAGCGUGUGGAUUUAUGGGACUUAACUGAUACUAAACCUAUAUGAUGCUUGGAGUGGUGUUUCUUUCAUUUUGUUAAGAAAAUAUGGCAGCAUACAUCCUUUCAAUUGAGUGCAUCAGAGCAUCCAUAAUAGAUGGUCUGCAACCCUAGGUGCAUGCCACUUUCUGACUGAUAAUGAAACUGUCAGGUACUUGGCCUUGACUAAGCUCAACAGCAUCACAUAAAAAGAAGCUUUCAUACUUAGAUUACUGUUUAAAGCUUUUGCUUAUUUGCUUUCUUAAUGCCAUUAUGACAUUAUUGUUUCAAUUCUGCUACCGAUUUUCGAAGUUCUGGGCAUCUACUGAUUGCAUCAUUAUAUGAGAAGUUGCAUGAGUUUAUGUAUCCUGUUAUUGCUCCUUUGCGAUUUCACUGCUCACGGGACUAACCUCUCCAUUCAGUCGAAAUGAAUUGUAAUUUCUUUACUGGUAGCAGUAGUACUUUUCAUAGCAAAGAUAAUAGUAAAUAUGAAAUAUAAAUAGAAGGAAAUCUGAAUUGUAGAUGGCACUAUAAGUAACACUCAAUAUUCACUACAUAAUAAAAUAGACAGUGUUACAAAGGUAGAGAAACCUACAAUGAGUACUCAUCACCAUUCUCAAACAGAAACAUAGCAGCGACUUAUACAUAGAACCUAUAGGCUUGCAGGGAAAGAAGGGAAAGAGUAACAUGAUAAGUUCACAGCGGGUAGCAGCUCUUAUUUUACGUAUUACUCAAAAUCUCAAACUAACCAAAGUCACUCAGUUGGGAUGGGUAGGAGAUGGUGGUUUGUGGGGUGGCUUCUGGGUAGGAGCUGGUGGCUUCUUUGUUGGAGUUGAAGGAGGCGUAAUCUUCUGAGGUGGCUUGUAUGAGUCUUCGGCACUCUCUGCAGGAGGGUGCCCAGGGUUGUGACCGGAAGGAGGUGGCUUCUGUCCCUUUGGUGGUUUGCCUAAUGGGCUUGGUGGCUUGUGCUCCGGGAGUUGUUUCUCUCCCUCGAGUAGGUUUCGAGUUUUGUCAGAUGGCUUGUGUUCUGGUGGUGGCUUCUCUCCCUGGGGUGGUUUGCCGAAUGGGCUUGGUGGCUUGUGUUCGGGGAGUGGCUUCUCUCCCUGGAGAAGGUUACGAGUUUUGUCAGAUGGCUUUUGUUCUGGUGGUGGCUUCUCUCCCUGGGGUGGUUUGCCAAAUGGGCUUGGUGGCUUGUGUUCGGGAACUGGCUUCUCUCCCUUGGGAGGUUCAUUUGGUGGCUGGUGUUCCGUAGGUGGUUCCUUCACCGGCGGCUUGUGCUCCGGAAGCGGCUUCUCUACCUGGAGAAGCUUACGAGUUUUGUCAGAUGGCUUGUGUUGUGGUGGGGGCUUCUCUCCCUGGGGUGGUUUGCCAAACGGACUUGGUGGCUUGUGUUCGGGGAGUGGCUUCUCUCCAUUGGGAGGUUUAAUUGGUGGUUGGUGUUCCGUAGGUGGUUUCUGAAGUGGGGGAUGCUUGGGGUAGUCAGCAAGAGACGAGGUAGUGAGAACCACCAGUCCCAGCAGCAACACUAGCAAGGAUGUGGAAGACAUCUUUGAGUUCAGGCUGAGAUCUGUGCAAGGAUAAAAGAUUUAGGUGGCCUUUUAUAGAGGGAUGGACCCAACACCCAUAUGACACGUGUCAUGCACUCAUGGUGACACAUAAAUUCUAUGGAACCAUUUGGGUCCUACAGAAGUUGCAAAGUUGGACUAUUGAGGUGUGAUCACAACUUUUGUCCUUCUUGCUUUCUCUGCGGCCAUUGCCCAAUUUCCUUUAGCAUCAUUUUCUUGGCUAAAUAAGCGUAUUAUAUUUGUGGCAGACCGUCCACGUGUCAUAGACAGAUAUAUUAUAAUAAUGUAGUAUGCUUUUCUUCAACGGAACAUGACACUCUUCUAAGUCUUGUUUUAAAUACUGUGCAGUAUUACGUUAUACGUUGCUUGUUCCAAGUCAAAAUUGGUGGGCAAACGUUGGCCUUUUUUCAUUUUCCCUAAGAUUAAUGCUCACCUGGGAUAGGCACUACAUGAUAUAUCUGCUCUUUUACUGUGAAGUUGCUUUGUGCAUGAGUUACACCUCCCCUGCACACCCUCAACAUUUGUUGCUCUGUUUUCCUUGUGUCCAGACGAGGAUAUUAAUUGGAGGCUGACAAAACGACUGCUAGCCAAGGAUUUACAAGGUCCUGGUUUGACGCUUCCGCGAAAGUAUUUUUGAAAAGAUACACAUAGAGAUUGCGCGUUCGGUGCAAUGCAACAAUGUGAGCCAUUCUGAAGUUUUUAAUUUCAGAUUAAUGAAUGCUACAAAAUUCUAAGAAGGGCCGUUUCCAAAUAUUUGAGUUCAUUUAUCCGAACAUCGGAUAAGUAAUGAUCAUAGAUUAUUAUCUGACGUUCUUAUAAUGGUUGGCAUUAUAAGAGGGUAUAUGCUUCUUUCUCUAGCCCCUCCUUCAAGGGAGGGACAAUGUGAUCUGUAUCGUUAGAAGCUAUUCCAUGUCAUCAUCUUUGGGCUUAAGUCAAUACUAAAAUAUAUGGGCGGGGCCCCUGUCAUUUUAUAUUUCUUCUAGAAGGUUUGUUCUGGAAAUCUUUCACCGAAACAUAUCUUUUUCUUCUCUACGUGAUCCGGUUUGAAAGUUGGAAAAAUGGGUCCGUUAACAAGACACCGAGUUGAAAAGUUGGAAAAAUGGCAACACCGCCAACCUCUUGUAUUCGAUGGUUAAAUAAAAGGUCACUGGAAGUGAGAUCCCUUUUGGCCUCUUGAUUUUCAUUCCAGCAUCUCUAUGGCCUGAUAAACUAAAAAACUAAAAAAAAGACAGUACGUGGGUUGGUGUUAAGCAUCAAGAGUCAAGACAUGAUAAUGGAGAGAAAGGAUAUUCAAAUUCCAGUUCUGACAGCAUGAUUUUCUUUGCUGAACAACCAUAUUAUAUUUGAUCAAGAAAGAGUAGUGCAUGUGGCCAGGAUCAAGACAUACAUUAAUUUCCACAUGAUCAAGACAGUUUCUUCUAAAGCUCUUGCGCCAGUAGGCUUCAAGUCAAAAUUUCCCAUGUAAACACUGGUUUUUCUUUAAUUGCCACUAAGGAUGCAGUUAAAAUUGACUUAAAAUCCUACGUGAUAUAUUUUUUUAACAAAAGUAUAUUGUAUAUAAUAUUUGAAAUAAUGUUGAUUCGUUGUGGAAAUAUGUUUGUAAGGAAAGUUGUUGACAAUUUAAUAUAGUAUAAGAAGAAAAAAGCUAUCAGCUAGAGAUGAGUAUGUAAAGUGAGGCUCCCGAUUCAACGCGUAAAUAUAAGAUAUUUUAAGGCUCAAUAGUUAUGAUAUCUAUUUUAUUUUUUGUAUCUCAUAUAUUCAAAGAUAUAGUAAAAUGAUUUUAUAUAUAUAAACAUAGCUGAUUGUAUCAUGUUAAAACCUGGUAUGACUUUUUGUGCCAAUUGAUUUUUAUCUUUAUUUUGUAUAUUAGUAAUUAGUAUUAAAGUUUUUACUAAUAUAAUAACUAAUAUAAAAACUUUUUCUAAAAGAGUCAACAGAGCAAAACAUUUAUUGUAAAAAAAAAAUUAAAAUAUUAUUUUUUCUAUUUAGAAAAAGUUAUAUAUUUUAUUUUUUCUAUUUAGUAAAAAGUUUAUAAUAAGUCAUAAAAAAAAGUAGAAAAACAAACCACCUAAAUUCUGAAAACAAAUUAUUUUCAAUAAAAAGUCAAAAAAAUAAACACUAUCUUAACUAAACAAGCAUAUAUUAUAUUUGGUUAAAGAGUAGAGUGUAUAUGGCACACAUCAAGGAAGAGAAACAAAAUAAGUGGAAGACAAUCAAGGGAACAUGUAUGGUCUGCCUUUUUCUGAUGUUAUGUUUGUCUCUAAUUCUGUUCCAUGUCAUGGUAAAUGUUCACAUUGCUUGUAUGGAACAAAGGCUUCAUAUUGGGUUCAAUGCUUUUAAUGUGUUCAUUGGACAAAUCUGAAUUAUCAUACGCAUUUAGAUAAGAACAAUAAUGUGAAACCCUAGUUACACCUCCCCUGCAUAACCCCAACCCUGCUUGCUCUAUUUCAGUUUAUUCACACAAGUUUUACUGGUUCUUAUAAGUCAAGAAAAAGCCACUGAUGUUGGAUCGACUCUCUUCCAUGUAAAAAAAAGCAACUUUUAUAAAUAUAAAAGAACUUCUUCCCCUCACGAAUGUGGGAUAUCAUAGAUUUAUUCUGGAAACACAUCAAAGGAACAUCUUUUCUCUUGGGUGACCCUAAGUGGUGGGUCAGACCAUUUGCAUGCCAUUGAGUUGCACAGUUGGAUAAAUGCACCUACCUCCUGGGCUCCAGAGUAAAAGGGUGGAUCCCUGGAUUGCAACCCUCCUGGCAUCUUGGUUUCUAUUCCAACAUCCACAUGACUUGACAAAACAAAAAACAGAAUAAAAUCAGCACUAUAUUCAUGCUAAGCACCAAUACAUGAUGGAAAUCAUUGCUUAAAGAUUUGGGGUCGUUUAGGUUUUGACUGCCUCCUACCACCUCACCUAAUGACAAGUUUUUAUGCUUACAAAUCAAAUAUCAUUCUUCAUUAUAUUAAAAUCAUUUUAAGAUUUCAGAUCCAUCUGCUAAUUAUGAUUAUGAUAACAUUAAUUCACCUGUGCUUCUCAUUUUCGACACACAAGGCAUCUAGGUUUGCAGGAUUUCCUUAUUAGAUGAGAUAAAUGAGUACGCAUGGUUAUGUAUGCAGCAUUCAUUAACCAUGGUAUGUGACAUUUAGAAUUAAGAUAGCAAGCAAACUUUCCCUGCAGCUUGAGUAAAUUGUGAUUUCUUAGCCUCUAUGAGUGGUUCCCAAAUCAAAUUAACAUAGUGAAAUAUACGUAGUCCAGUGAAAGGAAAUGUAAAUUAUAAACUAACAGCACUACACUACUGGUAACACUCGAUACUCUCUAUAUAAUGCAAUAAACAAUGUCAAUGCUCAUUGCCUACAAGCAAGGCACAAACACUAGAACAAGUAAAGCACAAACCUUUCCCAACAGUUCCCAGUGACUGAUGCAUAGCAUACCCUCAACUCACAGAAGGGGAUGAUAUCAGUGCACUGCAGCACUUAUUUUACACAUACUACCACUACUACUACUACUACUACUACUACUACUCAUUAGCCAAAGUCACUCAGUUGGGAUGAGUGGAAGGUGGAGGCUUGUGGGGUGCUAUGUGGAAAGGAGUUUGGCUUCUUCUCAGGAGAUGGUAGCUUCGUUGCGCGAGUUGAAGGAGGCUUAAUCUUCUGUGGUGGAUUGUAUGAGUCUUUGGCACUCUCUUCUCUCGUUCAGGUGAGUACCCAGGGGUGUAUCCAUAAUGCGGUGGCUUCUAUCCCUUAGGUGGUUUGCCAAAUUCAAAAUCGAAGGAUUUUUUUUUUUUUAAGUAAACAUCUCUUUGAAAGCUUUUAUUUUGUAUGGCAAAUGGAAUGAGACGAGCUGUCAUAUUCUAUUUGGCCAGAGCGACAUAUCACAAAUGAACAAGCUAUUUACUGCCACACUGGGCAAAACAUACAUAAUCCUUGUACUUCAAACAUCCAUGAAUUCUCAUCAUUUUCAGGACAUGUUGCAUGGUUUAUCAUUCUAUAUGUCGGCAUAGUAAGUGCAGCUAAUAAGCCUAUUCAGAGCCGAAAUUCAAAAUCUAUUCACAGGAUAAUGACCUUAUUAUUGGAUUUUGCUCACUGUCAUACACACAUAUCAGAUAAAGCCCCACAUGCUCAUAAGCUACAAGCAACCUACAAGCACUAAAUGAGUGUUAGACGUAUGAAACAUUCCCCAAUACUAGUAGUAUUCCCUGUUCCAUAGGACACUAAAUUAGAAGAGAGAAGAUGUGAGACUCCAGCUUUUCUUUCUACAUAUUACUCAUAUCAAGUCGGAAUAGUUAGGUGGUAGAGGCUUGGGGUGCCUUGUGUAGUCUAGGCAGCUUCUCUCAGAAGUUGAUUUCGUCUUAAUCUGGAUGUCCAGGUUUCAUCCUUUCGAAUUUCCCAUGCAACUCAGCAUUCUCCUUGGGAAACUUCACUCCAUUGGGAAACUUCACUCCAUUGGGAAACUUGUGUGAAUCUUUGGCAUUCUCUACCAGAGAAGGCCCAGGGUAGUGACCAUAAGGUGGUGGCCUUUUUUCAGGUGGUGGCUCCUCUCCCACUGGAGGCUUGUGGUAAUCAGCAAGAGAGGCAGUGGAGAGAAUCAUCACCCCAAGGAACAGCACUAGCAAGUAUGUGUGAGCCAUAUUUGGGAUCUGAUGAUGAAGACUAGAAGAUAGGAGUGGCCUCUUAUAAUGGGUUGGAGACUAUAUCUCAAGGGGACGUGUAUUUAUGCAUAUGAUCUAUAUAGGACCUUCCUCCUAAUAUUUUCAAAAUAAUGUUAUUGUCUCUCUUGGGUGACGGUUUGAUUUGGUCUAUUUCCAUGCCACUGAGUCGAAAAGUUUGACAAUUGGCUACACCACCCACCAGGAUUCCAUGGUUGAAAGUGAAGAUCAGUACAGUGUGAUCACACUUGGCCUCUUGUUCUCCAUUCCAGUAUCUACUUAACCUGACAAAAGAAAAAGAAAAAGAAAAAGGGGAAAAAUAGCAUAAUGUUCAAAUAAAAACGAGAAAAAAUAGCAUAAUGUUCAUGAAUCAUGAUAAGCAUCAAGGCAUGAUAGUGAGAGAGAGGAAAGAAGACAGUGUAAUUUGCAAUCCUGAUAAUCAUUAUAUAGCAGUGACUUUAAUCAUUUUUUUAUCACAGGGAACAUGACACUCAUCUUCCUAUGGAGAUAUUGCAUAGGUUUUUUUCUUUGUAUGUCAACACUAACCAAUGAAGCAUGUUAGCUGGUUUGAAACUGAAAUUGUAGCCCUAUGUUUGGUUCUUGAAAAACUUGAGAGACAAUGGAAGUUAAAAGGAAAGAAAAAGUGAAAAAAAAAUAAAAAUAGAUUGAAAGUUAACAAAUUAUUUUUACAUGUUUCUUCAAACUUCUUUCACUUAUUUUUCCUUUUCUAUGUAAAGCUUAAAUGAUUUAAAAAUCAUAAAUUUCUAACUAAUUAUAAUUAUAUUUGAUUUUCUUUCAUAUUUUCCAAGGUAAAGCCAAACAUGAGAAAAUCAUUUUCCUUAAAAGCUGAAUUAUUUCCUUUACAGUUUCUUAGAACCAAACAUGGAAUAAAAGUCCAAAUUGGGGUUUCUCCAUGUUCCAUUUUUUAUGGCUACCUUUAUAGACCAUAUAAUAUAGAAUGUACUUGUGCAUACCUUCAAGAUCAAGCUGAACUAUAAGAAAAAGACAAGCCAUGCAUGGCCCACGGAGCAGGGGUACCAAGCUGCCUUCUCCUAGGUUAAGUUCCAAGAUUUCAGUCUUCAAACCUGCUAAAAGCUAAAGGCAUGUUUCCAGCCUGCGAGAGAUAACAUGCACUGUCCAACAAUAAAUUGCAAACACAUUCGAUGCAGUUUAUUAGUACAAUAAGAUUAAAUCCACCAAAUCUUUUACAGUUCAACCAACACUUGAACUAGUAGCUUCACUACUGGGUAAUAAUAUAUAAACCAAACUCUUGAUAGGAACCAACCUAUCGCAGAUCGAACUUCUUACAUCCACCAUGAAUUACUGAACCAAAAGAAGAAGAGGCUGCCAAGGAGGAAAGCCUUCCUAUAACUAGAUAUUUAUAUUCCAAAUUAGGGAGAGCACCCACUGCCCAGGCCUCACCCAGCAUAAACAGAUAGUAUACAUAUACAUGCAAAAAGCUCCAACCUUCAAGAUUUUAACUAUUAACUUAACACAAUUAAAAAUGUAUCCAAAAAGCAAAUCCCCUUGAACUCCUGAAGCAAUUACUCCAACCAAAUAAAGAUUUUAAGAGUUCCAUGUUCAUAUCCUGCAAGGAAAUCAUUCAAUGUUCAGACCUCUAAUUUCUGUCUUUCUAAAUGCCCAGCCAAAAGGCAUGAAGUAUCAUCCAAAUUGGAUGCACAGCAUAUGUUCUUAAAUCAUGGGAUUUCACCAUGAGUUACUACACUCUAACAGGGCCCAGAAAUUGACCUCCAGAUAUGCCUAUCAAAAAAUCAUCCCCACAUACAUUUUUCUGCUCAAAAGACAAUAUUGUUACAUGUGACGUUCAACCACCACUUGAACUCAACAACCAGGGAAAAGAAUAUAGUAUUUCUACCAAUCAGGAUGAGAGGGGCUGGUGAAUUAACAGGUAAAAGUUUGUUUUGGGUUAUUGUUUGCAUAAUAAAUGCAACCUAUGACACAAUGCUUCAAAACCAAGCUAAGUCAGUCACAUGGAUGGGCAGGAUGCCAUUUAGGAUUUGUCCAAAAGCAUGAAGACCACUUGAGUCAGCCUGGUUGCCCUCAAUUCAGAAAUCAGCAAGUAAUACAGUGUAAUUCAGCUUCAUCACUGUAAAAUAACUAUUUAUAUUCUAGCUAAAGUUACCAAAUUGUAAUUCGUCUUGCGUAUUUUUCCUCAUUCUCAACCUAUUUGAUGUACCUAUUACAUUUCAUAUAUACAUUUGUUCUUUUAAGAUUUUCAAUCACUCCAAUUAACCAAAAUUUUCAGAAUUUAAUACACCAGGCAAUAAUAGAGUAAUUCCAUUGUUGACCAAAGGCACAAAGGCAUCAGCGCUAUUCAAACUUCAUGCUCUUUCUUAUGCUAUUGAGUAGUAUAUUAUAAAUUAAUGUAAAAAUGGAUUAGCAUAACAUAUAUUGCCAUAAGAGAACCACAUACUACAAAGAAACUUAUUUUCCAAACAAGGAAAAUUAUUCAUAGCCAUUAUUACAUAAGAAAGGAAAUUGAUAAAAUUAUUAUCCAGUUCCCCAUCAGGAAAUAUGAAAGUACUCCUAAAAGCCUCAAUUCUAACCAGGAAACCAUAGGAAUGUAUUAGAAAUAUUGUACAGGGUUCUCUCCAAUAUUAUCUUCAGUUGCUAAGGAGAUCAGAACCUUGAAAGUAAGUCACAAAGGUCGUGUGGGUUUCCCAGAGUCUUCAACAACCAGUAUUCACAUAUGUACACAUUAAAAUUAAAUAAAGCAGGUAUAAAUUCCACAGGCUUUAAGAUUUGAAUUGCUUCUCCCUGGAAUCAUACACCACUCAUAUUGUCACUGACUUUCAAUUACUUCUCCCUGCGAUCAUAUGCCACUCAUAUUGUCACUGCCUUAGGGAACAAAGUGAAAAUCUGCAAUUUCAAUUAAUUCCAACAUAAAAAUAAAAAUCAAUCCUCAAAAAAUGGAUUGCCAGGAGGUAAAUAUAAUAGAAGACGAACAACUCUCACAACCAAGUUAAAGAAACCAGCCGCUAGGUACCUUUGAGUUCUAUACUACCAGGAACAAAUUGGAUGAGAUUAUUUAAAGGCUAUUCCACAGUGGAAAUUCAUUCGUUCAAAAAACAUUUGUCAUGCAUAUAGGCAAUCUAUCCUAUGCAUUCAUACAUCAUGGUCUCAUGCAAUCUUAAUAAAAGUGGUCCUGGAAAAAGAGAGAAAAAAGUAAUUACAAGCCUGUGCGACCAGAUUUCUUUUGUUUUUUUUUUUUUUCCUUUGCCAAACAACCAUGUUCAUAGUUUCAGAAGUUCAUUCUGUCUUUAAGAGACCCAUGGCAGUGACUUGGCCAUUCAGCUAAGAAGGUGAAACUUCACAUUUUCACACAUAAUCCAUUUCUUUCUCUAACAUAAUUCAAAUGAAAACCCUUAACAAUUGGAGUACGAAGUUCAAAUGGAAAACUUUCUGAAGAGAGGCACCCUAGCUUUCAUCUAUGAAGUAGCAUGAAUCCAUCAACCUAAUUCCUAGUCCAGCAAGGAUAUCAAUUAUCUGAAGAUCUUGUGUUGCAACAGAUACCAUUUCCAUGAAAAAGCACAAGCCAUGGAGUAGCCUCAAAUUGUUAAUCCCUGUUGAGAUACAUGUGCUUUAUGUCACACUCGAUAAAAGUCGAACAAAAUUUGUGGAAAUCCGGAGGAAAUCCAGAAGGUACAGCUGUGUUAGAGCUGUAUCACAGUUGUGAUAUAGUUGUUUCCUAUUCUAAUUUCAUUUCCUGAUUUUAUGAGACUUUCUCCUAAAAUCAAGGAUUAGAUUUCUUUUUCUAAGGCAAAUGACCUCAGUCAUUCAUGUAUAAAUAUCAAUGCAAGAAUCAAUUUGAAAGAUGAGAGAAAAAUAAAAGCUCCCUCAAAUUUCUUCAUCGUAUUAGAGCUAAUUCUAACCCAUUCAAUCUGUCCAUAACCAAAUACGGAAUGGUCACCAAGGACUCCUCAACCUCAAAAUAAUAGAGAAAGUCUAGGACACCAUGUCACUACUGAGGACAACCCAACACCACAACAUUUCAGUCCGUUCAAAAAGAGUAAUUGGAAUUGUUGCAAAAAAUGUUCAACUAGUCCCAACAGGAGGCAAAUUCCUCCAUUUCUUCAUCGGGUCCGGAUCCUUUGCUCAAAAAGGUAAUUUUCUUACUGCCCUAAAAGAAAAAGGGAAAAUGUGAGUCAUUGGAUUGUUGACUCAGGAGCUUUUGAUCACAUGACUAGAGUGCCACAAUUUUUCAAAAUUAUACACCUUGUUUUGGGGAUGAUACAAUUCGUAUGGCUGAUGGUUCUCUCUCAAAGGUGACUGGUACAAGUUUUAUUGUCAUCUCUAAGGACCUAACUCUUGACUCUAUUCUUUUGGUUCCAAACUUGGAUUGCAAUCUAUUGUCCAUUAGUAAACUCACUUAUGAAAAGAACUAUGUUACUAAAUUUUUCCCAAACCAUUAUGUUUUUUAGAAUUUGAAUUCGGGGAAGACGAUUGACAAUGUUGAAGUGUGUUCAGGACUCUAUGCCUUCAAAGUGAAUUAUUAUAUUGAAAGACAACCUUAACCAAUAGUUGGUGAAAAAUGGUGUCUUUUUGUCUUUAGUUCUAAUAAAGAUAGUGAUGUUAUGUUAUAGCACUAUCGUCUAGGACAUCCUAGUUUCUUGUAUCUCAAAAAACUCUUUCCAUCAUUAUUCACUAAAAGCUCAGAUGGUUUUCAGUGUGAAAUUUGUCAAUUAUCCAAGCAUGUUUGCAAGCCCUAUCCAUAGUUUUAAAAGACUUAAGGCGCACCAAGACGCAAAGUCCUCUUGGAGCUUCAGGCGCAAGGCACACCUAAGGCACAAACUUUAGUAAAGUGAGGCGCAUCCUAUUUUACAUAUAUAUUUUUAUAUAAUAUAAUCAAGUGCCCAAAAAUUUUCCUCUAUUUUUCCCCUUCUUCUUCAUCCUCUUCUCUUCUUCACAUUGUUCGGGAGGCUGGGGCUUUUUUUUUUUUUUUUUUUUUUUUACAAGUCCAAAACGAGCAUAUAUUGGGUUUUGGAAGAAGAACAAGCCAAAACGACAUCAUUUUGGAGCCUAAUUUUUUAAAUAAAUAAAUAAAUAAAAACAGGCCAAAAAUGACACCGUUUUGGCCCCUGUUCUUUUAAAAGAACAAACCAAACAACGUCAUUUUGAUCUCAGGAAAUUAAAAAAACAAAACCCUCAUCAUUCUCCCUUUGCCACUCUACAACUCGUCGUCAAAGGGUAAGAAGAUGACCAAAAGAAGAAGAAGAAAAAAAAAAAAACGACGACAGAGGAUAGAGGUGCACCUGUUGAGGGCGUUGCGCCUAGCCAAGAGGCGAGCGCCUUGCACACUUAAUCAACAUCUCCGUGAAGGGGUGGCGCCUACAUUCAGGCGAGGCGCUAAAGGGUGAUGUCACGCCGUCUAGAGCCUAGGCACGCCUUUCACAACUAUGACCCUAUCCAAUUCAACCAUACAAACCAUCUCAUCUUUUUUCCAUACAUAGUGAUGUUUGGAGGUCUUCUAAAAUAAAGAACAUAACAGGAACUAGAUGGUUGAUGAUCAUACUAGAAUUUCUUAGAUAUUUCUAAUGAAAAAAAAAAUCAGAAAUUAGUCAAAUUUUCUAAAAGUGGAUCAGAAUUUCUUUAUUGAAUUAAAAAGUUGAAAUUAAUAUUUUGGAAAAGUUAGGGGCGCUCGAGUGGUAGAAAUAGCGCUCAAGCGCUAGGACCGCUCAAGCACUUAACUAGCACUUGAGCGCUCAUAUAGAAUCUGCCAGAAUAUGGAAGAAUAUUUUUUGGAUAAUCAUGAAAAUUGGAUUUGGAAACUUUAGAAUAUCAAUCUCCUUCGGCCUAGAGGUUUAUAUAAACCCUAUUAUAACCCUUUAGGGUUAAGAAAUUCACCAAGUGGUUUACCCUAACUUGUCAUACCAUUCCCGAUCUCUCAUCAAGGAAUCAAAGUGUUUAAUCUUGGGUUGUUUGAAGACCUACAUCCCUUCAACAAGGCUAAGGUGUAUUCACUAGAACAAUUGAAAUUGUUGCAUCGCGGACAUGAAUCAAGUUGCAGGUUCUAGAGAGUAAGUCUUUAGAAUAAAGCAGACAAAGAGUUCUAUGUGACUUGAUCUCAUAUAGUGGAUUUAGCUUUGCAGUCUUAGACCUCGUGGGUUUUUAUCUCCACAGUUAGUGUGGGGGUUUUCCACAUAAAAAUUCUUGUGUCUCUUGAUCUUAUGUUUGAUUUUGGAUAUUCUAUUUAUCCCUGAUAUCUCACAGGUUAACUUUAGGUUAAAAAUUCAACUCCCUAUUCAAUAAUUUUUAAAAUACACUCAUUCACGAGUGUUAUCCUACUGGAAAUUGGUUUUUCACCAUAUAUAACACUCAUACCAAAACCCAUGCAACAUGGACUCCAACCUUAAGCUUAACUUUCUACGAAUGGAAAAAAAAAAAAAAAAAAAAAAGACAUAACAUAAAUAGACAGAUUUAACAACAUGCUCCUAAUCAAAGUGAAUGUCCCUCUUUUUGAAAGAUAUGACCUUUUCCAUACGAGGAGCUUUCUCUAUAAUUUCACCUCUACCAAUUCCCAUGCCUUUACAAAGUUGUGGAAAGCUCCAAAGAGAAGGCCCAGACAUGUAAUGGGUAGAUUCCCUACCUUAGAACCUAACACCAAAGCUAAACCCCUAAUAUUUGUGACUUCUAUAAGAAUCAAUUCAUUUUUUUCCAUAUUUAUUUCUAAAUCAGACAUUGCCUCAAACCACAUGAAGUUCUAACUUGGAUGCUACAGAUGCUCUUAAUUAGUGUCACAAAAAAAUAGGGUAUCAUCAUCAACCAAGAAAUGUGACACUUCCAUCCCCUCCCCCCGUCUUCCUCCCACUUUGAAACUUGAGAUGUAACCCCUUUUAUCUAAUUCUCCUCAGAAUUCAAUUGAAAGCCUUCAUUGCCAAUAUGAAAAUAUAAGGGGAGAGAGGAUCUUUCUACCUCAAAUCCCUUGAGCUCUCAAAGAAACUGAAUAGGACACUCUUUACUAGAAUAGAGAAUUUAGUAGUGGAAAUGUACCAUUUGAUCCACCUUACCCACUUAUGAUCAAAGUCCAUUUUAUCCAACAUCGUUAACAAAAAGAUCCAAUUUACAUGGCCAUCGUCCUUUCCAAUGUCUAACUUGCAAAUUACCCCACUAUUGGGACUCUUUAGCCUUGAAUCUAGAGCAUCAUUUAUUAUUAGAACUACAUCUAGAAAUUGUCUGUCUUCCACAAAAGCAUGCAAAUAAACUAAAACUAUUUUACCCACCACAUUUUUUAGUCUUUUAGCCAAGACUUUUUCCAGUAGCUUGUACAAAAAACCCCCCAACUAAGCUAAUCAAUGUAAAAUUUUUCAGGUUCUCUACUGCACCUAUAUUAGGGAUCAAGACCAAGAAUGUGACAUUUAAAUUUUGCUCAAAGGAACAAUUAUCAAAAAACUCCCCAAGCUCAUUUGCCAAAAUAUUAUAAUAAAUCCAUUUGGCCCCUACAGCUUUCUCCCCACUCAAGCUAGACAAGGCAACAAGAAAUUCCUCAUCAAAGAAAGGUAACUCCAAUUUCCUAGAAUCAGCACAUAGCAUAACUUCAAAGCUCAUCCCAUUAAUGUUGAGUCUCCAAUCGCCCAUUUCAGAUAGGAGAUUUUGGAAGGCCCUAAACUCCCCUUCCUUUAUAUUUGCUUCCCAAGCAAUCAUUUUGCAUUCACUCAAACUUUAAACAUGAAGUUUUUUAUUCUUUGGGCAUUGACCAUUUCAUGGAAAAAUUUGGUGUUUUUAUCCACACCACCCCCCCCCCUCUAACCAAAUUUCUCUUUAUUUUUGCCCCCAUACAUAUAGAUUCUUCUAACAAGGCCCACUUGCUAAACUCAAUCACCACUAACCUUUUGGCCUCAACAUUUUCAAGAGAUAAGGUAACUGCUCUCUACUUUGAGUCCCAGAAGUUGAUCCAGUUUAGCACCUCUAGGUUUUUUGUUGAGACAUUCCCAAAACCUUCUUCAUUCCAAGAUUUUAAAUCUCGUUUGACAACCUUUAGCUUCACUUCCAAAAUAUGACCAUACAAGCCAUCCACAUUAUAACCAUCAACCAACUCCUCACAAAAUCUUUUAAGCCUUUUGUUUUAGGGCACAUAUUUUAAAAUGUAAAGUGUGUUUUCCCACUACUUAUCCUACCUCCAUCUAAAACUAUGGGGUAGUGACCUAAAAUUGCUUUAGGUAAAACACUCUGGAUUAAAGUAGAAAAACGAUUCUACCAAUCAUCUGACACUAGGAAAUGGCCAAGCCUUGAAGAAGACAAAAGAUUAUGAACACCACUCCAAGUGAAUAGCCCUCCAACUAGCGAAGGAUCCCAAGGUCAAGUCCUCUAUGUCCUCUGAAAAGAACCUCAUAUCAAACAACAUUCUAAGGCAAUUCCUCCUAUUCAUGGGGAACUUGACCAUAUUAAAAUCCUCUGAAGCACUAGAGGUCAUCCCAAAGGCCUCUUAUGGCACCCAACUCUACCCAGAAAUCCACUCUUUCUCCCCUUUAAACCAACCCAUAAACUCUUAAGUAUACCUAGACAAAGCUAUCUUCACAAUUCAUAGACAAGCAAUAAAGAAUGCUUCCACCUCCUUACCAAUUAACUCUAAUACCCUACUAUCUUGGAAAACCAAAAUGCCUGCUAUCAAGCUUCUAACUUCCAGUACCAUUUCAAAAAUCUUCCUACUCCUAAACUCCUUACCAGUUGAACGAACAUCUAUUGAACCUUGGUUUCUUGUUAACAAACUAGAUCAACCCCUUGAGACCUUAUCAAUGACUUUAUUAUCAUAUACUUUUCCUCAUCAUUUGCUCCUUUGACAUUCCAAGACAGGAUUUUUAGCUCCAUCAUGCAACCUAUGUUGGAUCCUAAUUGCUACUCUUGUAGCCCUUUUCUUUUUUGUUGAGCUUUUAUAAUUGACUAAGCAUCCCAACUUGCUGAGGUCCCUCUCAAACCAAGAUAUCGAGGUUAACUUCCUCUUCACCCCCAAUGAAAAAACAGAAAGCCCUCUCCUUAGCCUGCCACACAAGGGAAAAGAUCUCUUUUUCAAAUCCAUCAACUGGCAUUCUUAAGAAACUAUUGAAAUUUGCCAACUUACAAGAUAUACAAUUGGAGGAGUGCUCUUUUACCAAACAACUACUAAAAUUCACCUCAAAGGUGACCUUUUCCCCUGAUCUCUCCCCGGCCUCCAUUCCCACUGACCCUUUCACGAAAUUUUCUAGAAGUUCCACUGUCGAGCCUUUACGGAGAACCAUCCUCAACAAACUCCUUUGACUAGUGUGAAAAACCCCACCCAAGACCAUCUUCCAGAAGUUAACUUACAAGAUUAGCUAUAAUCUUGUGAAGACUCGUUACCUAAUGGGUAAAAAAUUUGAAAUUCUAAGAUGUGAAAAUAGCAUUGGUGCUCUAAUUAAUAACCCCAUAAUUAUUAAGCAAUAAAACAACUUUUAAUAAAUUCUCUUCCACCACAUCCCACCAAUCCUAAUGCAAAAAAGCUAGGAAAAAGUCAUCAUUGCUCUAAGCAUUUCUCCUCUCUAGUUGAAAGACUGCUUUAUGAACUUCCUCUUUGACAAAAGGACAAUCCAACCAAUUAGCACCAUUUUCCAAAAUGAGAGACCAAUCCCCACUCUUCUAUCCUCUAAGGAUCUUCAUAUAACCAUUAAUGCCUUUCUAUACCAGCUAGUAUAUAUCGGGUUUUGGGCAAGUCCUAUAAAUGGGUUUGAGUAAGAUUUUUAAUUACCUUGUUCUUUCUUUUUAGUUGAUAAAUAUGCAUAUAAGUAUUAAUUCACACAUCAGAAAAGAUUUUGCUAAAACAAAAUAAUUGACAUGCAGAUAGUGACUUCUUGAUAAGAGUAAUAGCUUAAGGGAGGAAAAUGAACACCUCCAGCAGCCCCAAAGUGGUAAGUUCCUUCAGAUCCCAUGUUGCUAUUCUGCAUUUCUUUGUGUUUUGGCAUCAGCCCUCUUAAUUAAUUCACUAUCCAGCUUCUCAAAUUCCUCGGAUUCUUCCCUUGUUCUUGUGGAAACAUCUGCAUCUUGUCCUUGCAUUGUUAUGGAUUGGUGAUUAUCAUUCUUUGAGAACUGUGUGGCAGCUGCUCGUGCACCAGCUAUGGCUGCAAGGAGACCUUCUGGUUUCUUGUCUUCAGCAGCUUUAGAGCCAUCAAAGCAAGAAACAAGUGAUCCUGGUUUCAAAGAGAGAGGAUCUUGUGGUUCUGGAAGCAGAAACUUGACAGGUAGUGGAGCUUGAACAGGACGAAGACCCCUAACUGCUGCCUCAUAUAUCUGCAACAAUUUCAGGGGGGAUAAGUAAUUAAAAAUCAGUCACUCUAUUGCAUUAGUUAGACUUGCUUUCAAUGCGAUAGCAAAGAAAGAAUCAUCAAUGAAAAAAGAAAAAAUAAAUGAAAAAGAACAAAAAGGAGAGGGAAAAAAAAAUGAUGGGUGCUCAAUUUGUACUUUUCUUUCCAGGUUAUAAAUACGUUGGUACCCGCGCAUCUCAAAUGGUAUGAUUAAUUUCUGCACCAGGUCAGGAGAACUAAGUCCAUCAAUAUACUAAAAAGAAAAUAUACCAAAAAGCAAGCAAAAAUGUUUAACCAUCUUGAGUGUCAAACUCUCCAAGAAACUAUAUACUAUUAGCUGAAUGAAAACACAUGCCUGUGGUUGCUCACAGAGCCAGCAAAACUCUGUUUGCGCUUCUAGCCUUACCUACAAAUAGAGUUUAGGUUAUCCAACCAAAAUGGAUAUACAUUACACAAAACAAACUGUACCUAAUCAGUUUACGAAGGGGACAGGGGGAAGUAAAAAGCAAAAGUAAAUUUCUAAGAUGCCCACCCCUUCAGGUACCUCCUUCCAGCACGCCAGCUCUUCACAUUUAACACAACCAACUACUUCAACACAACCUGUGGCAAGAAUAGAGCUUGUUGGAUUUAUUGUAGCAUGCCAUACAGAAAAACUUAGCAUUUCAGUAAGAAUAAGAAUAAGAGAGCUACUUUCCACUAAAAUACGAAUCACCCAUCAACUGUUGCAAACAGACAACAAUGUGGAUAACAGGUUUUAUAUAGAUAUAUAUAUAUAGAUAGAUAGAUAGAUAUAUAUAUAUAUAUAUAUAUAUAUAUAUAGAGAGAGAGAGAGAGAGAGAGAGAGAGAGAGAGAGAGAGAGAGAGUCAAAUAAUAAUAAAGGACAUAAAAAUAUUUCUUUGAAAAAGACUAAUUAGAAAGAAGAAACAAAGAACCCACAUGAAUUCAAUUUAGAUAAGAGAAAUACCUUCAAGAAUCUAGUUCUUUUUGCAAAUUGCAACUUAGACAUGGAAUGCCACAUAUUAUUAUAAGGUAUCACAAGAGAUUAUUGCUUCAUUUUUUUUCUUUGCCAGAUCAGUUUUAAUAAAUAUAAAUAUAAAAAUAUAAGCAUGUACACACACACGCACACACGCAAACACAUUAUGUGUGUAUGUUUAUGGAUAUGUAGAUAUAGGUUUUUAAUAAUAGAGCAUGAAAACAUAUCUAGUCAGGAAUUCCAAAAAUUCAAAACCAUUAGCAACACCUAACAGUCUUGAAACUGGGUAAUGUUCUGGAAACUUGAGGUCUGCUAUCCCAUUCACAGCAUAGAUCUCCCUGUAGAAAUUCUCCAUUGCUUUGAUUGUGUCUGAAUCUGGGACCUUACUAGCAGCAUGAAUCCAAAGUCGGCCUUCAUAAAACAAAAACAUGUAUAUUAAGAAAUAUCCUUGUAGAACAGUAACAUUUUUGCCAGCAUGCAAUUCGUGUUAAUAAUCCUUGGUUCUCACCACUCAUUGUACAUUACAAUGUAAAGACCUAAUAAGCCCUAAUAUAGGUACCUGUGCAGAGAGAGAGAGAGAGGAGGGGGGUGAAAGGAAAGAUGAUUAUAGAACAAAUACAAGUUGAAUCUCCUGAAAUAAUGUCCAUCAAGUUAUUUCCUAGCAACAAGUACUGAUUAUGCUUUUCCAAAAGUGUCAUUUUUAAUAAUUCAAUAAUGUAGAUACUUGAAUUUCGCAUUCACACAUACACACAAAUAUGUAUAUACACACAAGAUUAUGCACCACGUGAUCAGGGUGAAUGCUGGGAGGCGUGGUCCCAAUAAGAGGCACAUGGUCUCAGGUUCGAAUCCUGCAACUGAUGAUACCCUAAUUUACCCGGUGCUGAUUUUUACGGGCUCGUUCAGCACCCCGAGGUUUGGGUCCCCAUGGAGAGUCCUAAGGGCUUGGCCAUGGAAGGUUCCUCGAUUAUCAAAAAAAAAAAAGUUAAAUGAGGAGGUCACAUCAUUAGUAGCACCGCUACAAAUUGCAAACUGUUGAAUAUAAUGAAUUUAUAGUGUACAAUCUUUCCUUUUUUUUAAUAUAGGUCACAUGUAUGGUUGUUAGGACUCCUAGCCUUGUAUAUAUAUAUUUUCUCAAUUGUAAGUAGAUACUAUAUCAAUGAGAAUCAAGGUUUUCUUCUCUCUCUCUCUUAACAUGGUAUCAGAGCCAAGGGAGAAAACCUAAUUCUUUCCAAUUUCCCCGUGUCAUCAAUUCCGGGAAACCUUCCUGUGACCGUGUUUCAUUCCAGUCACCUUCCCCAGACCCCAAAGCUUUCCGAUCGGUCGAAUCGUUGUCAGAAAACAUUCACCGCCGACGACAUUUCCGGCGACGUCUUUUUCCAACACUGCAAGGAGCGCCUAGAAGAGAUCUCCAAUUUUUCCCAAAGCACCGAAGCCAGAAAACCACCCAUGCGUCGGCCACGUGCAUUUUUCCGACCGGCGACUGCAUCUCACGCGCCAGCACAUGAGGGCGCGUGAGCCACUUUCCGGCGACACGCUUCCUCCUCCAGCCUCGCCCGACGCCGACUAGCCACCCUUCAUACCUGUUUCUGCCAUCCGAGCCCUGCACGUGCCUCUUUUGGGGUUCUUUUGCCUCCGUCGGCCCUCCGAACAGUUUUUCCGGCGUCCUCCGGCUAUUUUUUCUCAACCCCAAUCCCUGCACGUGCCUUGGGAAGUGUUCUUCUACCUUUCCGGUGGUGCCACGGUUGUUUUUCUUUUCUAUUUGGUCUCUUACACGGGCGAUUCUUCAGUUUUUCCUUCUUCAGCAGCAUAUGAAGCCGUAUUAAGGCUCUCUUCGAUCCAAAUAUACUUCAUUCUCCAGAUAAGUGGAUAUGGCUACUAAAACUUCCAUUUUUUCCUCUGUCAUAUCUGGAUCUCCUAUGAUUACUUCAGAGAAAUUAGUUGGCAGUGAAAAUUAUCUUUCUUGGUCUGCCUCUGUUGAACUUUGGUUUAUGGGACAAGGAUAUGAGGAUCACUUAGUUACACAGGAGGCAGAUAUCCCUGAGGUUGAGCGCGUACAGUGGAGAAAGCUAGAUGCCCAGUUAUGUAGUGUAUUAUGGCAAUCAGUUGAUCCCAAUAUCCUUCUUCAUCUUCGGGCCUACAAAACUUGUUUUAAAUUUUGGACUCAGGCCAAAGGAUUAUACACGAAUGAUAUCCAGCGUCUUUAUAAGGUGGCUUCUGCUAUUAUCCAUAUCAGCCAACAGGACUUGGAUCUAUCUACUUAUAUUGGCCAGAUUGCCUCUCUUAAGGAGGAGUUUUUGACUGUGAUGCCUCUUACUCCUGAUGUUGGGGCUCAACAAACACAGCUUGAUAAGUUCUUCAUGGUCCUUACUCUUAUUGGCCUCCGUCCGGAUCUUGAGCCUGUACGCGAUCAAAUUCUUAGUAGUUCAUCAGUUCCGUCCUUGGAUGAUGUGUUUGCUCGCCUCCUUCGUAUCUCGUCCACUCAGACUUUGCCAUCUGAUAGCAUUUCAGAUUCUUCUGUGUUAGUUUCUCACACUACCUCUCGAGGAGGACGCAGUGGUAACCAAGGUAGAGGCCAACGUCCUCAUUGCACCUAUUGCAAUUGUUGAAUAUAAUGUAUGUAUAGUAUACUAUCUUUCCUUGUUAAUAUAGGUCACAUGUAUGGUAGUUAGGACUCCUAGCCUUGUAUAUAUAUAUAUCUCUCAAUUGUAAGUAAAGAUUACAAUGAAUGAGAAUAAGGUUUUUCUCCUCUCUCUCUCUCUCUCUCUCUCAACAUGGUAUCAGAGCCAAAGGAGAAAACCUAAUUUUUCGGUUUAGCCGUGUACUCAAUUUCGGCGAACCGUCCAGUGACCAUGUUUUCACUCCGGUCCCCUCACUCUCUUUCCGAACCACCCCGGACAACCUCAUCGUCGUCGGAUCUCCACCACGCCGGCAACCUUUUCCGGCGAAAUUUUCCGGCGACCUUUUUUCCGGGCAAAGACCACAUAUUCCGAACCGCCGGAGGCUGAUCUACACGCCAGUGGAAACCCCACCGGCAACCGGCAUCUCACGCACCCCCACGCGCCGCCCUUCUCCUCCGGACUAUCACCCACGCGCCGGCGCGUGACGGCGCGUGGCUCACUUUCCGGCCACUUCUGACACCUCUCCAGGCUCGUCCGGCGCCGUCUUGGCCUUCUAGCCCUCCGGCAGUCCUCCCCGAGCCCUGCAUCUCCAUUUUUUCCCUGUUUUUGGCUUUCUUGCCAUUCCGGCCACCUCCGACAGGGCUCCCCCUCCAUCCCCGAGGCUUGGGUGUUGCUUCUCUUCCUCUCCAGGCACGUCACGACCUUUUUUUCUCCAUUGAUUGCACCUCUCACAGCCGUGGUUUCACUGUUUUUCUCUCUCCGCCGAAAUCUGAACCCAUCUUAGGGCUCUCUUCGAUCCAAAUACGUGAAUAUGACCACCAAAAAUCAGAUCUUUACGUCUGUUCUCUCUAGAUCUCCUCUGAUUACCUCAGAGAAAUUGGUUGGCAGUGAGAAUUAUCUCUCCUGGUCUGCCUCUGUUGAACUUUGGUUUAUGGGUCAAGGAUAUGAGGAUCACUUGGUUACCCAGGAGGCAGAUAUCCCUGAGGUUGACCGCGUACAGUGGAGGAAGAUAGAUGCACAGUUGUGUAGUGUAUUAUGGCAAUCGGUUGAUCCCCGGAUUCUUCUUCAUCUUCAGGCCUAUAAAACUUGUUUUAAAUUUUGGACUCAGGCCAAAGGAUUAUACACGAAUGAUAUUCAGCGUCUUUAUAAGGUGGCUUCUGCUAUUGUCUAUCUCAGCCAACAGGACUUGGAUCUAUCUACUUAUAUUGGUCAGAUUGCCUCUCUUAAGGAGCAGUUCUUGACUGUGAUGCCUCUUACUCCUGAUGUUGGGGCUCAACAAACACAGCUUGACAAGUUCUUCAUGGUCCUUACUCUUAUUGGCCUCCGUCCGGAUCUUGAGCCUAUUCGUGAUCAGAUUCUUGGUAGUUCAUCAGUUCCGUCCUUAGAUGAUGUGUUUGCUCGCCUCCUCCGUAUCUCGUCCACUCAGACUUUGCCAUCUGAUAGCGCUUCAGAUUCUUCUGUGUUAGUUUCUCAAACUACCUCUCGAGGAGGACGCAGUGGUACCCGAGGUAGAGGCCAACGUCCUCAUUACACCUAUUGCAAUAAACUUGGCCACACUCGCGAUCGUUGCUAUCAGUUACAUGGAAGACCUCCUCGCACUGCCCAUAUGGCCCAGUCCUCUGAUUCUCCGCUGCCUUAGCCUUCGAGCUCCUCCGCAUCUCAGACAUCUCAGGCUUCUAUUGCCUCUGUUGCCCAGCCUGGUAAUGCCUCUGCCUGCCUUACCCACACAUCUUCUCUUGGACCCUGGAUUCUAGAUUCUGGAGCAUCUGAUCACCUAUCUGGUAAUAAGGAUCUUUUCUCCUCUAUUACUACUACCUCUGAUUUACCUACUAUUACCUUAGCUAAUAGUUCUCAAACUGUGGCUAAAGGUAUUGGUUUGGCCCUUCCUCUGCCUUCUCUACCUCUCACUUCUGUCCUUUAUACUCCUGAAUGUCCUUUUAAUCUUAUUUCCAUCAGCAAAAUCACUCGUACUCUUAAUUGUUCUAUUACCUUUUCUGAUAAAUUUGUGACCUUGCAGGACCGGAGUACGGGGAAGACGAUUGGCAUAGGACGUGAGUCUCAAGGCCUCUAUCACCUCACCUCAGAUUCAUCUCCUGCAGUUUGCAUUUCCACUGAUGCUCCUCUCCUCAUUCACAAUCGUCUGGGCCACCCUAGUCUCUCCAAGUUCCAGAAGAUGGUUCCUCGUUUUUCAACUUUGUCGUCGCUUCCGUGUGAGUCAUGUCAGCUUGGGAAACAUACUCGUGUCUCGUUCCCAAAGCGUUUGAAUAAUCGGGCAAAGUCUCCUUUUGAGCUUGUCCACACUGAUGUUUGGGGUCCUUGUCGGACUGCGUCUACUUUAGGAUUUCAGUAUUUUGUCACUUUCAUUGAUGACUAUUCUCGAUGUACUUGGUUAUUUUUAAUGAAAAAUCGAGCUGAGUUAUUCUCUAUUUUCCAGAAAUUUUAUACUGAAAUCCAAACCCAGUUCAAUAUUUCUAUUCGUGUGUUACGCAGUGACAAUGCCAGGGAAUAUUUUUCAGCCCAAUUUACUUCGUUUAUGUCUCAUCAUGGGAUUCUUCAUCAGUCUUCUUGUGCUCAUACUCCUCAACAAAAUGGGGUAGCUGAACGCAAGAAUCGACAUCUUGUUGAGACAGCUCGUACUCUCCUCCUCCAUAGUCAUGUUCCUUUUCGCUUUUGGGGGGACGCUGUUCUUACCGCUUGUUAUUUGAUUAAUCGUAUGCCCUCCUCUGUCUUACACGAUCAGAUUCUUCACUCCCUUCUUUUCCCUGACCAACCACUUUAUUUCCUUCCUCCUCGUGUCUUUGGUUGUACUUGCUUUGUUCAUAUUCUCACUCCUGGACAGGACAAGCUUUCCGCCAAAGCCAUGAAGUGCCUCUUCUUGGGAUAUUCCAGACUUCAGAAGGGUUAUCGUUGUUAUUCCCUUGAGACUCAUCGGUACUUUAUCUCCGCUAAUGUCACCUUCUUUGAGGACUCACCAUUCUUUUCCACCACUUCUGAGUCUCUUCCUGUUUCUGAAGUCUUGCCCAUUCCCAUUGUCUCCCCACCUGAUGCUAUGCCCCCUCGACCACUUCAGGUUUAUCAUCGUCGCCCUCGUGUCGUUGCUCCUCUCCCUUUUCCUGAGGCACCUGCUGACUCACUUCCUAUCCCUUCAGCUUCACCUGCCCCGGCUCUGCCUUCUCCUAAUGACUUACCUAUUGCUGUUCGGAAAAGUACUCGCUCUACUCGUAAUCCUCAUCCUAUUUACAAUUUUUUGAGUUAUCAUCGAUUAUCUUCACCCUAUUCUGCUUUUGUUUCUGCUAUAUCCUCUGUUUCUCUUCCAAAGAGCACCCAUGAAGCUCUUUCCCAUCCAGGCUGGCGACAGGCAAUGGUGGAUGAAAUGGCUGCUCUGCACUCUAAUGGCACUUGGGAUCUUGUUGUUUUACCCUCUGGUAAAUCUACAGUUGGUUGUCGUUGGGUCUAUGCAGUUAAGGUUGGUCCUGAUGGUCAGGUUGAUCGCCUUAAGGCCCGUUUAGUUGCUAAAGGCUAUACUCAAGUUUAUGGUUCUGAUUAUGGUGACACAUUCUCCCCUGUUGCCAAGAUUGCUUCUGUCCGCUUGCUUCUCUCCAUGGUUGCUAUGUGUUCUUGGCCUCUUUAUCAGUUGGAUAUUAAAAAUGUCUUCCUUCAUGGUGAUCUUGCCGAGGAAGUUUAUAUGGAGCAACCUCCUGGUUUUGUUGCUCAGGGGGAGUCUGGUUUAGUGUGCAGGUUACGUCGUUCUCUAUAUGGCUUGAAACAAUCUCCUCGAGCAUGGUUUAGCCGUUUUAGUUUUGUUGUUCAAGAGUUUGGCAUGCUUCGCAGUACAGCAGACCAUUCAGUUUUUUAUCAUCAUAACUCCUUGGGGCAGUGUAUUUAUCUGGUUGUUUAUGUGGACGACAUCGUCAUUACAGGCAGUGAUCAGGAUGGUAUUCAAAAACUAAAGCAACAUCUUUUUACCCACUUUCAGACCAAAGACUUGGGGAAACUCAAGUAUUUCUUGGGAAUUGAGAUAGCUCAAUCCAGUUCCGGUGUGGUCCUUUCCCAAAGGAAGUAUGCUUUAGACAUCCUGGAAGAAACCGGUAUGUUAGACUGUAAACCGGUAGACACACCUAUGGAUCCGAAUGUCAAACUUGUACCAGGACAGGGGGAGCCUUUAGGAGACCCCGGGAGAUAUCGACGGCUCGUAGGUAAAUUGAACUAUCUCACCAUUACUCGUCCAGACAUUUCUUUUCCUGUGAGUGUUGUUAGUCAAUUCCUACAGUCACCAUGUGAUAGCCAUUGGGAUGCCGUAAUCCGUAUCCUUCGAUAUAUCAAAAGUACACCAGGCCAAGGUGUAUUGUACGAGAACAGAGGUCAUACUCAAGUUGUUGGUUACACAGAUGCAGAUUGGGCUGGCUCACCCACAGAUAGACGUUCCACUUCAGGGUACUGUGUUUUUAUUGGAGGUAAUCUAAUAUCUUGAAAGAGUAAGAAACAAGAUGUAGUGGUCAGAUCUAGCGCUGAAGCCGAGUAUCGAGCUAUGGCUUUGGCAACAUGUGAACUCAUAUGGUUGAGACAUCUUCUUCAGGAGUUGAGAUUUGGAAAGGAUGAACAGAUGAAACUCAUCUGUGAUAACCAGGCCGCAUUACAUAUUGCAUCCAAUCCAGUCUUUCAUGAAAGGACCAAGCAUAUUGAAGUUGAUUGUCAUUUCAUUAGAGAGAAGAUCGCAUCAGGAUGUGUUGCUACAAGUUUUGUCAAUUCAAAUGAUCAACUAGCAGACAUCUUCACUAAAUCUCUCAGAGGUCCUAGGAUUAAAUAUAUUUGUAACAAGCUUGGUGCAUAUGACGUAUAUGCUCCAGCUUGAGGGGGAGUGUUAAAUAUAAUGUAUGUAUAGUAUACUAUCUUUCCUUGUUAAUAUAGGUCACAUGUAUGGUAGUUAGGACUCCUAGCCUUGUAUAUAUAUAUCUCUCAAUUGUAAGUAGAGAUUACAAUGAAUAAGAAUAAGGUUUUUCUCCUCUCUCUCUCUCUCUCUCUCUCUCUCAACAGCAAUAAACUUGGCCACACUCGCGAUCGUUGCUAUCAGUUACAUGGACGGCCUCCUCGCACUACCCAUGUGGCCCAGUCCUCUGAUUCUCAGCUGCCUCAGCCUCCGAGCUCCUCCGCAUCUCAGGCAUCUCAGGCUUCUGUUGCCUCUGUUGCCCAGCCUGGUAAUGCUUCUGCCUGCCUUACCCACACAUCUUCUCUUGGACCCUGGAUUCUAGAUUCUGGAGCAUCUGAUCACCUAUCUGGUAAUAAGGAUCUUUUCUCCUCUAUUACUACUAUCUCUGCUUUACCUACUGUUACCUUAGCUAAUGGUUCUCAAACUGUAGCUAAAGGUAUUGGUUUGGCCCUCCCUCUGCCUUCUCUACCUCUCACUUCUGUUCUUUAUACUCCUGAAUGUCCUUUUAAUCUUAUUUCCAUCAACAAAAUCACUCGUACUCUUAAUUGCUCUAUUACCUUUUCUAAUAAAUUUGUGACCUUGCAGGACCGGAGUACGGGGAAGACGAUUGGCAUAGGACGUAAGUCUCAAGGCCUCUAUCACCUCACCUCGGAUUCAUCUCCUGCAGUUUGCAUUUCCAUUGAUGCUCCUCUCCUCAUUCACAGUCGUUUGGGUCACCCUAGUCUCUCCAAGUUCCAGAAGAUGGUUGAUUACUACUCAAAACAUGCUAUUUUGUAGCUUGUAAUUAGCUCUUUUAAACACCAUUGAGUAGUAAUUAUUACCUUUUAACCCAAUUAGCAUGUUAGGAGCCCUUGCAAUCGUUUCUAACAAUUGUGUUAAGUUUUGGUGCUUUUUGAUAGCUUUAUGCUCACCAAAGCAAUUUAAGAAUGAAAGAGAGCUAUUUGUAGUUCAGGGCAAAGCUUUUGAAAGCUUAAAUUUAUGAAGAAAUCAAGCUAUGGAGCCUCAUAAUCCUUUGCCUUAAUCGUUCAAAGUUUACAAGGGAGAAACAAUGGAGAAGAAGAAAACAGGGGAUGAAAACAGGGGACACAGCUGCAGUCUUUUAGUGCACUUUUGGAGCACUUCCCAAAGUCCAUUCUUUACAUUCUAUAUACCAUUUCGAAGCUCAGAAAGUCAAGAAUCCAAUGGUUCAAACCACGUAUGAUUUGGAGCUGAAAUGAGGAAGUUAUGGACUUCGGAAGACAACAGCAUCAAGCUGAGGGACAAUUUCGCACACCACUGUUUAAGGUGCGAAAUCCUCAGUCCACUGUGCGAGAAUUUCGCACACCUCAAACCAACAUGCGAAAUUGGAACUCAGCAUGCGAAAAUUGGAUAUUUUUGCCGACUCUUUUUCUUCUGAUAUUUUUGUGUUUAAAGUUCCAUUUUCUCCUUGUAUUCAACCAACCAUGUAAUUCCUUAGCUAGGAAGUAUCCAAGGAAGGGUAAAACUACCUUCCUAUAUAAAUUCUCUUGUAAUCACUGAAAAUAUAUCUUUCGGGGAGCUUUCUCCAGGAGACCAACUAUUGUAAAUUUGUUACUUAGUGAAAUACAGAGAUCUCUUUUACUUUCUUUUCUCUUCUAUUUUCUAUUUUCUUGCAAGCCAAACACCCUCUGAGGAUGUUUUCCCAGAGGAUGAGAGGCUAAACAUUUAGUUUCUUGGAGUGAAGGAAGCUAGGUGAAAAGUCCAGAUUAAAAGGUGGAAAGUUUCCGUGCAUUGAAUUCAGGUGGUUGGAGUCCAUAAAUGGCUUUUAAAGCCAAGGUUUUGCCUUAAAUCCCUUAGGAUCACUUUGACUGGCCAAUACAUGGUAAGCUUAAGGUCUCUGUGGAUGCUUAUUGCUAGAUCCAUAUCAGUCCAUUAGUUAUCAUGUACGAGCCAUUGGAAAGUGAUUCAAGGUGAUAGCCCAUAGUGUCUUAAGCCAUUAAUGGACCUUGACUACCAUCUCUAGUGACUUUUUAUGGAUUAAAACUUCAUUGUCAAACCUAUACCGGUUCGGGAAAUAACUAUAGGUUAAAUCCCCAAUGCGAGGAGAAAAAUCCGGAAUUUUCCACUUUGCAUCUGGAACUUAAACCUAGCAACCUUUAGCUCUGGGAGACUUUCUUUCUUCUACCUUUUUACUUAGUUCUAUGUGAGUUUAGUUUAAAUUACCACUUUCAAAACAAUUUUAUUUUCUUUUAAAUUUCAAGUUUGUGCUAAAGGAAAUCAUCAGAAUCAAUUUCUAAUUUAGAGUCUAUCAUUGGUAGAGUGAAAACCCAUCCCUGAGUUCGACCCUAGAACCACUAUAUUAUAGUAGCUUUGCUACGCCAGUAUAAGGUCAUAGGUUUUAUAAAUGUUUUUGAUUAAAAGAUCCGGCUGGGAAGUCAAGCAACACAGCAAUCAAUGGUCCCUCGUUUUUCCACUUUGUCGUCGCUUUCGUGUGAAUCAUGUCAGCUUGGGAAACAUACUCGUGUCUCGUUCCCAAAGCGUUUGAAUAAUCGGGCAAAGUCUCUUUUUGAGCUUGUCCACACUGAUGUUUGGGGUCCUUGUCGGACUGCGUCUACUUUAGGAUUUCAGUAUUUUGUCACUUUCAUUGAUGACUAUUCUCGAUGUACUUUGUUAUUUUUAAUGAAAAAUCGAGCUGAGUUAUUCUCUAUUUUCCAGAAAUUUUAUACUAAAAUCCAAACCCAGUUCAAUAUUUCUAUUCGUGUGUUACGCAGUGAUAAUGCCAGGGAAUAUUUUUCAGCCCCAUUUACUUCAUUUAUGUCUCAUCAUGGGAUUCUUCAUCGGUCUUCUUGUGCUCAUACUCCUCAACAAAAUGGGGUAGCUGAACGCAAGAAUCGACAUCUUGUUGAGACAGCUCGUACUAUCCUCCUCCAUAGUAAUGUUCCUUUUCGUUUUUGGGGGGACGUUGUUCUUAGCGCUUGUUAUUUGAUUAAUCGUAUGCCCUCCUCUGUUUUACAUGAUCAGAUUCCUCAUUUCCUUCUUUUCCCUGACCAACCACUUUAUUUCCUUCCUCCUCGUGUCUUUGGUUGUACUUGCUUUGUUCAUAUUCUCACUCUUGGACAGGACAAGUUUGCCACCAAAGCCAUGAAGUGCCUCUUCUUAGGAUAUUCCAGACUUCAGAAGGGUUAUCGUUGUUAUUCCCUUGAGACUUAUCGAUACUUUAUCUCCGCUGAUGUCACUUUCUUUGAGGAUUCACCAUUCUUUUCCACCACUUCUGAGUCUCUUCCUGUUUCUGAAGUCUUGCCCCUUCCCAUUGUCUCCCCAUCUGAUGUUGUGCCUCCUCGACCACUUCAGGUUUAUCAUCGUCGCCCUCGUGUCGCUGCUCCUCUCCCUUUUGCUGAGGAACUUGCUGACUCACUUCCUAUCCCUUCGGCUUCUCCUGCCCCGGCUCUGCCUUCUCCUGAUGAUUUACCCAUUGCUAUUCAGAAAGGUACUCGCUCUACUCGUAAUCCUCAUCCUAUUUACAAUUUUUUGAGUUAUCAUCGAUUAUCUUCACCCUAUUCUGCUUUUGUUUCUGCUAUAUCCUCUAUUUCUCUUCCAAAGAGCACCCAUGAAGCUCUUUCCCAUCCAGGCUGGCGACAGGCAAUGGUGGAUGAAAUGGCUGCUCUGCACUCUAAUGGCACUUAGGAUCUUGUUGUUUUACCCUCUGGUAAAUCUACAGUUGGCUAUCGUUGGGUCUAUGCAGUUAAGGUUGGUCCUGAUGGUCAAGUUGAUCGCCUUAAGGCCCGCUUAGUUGCUAAAGGUUAUACUCAGGUUUAUGGUUCUGAUUAUGGUAACACAUUCUCCCCUGUUGCCAAGAUUGCUUCUGUCCGCUUGCUUCUCUCCAUGGAUGCUAUGUGUUCUUGGCCUCUUUAUCAGUUGGAUAUUAAAAAUGUCUUCCUUCAUGGUGAUCUUGCCAAGGAAGUUUAUAUGGAGCAACCUCCUGGUUUUAUUGCUCAGGGGGAGUCUGGUUUAGUGUGCAGGUUAUGUUGUUCUCUACAUGGCUUGAAACAAUCUCCUCGAGUAUGAUUUGGUCGUUUUAGUUCUGUUGUUCAAGAGUUUGGCAUGCUUCGCAGUACAGCAGACCAUUCAAUUUUCUAUCAUCAUAACUCCUUGGGAUAGUGUAUUUAUCUGGUUGUUUAUGUGGACGACAUCGUCAGUACAGGCAGUGAUCAGGAUGGUAUUCAAAAACUAAAGCAACAUCUUUUUACCCACUUUCAGACCAAAGACUUGGGGAAACUCAAGUAUUUCUUGGGAAUUGAGAUAGCUCAAUCCAGUUCCGGUGUGGUCCUUUCCCAAAGGAAGUAUGCUUUAGACAUCCUGGAAGAAACUGGUAUGUUAGACUGUAAACCGAUAGACACACCUAUGGAUCCGAAUGUCAAACUUGUACCAGGACAGGGGGAGCCUUUAGGAGACCCUGGGAGAUAUCGACAGCUCGUAAGUAAAUUGAACUAUCUCACCAUUACUCGUCCAGACAUUUCUUUUCCUGUGAGUGUUGUUAGUCAAUUCCUACAGUCACCAUGUGAUAGCCAUUGGGAUGUCGUAAUCCGCAUUCUUCGAUAUAUCAAAAGUACACCAGGCCAAGGUGUGUUGUACGAGAACAGAGGUCAUACUCAGGUUGUUGGUUACACAGAUGCAGAUUAGGCUGGCUCACCCACAGAUAGACGUUCCACUUCAGGGUACUGUGUUUUUAUUGGAGGUAAUCUAAUAUCUUGGAAGAGUAAGAAACAAGAUGUAGUGGUCAGAUCUAGUGCUGAAGCUGAGUAUCGAACUAUGGCUUUGGCAACAUGUGAACUCAUAUGGUUGAGACAUCUUCUUCGAGAGUUGAGAUUUGGAAAGAAUGAAUAGAUGAAACUCAUCUGUGAUAACCAGGCCGCAUUACAUAUUGCAUCCAAUCCAGUCUUUCAUGAAAUGACCAAACAUAUUGAAGUUGAUUGUCACUUCAUUAGAGAGAAGAUCGCAUCAGGAUGUGUUGUUACAAGUUUUGUUAAUUCAAAUGAUCAACUAGUAGACAUCUUCACUAAAUCUUUCAUAGGUCCUAAGAUUAAAUACAUUUGUAACAAGCUCGGUGGAUAUGACGUAUAUGCUCCAGCUUGAGGGGGAGUGUUGAAUAUAAUAAAUUUAUAGUGUACAAUCUUUCCUUUUUUUUAAUAUAGGUCACAUGUAUGGUAGUUAGGACUCCUAACCUUGUAUAUAUAUAUUUUCUCAAUUGUAAGUAGAUACUAUAUGAAUGAGAAUCAAGGUUUUCUUCUCUCUCUCUCUUAACACAAACCUAUGCACCUCACUACCAAUAACAGUGCCUACUAUCAGUUUUUCUACAAUUGCUAGUUUGACAACAUAGAGAAUACAUGUUAUCUCCAACUCAAUUCAUGAGAGAGCAUUCAUAUUGUGCUAUAAAUGAAGGGUGGGAUACAUCAACAUGCUAAGGUGAGCAAUGAGAACUCACUUUCCCACCUUCAAUUGAUGGCUUCUCUACCUUUCUCUUACUCCAUCAAGAGGAUAUUUCUAAUGGUUGGUUCUACACAGUGAUAAAAACUGAUUUCAUUGAUGCUGAACAAUUGAGAUUACAUUAGGAUAUAUACACAGCUGUUAGUAUGUUCUAGGAAACUACAAAUUCUAUCUAUCCAUAAUUCUAGGGUCAAUGACAUAUAUACAGCUCUUAAUCUAUUCCAGGAUAUUACAUAUCCAAUCUAUGCAUAAUUCUAGUGUCAACAACAGCCUACAUGUUUUCUGGAUCAUUACAAUUAAAGACAAAAUACAUAUAAGGAAAGAUAAAAAAAAUUAAUAUGGCAGAAUUUCAACACACACCCCUCCAAAAGGGGUUUGCCCAGUCAAGCUAUCAUUGUAUCAAGAGAGCUUCUCCACUUUCACUGAAUUCUCAGAGGCAUGCCACCCAGAUGCAUCAUGCCAACCCAAAUCAAGAGUAGUGCUAGGGAAGCCCAAAUGAGCUUGGUGCACAUUGGUGAUGGACUUACCCUCCCCCGUCAUCAAGAAUACAGGAUGGUUCAAUGGUUUCGGUUUAGAAGCUACAAUUGGAGGUCCACCAAGGCAAAAUUAAGCCAAAUAUCGUUGAUCUUGUUUCUGCCUAAUUAGGAUGGAGAGGGCCCACUUAGCAAGACACAUGUAGUUGCUAUUACAUGCUUCUCCAAUGAAUCCAUCAAGUGCACACACGAUAGCAUGUGCAGUCCACCUAUCAUACUCGAAAAGGAAAGAAGCCCCACUUUGGCCCCAUAUUCACAAGGGUUUAUAUUUGUGUUCAACAUGGCACUCCACUCAUUUUCAACUAACCAUGUAACCAAAAAAAAAAAAAAAACCAAGAAAAAAAUAAUCAUAGGGAACAUUUGAGAAUUAAGAAUUUGUUUCUUUUAAUGAGUUGGGCAUGCCCAGCAAGCAUCCACCAGAUAAGAGGAAUAAUAGGCAUUGAACAAAUCCAUGCAAACCUUGCAUCAUGUUUGACAUGAGUAUUUCAUGCACUUUGAAGUUUCCAAAUAAUAUUCAUGUAGGACAGUAGAAAGAAACGAAUGUAGAGAAGAGAGAGAGAAGUAGAAGAGAGGAUUCUAAGUAAUUAUAAAUAUUAUUGUUAAAAAGUUUCCAGUUUUUAACAUCACUGGGCCCAUGAUAGAUGGACAAUCAUAACUCUAGUAGGAAACUAAUUUUAAUAAUCCUACCUCCAACAAAACUUUAUCACUAAUAAUACUAACCCUAAAACAAAUAUUAAAUAAAAAAAAAAUAUCAUCACUUCCCAUAUUUGCAUCUAAUCUAAGUGUGUAAUUUAACAUCUUUAUCUCUAUCAUUUUCUCUCAUUUGAAAAUAACUUGAUUCUGGUAAAUUGUAUUUGCAAACAUUGAUCUAAAAGAUCAAGAUCCAAUCGACAAAACUCCUCAUUAGUAAUUCAAGUAUGAUUAAUAGGAGGACCUUUCCAUUGAAUGAGGAAGUGUUGACCACCACUAGAUGGGAAAGUAACACACCCUUAUAGUUUUAAAAAGAGCAAGGCACACCUAAGGUGCCAAAGUUUCCUACAGCUUAGGUGCAAGGCACAACACAAGGUGCGCGCCUAAGUGAAGUGAAACGUGACCUAGGAUGCAUAUCAAUUUUCUAAAUAUGAUCCAAAAUCUAAUCCA
rnacentral:lncRNA from 1 species